rnacentral:lncRNA from 1 species
ACAAGUGUUUGUUAUUUUCUAUCAUUCCACUUAUUGGCUGUUGGAGCAUAUACAUAUAUACAUAUAUAUGUAUAUAUGUAUAUAUAUACUCUGGUAAAAUCCUCUAUAUUUACGUUAUGCUUUGCAAAAUUGUUACUUAAAUUAGAUAUUGUUAAAAAUCAAAUGAACUUUCCUAAGCCUAGCCAUAAUGACAUGGUGAUCAUACUCAGCUCUUUGUGUGCAGUAAAGUGUGUUAUUAUCUUGCAAUUUUAUUAUGUAGGGUAGAUCAUAUCUUUUGAUAGUUUCUGCAUGCUAUUUGACUCUCUUUUGUAGGCUUUGGAGUCAACUAGUACAUUGAUUAUUGAAUUCCACAAUGAUGAAGAGAAGACUGCUUGGCUUAAAGAGCUUGUGCAAACGACUUAUAGAGCUUCUGUAGGCCAUUCUUCCUUAUCUUCAUUUAUUCUUAAAUGAAAACAUGUAUUAAUUUAGUGUUGUUUCAUCUCAACAUAUUUCUCGGAUGCUACUUGCAGGCUCCUCCAAAAAUGGACAUACUUGGAGAAUUAGUCAUUGGUAGAUCGGACUCUAGUGGAGGACGAAGUAGUAAUUUGGGAACCGCAGACCUUGUUAUCAACGGCAGUGUUAUAGAAACAAAGCUGUCUAUAUAUGGGAAAGUAAGAUGAUUUCCGGAAACUUCGCUUAUACUUUCUACGGAAAUAUCCCCUUAAUGUAUGAUAUAAUUUUUUCAUCGGCUGAGUUUACCAAAAGAAUUUGGUUCUGUUCCUAUGAUUGCCUGUCUGCUUUGCUUAGUACUGCUAUUACAUUUGUUUUCUGAUUAGUGUGUGUUUGUUUCUUGGUGUUGUAGGUUGAUAGAAGUAGUGGAAAUGAUGAAGAGACUCUAAUAUUGGAACUUCUAGCUGGUGGAGGGAAGGUUAGCAUGCUUGCUUUGACCCUUCUACAGGAACUACAUAUGUGAUAAGCUAGUGACGGAUUUUAAUAUGAAAAAUAGACACUGCCAAGGAUUGCCCAUGCCAUACCAUGAUGAGGCCAUGUCGGCAUGUGGCAUAGGGUCGCGCCAACACCGUAACAACUUCUUUUUCCAUUUUGUGGGUUCUUUUAUAGCUUUCUUUUGUGGUAAAAUGUUGCACAAAUUUUUUUUUUUUUUCAUACUGAAAGUAUGUAUAUAUUGUAACAUUUGAACUUUUCAGAUAAUCAUUUGUUCUCUACAGUUGAGUCUAUUAAAAAUUGAACUAUUUCUAACGUUUCUUGUUUCCUGUUUUUAUAGUGGAAUAACUUGGAAUUUUCUAUAUUUCUAUUUCUAUUUGACUUAUUAAGUGAUUAUACAUUGAAAGGUAUGCUGUUCACAACCUGUAGUUUUCGUUUGGUAUAUAUGCCAUUUGGAAGAGACAAUUAGCUAUACAGGCAGUCUGAGAAUCAGUCUAUCCUAUAGUUUUGAUGCUAAGUACAUUAAUAAGUGCUAAUAAUGUUCAUGUGCGCACACGUGUGUGGUGCUUUGGUUUUGAAUAGUGAUCAAUAUCAUUAUAUUUCUUUACAAACUGGUAAAUGAUUUAUAUUCUUGACUUUGCAAUAUUCAUUUCUUCUUUAGGUAAAUCUCAUUCAGUCUUCUGGUGAUCUUACUGUGAAAACAAAGCUGCACUCGUUGAAAAUCAAAGACGAGUUACAAGGACGCAUAUCUAUGUCUCCACAAUACAUGGCAUGCUCUGUGAUGAAUGAUGAACAUCGAACUGGUGGUUCUUCUACCCCUGAUCUGGAAAAAGAUCUCAGCAAUUUCUCUGUAGAAGAUGAUGAUAGUUUCAAGGAUGCAUUACCCGAAUUCAGUCCCACUACCGACCAAAGCUUCUAUUUGCAUAACUUUGACAUGGCUCGCAACUUGAUGCACAGUCCUGCUGACUCAUGUGAGGUGGAUGCUAUAGUUGGUCAGUCUGAUUUAUUACGUCAUGAUAGGGAUGAGGUGAAACGGAAGUGCGACAUAUUCUAUGAGGCGCGAGACAAUACUGUAAAUGAUUUUGUAUCUCUCACAUUUUUGACUAGGCGUCCAGAUUCCCAUCUCUAUGAUAAUAUUGAUAUGCAGGUAAUUGGAGAAUUUAUAAUCUUUUCCAUUCAGAAGUUUUUUUUUCCUUACAUGAUCAUAUAUUCUGUUGGAAACUGUUAAGACGGAUAUCUAGUAUUCUAAUGUUCUUCCUUACUUAUCCAUGCCUUCCAUGGGGCUCUGGCUUUGUAUCUGUUAAUGUUAACAGUGGUUUCCUUUGAAUUUUCUUGUUCCAGAUGAGUAUACGCAUGUCUGCACUAGAGUUUUACUGUAACAGGCCUACUCUUGUUGCUCUGAUUGACUUCGGCCUAGAUUUAAGCAUGGUAAAUUCAAGAGGGAGCAGUGGAAGUGAGAUGAUGUCCUGCGAACCCAACUCUACAGGCACAGAGAAGGAAGAAAAUGGUCGUGCUUUAGUUAGAGGCUUGCUCGGUUAUGGAAAGGGUCGGGUUGUUUUUAACUUGAAAAUGGAUGUUGAUUCUGUUUGCAUCUUUCUUAACAAGGAAGAUGGUUGUCAACUUGCAAUGUUUGUGCAAGAAAGUUUUCUCUUGGAUUUGAAGGUAAGGAGUUCUUUUAGCCAGAACAUCGUAGAGGUGUUUUGGUGUAUUGAUCUGUGUUCCUUUGGUUACUACACAGGGGAUUUUUCCAUUGCCUUUAUAUGCCUUUUUCUUCUUUUGUCUGUUUGAGUGUUUAAGGUUAUGGUGUGUUGCUGCUUUUUUCUGACUUCAUUCGAGGGUAAAGGAUAUUGGGUAAUAGAUUUAGUUGAAGGUUUAUAAUGUUGUCGUAGCAAUAUUUUGAUGUGUUUAGGGAGUUUAGUAUCUAAACUAGAGCUGAACUUUUGGAAUCAUUUAUGUAAUUAAGUGGAAAUAAGUCUUCUACUGUUAUCUUUUGGCAUCAGUGACAUCAGGUUAGAUUUUUCAUAUUGUUUUUGGAUAUUAGGCAGUUAACUUAUUUCGGAUUGUAGAUGAGGUUUGCUGCAAAGAGUAAAUAAUCUCAAUGUAUAUGUAAAGUAGUAUCAUCUUUUCUUCUUCAUCCAUUGAUCUAUUCAUCUACAGGUUCACCCUAGUUCUAUUUCCCUUGACGGUACACUGGGAAAUAUGAGAUUGUGUGAUAUGUCCCUAGGGCCAGAUCAUCGUUGGGGCUGGCUAUGUGAUAUACGAAACCAAGGAAUCGAAUCACUCAUCAAGGUACGCCUCUCUGUAAAAUUGAAUUUUCUGGUUGAAAUGUUAGGCCACCACUUUUUUAAUAUGUUUUCUCGAACGUCUGAGUGAGCAGGUUGAAGUUAAACAUAUUAGUUGUCCUUUGGGCCAACCAUGUUCAUAUCUAACUGCAAUUGCAUUAUUUACACUAAAAUGGACAGAGCAUGAUGAAACUGUCAAAUUACUUGACAUGCUAUGCAGGCUUAUUCAACUUAAUCUUAACAGUGAGAUAAUCCCCUCACCAAGCUAAACAAUUUUGUUUGAUAUGUGAUUAUGAAAUCCGUUCAGUGCAAUUUGCGCGUUGAUAACUCUUUAGUCUUUAAAGGUGUAUUGGGUGACUAAGGGACAUUUUUGGCUUGCGUUAUUUUCUUAAUGUACAUUCUUAAAUCUUGAAGGUAUCGUUAUCAGUUAGGUUACUUUCAAUUUUAGCCAAGAUGGUUAUCUAUGUAUAAACGGGAUAUAUGUACAGAACAAAAAAGGGUUGCUAAUAAAAGGCUGUCAAAGUGAGAUUAUGCUAUUCUUUGCUGAGAGAUUAGUAUGUAAUGUAAUUGGUGUUUUUCAGGGUGCUAUUUGCCGUGUUUCUGAGGGCUUAUUUGGGUUUCCAAAUAAGUUAUCUAGUAAUAACUUAUGCGCAAUGUCAUGCCCUGGUGACGAAGCCCAACCAGGUGCGUGCCGUCACACGAACAGUGUUUUUCUGUACGUGCACGGCAUCGGAUCACUAAGCACCUUUAUAGUAAAACAUUUUACCAGAGAUAUGAAACAGGAAUUUAAGUUUCGAAAAGCAUUUAAUGUUUAUAAAACAUGUUGAGAUUUCCAUUACAUCCACAACGAAUGUUAAGUUUAGUUACAACCCAAUGAACGUUAAGUUUAGUUACAACUAUUCAUCUUUCCAAAAUGUUACAUUUUCUAAUGUUCCAAGAUUGCAAAACUUGGAGCUGAAGUAGACCAACCAACAUGCGUCCUCACUCUGUAUCGCACUUCACCCCACACGACGAACUUAAAAAAUGGCGGAAAAGGGGCUCGAGGGAGGAAAUAGGGGAAAAGAAGAGCUAGGGUACCCCUUAGCUUCAUUUUAUACAAGGAAAGGGUGGAAAAUUGCAGCCAACCCCUUAAACUUCCACAAUUUAGAGUUUUACACUACUCUCCUCCUUGACUGCGCACACAACACUCAGUUGCCAAGGUUUUGGAAUCUCUAUGAAUGUUUUGAACCAGGUUGUGCUCCGGAACCAGUUCACAGGUUGCUCUUAAACAGAACCUUUUCCCACUCUGUUUGCUGUUUUAGUUACGAAACCUGACACCUGCGUUUCGAAUUAGAUACUUGACUGAAAAUCUUGAUUAGUUUCUUCUCCCUCUCUCUUUUUCUUUUGAAAUUUAGGGUAUUACACACAAUGAAGAUUUUCUUUUGGUGGUUAUCAUAUACGAGUUUACUUUGUCCCUUACAAGGUCUUGGUAGCCAUUUUGUGUGAUCAAGCAAUCCACCUAUGAGGUGAUUUAUCUUAUUCCAAGAAAAUGACUUGGAAGCCGAAUAUAGCAUAUCGUUGUAGACGUCUAAUUAGACUUCAUAUCUAUUACAGUACAUUCUUCUUGAGUAAACCAAAAUGAUAUGCCAAACAAGAUGUUCAUGCGUCCAAUCAGACCCUUAGUGUAUUUCUUAGAAUAGUAGAAAUCGGAUUGCAGGAUUGAGUAAUUCUGAUUGCUUGAGCUGAUUUGAUAUUCAAGUGAAGGGUGAUGAUUCUUUCAUAGUAAUAUUUAGAUAUCUGUACUAAUCUUGAGUUAAUUUUGUUUUGCUGUCUGUAUUCCAGUUCACCUUUCAGUCAUAUAGUGUUGAAGAUGAUGAUUAUCAAGGGUACGACUACAGUUUGAGUGGACGGCUUUCCGCAGUGCGUAUUGUUUUCCUUUAUCGGUUUGUUCAGGAGGUAUGUGCGUCCAUCAGUAGUUUCCAGGUUUUGUCCUUUCUGAAAAAAUUAGUACACUUUAGGCUAUUUUGUCAAGUACAAAUCAAUGAACUUGUUCGUUCAACUUAUCUUUAGACUUUAGGGGCUUUAGCUUGAAUACGAAAUUCUAUCCUAAAAUUGAAUAUUUCCAGAUUACUUCAUAUUUUAUGGAGCUUGCUUCCCCGCACACUGAAGAGGCAAUCAAGUUUGUUGACAAAGUUGGAGGUCUUGAAUGGUUGGUUCAGAAAUAUGAGAUAGAUGGUGCUGCAGCUAUAAAGUUUGAUCUUUCCCUGGAUACUCCAAUAAUCGUCAUUCCCAAAAACUCAAUGAGUGAAGAGUACUCAUCUAUGAACUUAAAGUUUUAUUCUUGAUUUAUCCAGAUUUGUAUUGCGUCAAUUGGAUAUUCAUUUUAUAUCUGUAUGCUAACUAUUUCUGGCUUUUUAUACUACUGUGAAGCUAUACCUUGUUCUCUGGUUUUUUUUCUUGUAGUUAUAUGCAACUUGAUCUUGGACAACUAAAAGUACAGAACAGUUUCAGUUGGUAUGGUUGUAAAGAGAAAGAUCCUUCUGCUGUACAUCUUGAUAUUCUUCAUGCCGAGGUAAAUGCCAGAUGGGGUUUAGAAACAUGCAUUUCCCUUUUACCCUGCUUUUGUUCUGAAUUUAGAUUCCUUUGGCAUCAUUUCCAAACAGAUAAAUGGAAUCAACAUGGCAGUGGGAGUCAAUGGUGUUCUGGGGAAGUUAAUGAUACGAGAGGGCCACGGCAUCAAUAUUGAAGUGCGACGUAGUUUGCGAGAUGUCUUUCGAAAGGUUCCAACUCUGUCUAUCGAAGUUCAGGUAACUGUCUUAUAUCUUGGCAUUGAAGAAGUUGCUAUGAUAUAUAGGAUUUAAGUAUCUGCCGUAGCAAUUAAGGAUUAAAGUGCCGCCCCGUGCUGUACCGCGGUUCCUGUUGGGUAUCGCGGUACGUAUUGUGCCGAGUUUUUUUUUUUUUUUUGUUAUGAUUUGUUAUUUAGGAUUUCAGAGUUGUUGAUAACUAAAUCACACUAUUCUAUCACUAAUUUGUUUUUUUUAUUUCGUUAUUUCCUUCUCUCCUUUUUCUUUAAUUUAGUUAUCUAAUGUUUCCAAUCUUAUCUAUUAUAGAAUCCAAUCUAAUCCAAUCUAAAAUUACCUAAUCUAAUCUACAAAAUCUAGUCAAAUCUAAUCUAAUCUAGAAUCUAAUAUAACAUAUAUUUAAAUUUGUCCAUUCUAAUUUAUAAGUACGAAACCUAAUCAAAUCUAAUCUAGAAUUAUCUAUUAGAGUAUUAAAUAUAGUAGAAUAUACUAAUUAAAUUUGAUUUACUUAAUUCCAAAUUACCUAAAUUAAUACUUUAAAAAUUCUGACUUAAAAUUACCUUAUUUAAUCUUAUAUCGAAUCUAAUCUAAUCUAUUUUAUAUUUAAGUUUCCCAAUUUGAUUUAGUCUAAUCUAAUCUUAUGAACAAACUAAUGUAAUCUAGAAUUACUUGAGCUGUUUUAUUCCAAUCUAGAAUUUGUAAAUUAGCAUAAAUAUAAAAUAAUUUUGAUUUAGUAUUAUUAGAUAUAUUAGGAUAUAUAGUUGAUUAUAGUAGAUUAUAUAGCCAAUUUAAUUUGACAAUACUAGCAGUAUCUAUACUAAAUUGUCAAAUAAAUCUUGUAUCUGCAGAUGACAAUAUGCUAUAUAAUCCAUUGUAAUGAACUAUGUGGAACUAAGAAGUCAUCUUUUUUGUAAAAAUGUAAAUUUAAAUAAUUAUUGUACUUGUGAAUUUUAUUAUUGUAUUUUAUUUUUUAGUAGUUUAGGGCCCGCGCUUCGUGGCGGAUCGAUAGUAUUUCAGUCAAUCAACAUAUAUAAUUAUUUAAAAUUUAAAAUUAAAAAAUAUAAUAAAAAAUAAAAAAAUUCAUAUAGCCUUCUGUACAUUAUAAAGCUAAUCUUUUUUGAUUAAUAUUUUUCAGUAUUUGUAGAGUUAAAGUAUUCUAAUAACUUCACCUAAAAAUUCAAUCAAACUUAGUAGUUUUAGUAGCUAUUCUAUAAAUAAAUUUUUAAUUAAAAAGUUAAAAUUGGAGGAUUUAUUCUAAAUUGCAAAUAUAUGAUGUUAUCCUUAUCUUGUUAACAUUGAUUGGAGAAAGAAGAAAUUAUUAUAUGCACCUGGUGUAUAUUGACACACCCUACAUCACAACUUAUAUUAAAGGACUAUUUUCUAAUAUCGAAACUUAAUUAAAUAUAUCUAAAUUACAAAGUCUAAUAAUUUAAAUAUGCUUACUUAAUUAAAUUUUGAAAUUUCUAUUAAAUGUUUUAAGUAUUUGGUGUAUGUUCUUAUAUACAUCUGGUAUAGAGAAUGCUUAAUAGAGUGCAUUCAUAAUUCCAAGAAAAAGAGGAGAAAUCUUUACUUGCACCUAAUUUAUACUAAUAUUUCAUACACCAUAAAAGCAUAUCAGAUGAUUGAUAGAAUAUCUGAUAAUUAGUAUUAAAGAUUUUUGUGAUGUGAUGGAAUCUUAUGGAUUUUAAAAUAUUAACAAUAAAAAGAGGCUUGGUGUAUGUGAUAUUUUAAUAGACCAGGUGCAUGCAAUAUUGUUGAAGUAGAGGAGGGAGAGGAAAGAGGACACUUGUCACUCCGAGGGCUUCUGAUGUGACCCAACUGUCAAAUUAAUAUAUCUAUAGAUAAUUAUUAAAAUUUUAAGAUAAAAAAAUUAUAACUAAAUAAAAAAAUUAUAAAAUAGUGUUAUGUACAUUACAAAAAAUAACUUUUGUAUUAAUAUUUUCUUAAUUUUGAAUAGUUACAUUAUUUUAACAAUUUUAUUUAAAAAUUAAUCAAAUUUAAUAGUUUUGAAAACUGUUCUAUAAAUAACUUUUUUAACUAAAAAGUUAAAAUUGGGGAACGUAUUUCAAAUUGCCGAAAAGAUGAUGAUGUCUUUACCUUAUUAAAAUUGAUUGGAAAAAAAAAAUUUUCUUGCAUGCACAUGAUAUAUAUAGUAACAUUCUAUACGCCACAACUUUUAUUAGAUGAUAAAUAUUUUGAUAUCAAAACUUAAUUUAACAUAUAUAACCUACGAAGUUAAUAAUUUAAAUUCUAUUUAAUGAUUUAGAUUUUAAAAUAAAAAAUAAUGAAAAAAAAGAGUCGAAGAAUCAAAAAAAUACAAAUAAAGAAAUUUAGGAUGAAACAACAGCUACUACAGUUAAAAUUUAAGAAGUAUUUUAAAAAAAGAAGAAAAAAGCUAUAAGAAGAAUUAUAUUUAUAGCAGCAGUAAGAGUUGAGAAUUAAAAUAUCAUGUCUCAUAAUUUGAGUCAGAAAUUGCAACUAAUUAACAUUUAAAAUCUAAAACAUUGUGUCCCUUUUUGAAUAUUCUAGAAGAUUCUGAAUGUAAAGUUGAUUGCUUAUAAAACUAUAAAUAUAGUAUUGAAGUUUAAUAUUAAAACCAAAUGGAUCAUUUUGAAUUGAUUAUUUUACUUUUCAAAAUUUUUUAAUUUAUUUGAUUUGAGACGAUCAACGAUAUUUUGACUUUAAAUUUUGAAUGCGUCAUUUAUUUUUACACAUUCAGUUAAUAUAUUUUAUACAAUUCUCGUAAUUUUAAAUUUAUUAAAGUAAGUAAUUAAAUUAAACUCUAUCAAUCUCUCUUUUAUUUUUUAUUAUACAACUUAUUUUUAAGUGAUAAAUAUUAUGAAAUUAAAAUUUAUAUUUAAUAUAUGUAAUUUUAGUUAUAUAAAAAGUUAUGUGUAAAAAAUUAUAGAUUAUAUAAUUUAAAUUUUAGGAGAAAAUGAGAGGAAUGAGUUGGUAAAAAAAAAUGCCCCACUGUCGAGAGAGAGAGAGAGAGAGAGAGAGAGAGAGAGAGAGGGGGAGGGAGGGAGAGAGGAGAAUUAGAGGAAAAAAAAAAUCCCACCCCGCUUGCUCGCGCCCGAGCGUGACCCUCGCUCCCGCCCGCCCGCACCCCUCGCGAGCGCCCGCGCCGCGCCUGCCCACGCUACCACGUGGAUCCCUCCGAGAACUCAACUUUUAAUAUAUCUAUAGAUUCUUUAUGAGAUAUAGUUGUAUUUUACAUAUAAAAAAGCUUACCAGUAUGUUAAUUGAUGAGCAUAGUAAGCUAUUCAUAGCCACUAUUCAUAAUUAUUUGACUAAACCUAUCAAAAUAAUAUUAUAAGAGCUUACUGAGACCAAAAAAGCUAAAAUAAGCUCGUGCCAAAGCGUGUCAUUAGGAGGUCAUGCGUAUCCAUCGGCACGCAAGCGUAUCACGUGUCGACACGACAGCGUGCUUGUGCAGUAUCGUGCCAGGCAAACAACGGCACUCCCCCGUGCCACGACACUUUAAUCCUUGGUAGCAAUUGCUUAAUGACAUAGUAUUAUUUAUUCUAAUCAAAAUUAUGUGGUUGCUGAACUUUUAUAUGGUUUAAUUGCCUAAUCAAUUCAUGUUGGGGGGGGAAACACUUCGCAGCUCAACAGUGUCUUACUUAGCUUCAUGCUCAAGGAGAUAUCUUAACUCCCUAGUUGCUUGCUUCUGUUUGCCCUGGAUUGGAAUGAGAAUAUAUUCCUGUUGGAUACCAUAGUUUAGAAGAUUGGAAGUUUGGAACUAUUUUACGUCUUCUUUUUUGCUUCUACUAUCUUGUACCAGUAUAAUUCUUUACCUCUAAGUUGGGAGAUUGUUGUUUUUUCCCCCUAGCGUGACAAAAGUAUUGUCAAGGUGAUCUUUCAUGAGGCCCUUGCUUCAAAUAUCUAGCAAGAGUCAAAUGUGAUGUUGCAAGAUAGUCUCUUGAUGCUUCAAAUAUUUUAAUAAACAAUUAAAAUAUGCUAGCAAGUUUUCGGCACGACCCCAUACCACGGCAGUUAAAUACUUGUUUCUCAGUUUUCUUUGCCCUUAUUACAAAAUUCAGAGUUCCUUUCAACUUAGCUAAUAUUUUAUCCUUUCUGAAGAUAAAGAAUGCUGAAAAUAGAGUUUGGGAUUCUUGAAUUCUUCAUCAAGCAACUGUUGCAACGCUUUAUUCUGAUAUUCACAAUGAAACUGGCUUACUUUGUAAAUAGUUCGAUUAAUCAUGCAAAUCCUCUCAUUUGGCAACUCAAACUGUCAUGAAAUGGUUGACUUCUAUAUGGCUUUGUGUAUUUUGCAGGUUGGUUUGCUACAUGGUGUCAUGUCUGACAAGGAAUACAAUGUUAUAAUAAAUUGUAUUUCCAUGAACUUAUCAGAAAUGCCUAAUCUUCCUCCAAGUUUUCGUGGAAAUGUAAAUGGAACAAAGGAUUCGAUUCGUUUGAUUGCUGAAAAGGUCAAUCAUAACAGUCAGAUAUUGCUUUCACGAACUGUUUUUGUCCUGGCUGUUGAGAUUCAAUAUGCCUUGCUAGAACUUUGCAAUGGCCCCGAUGCAGAGUCUCCGUUGGCUGAGAUUGCUGUGAGUAGUGCUUAUUCUGAAAAAUUACAGCCGCUUAUUCAACAUAAUGAGUUGUAUUUUCUUUUUGCAUAAUGCUGCAGUAUGCUAUAUUUUCUUGUGUUGUUGACGACAAUAUCCUGAUUGUUUCUAAAUUUUCUGAAAAGAAAACUUAUCUAGUUGAAAAGGCAGUUGCUAGAUCUUUGACAAACAAAAGCUUAGGACUUUUGCUGUUGUACAAAGCGGAAAUGAUUUUUUGAACCCCCAGUGCAUUGCUUCAAAUGGAGCUUUUCCUUCUUUUGUGGCAGGAAGUUCUUUGGGAUGAUACCAAUUGAAAAUUUUGUUAUUUCUUUUUUCCCCCCUAGUGGCUUUACUUACCAGUGGAAGCCCUAGCCAGGCUAAAUAGGCUGUAUAUUAGAAAUUUGAUAGAAUAUUGCCAAAUAUUAAUUGCUUGCUGGCAUUAUGUCCUUUUGCAGCUAGAAGGUGUUUGGGUUUCUUACAGAACUACCUCACUGUCUGAAAUGGACCUCUAUUUGUCUAUUCCAAGAUUCUCUGUAUUGGAUAUACGUCCUGAUACAAAGCUGGAGAUGCGCUUGAUGCUUGGAACUUAUACUGAUAUUUCCAAGCCGGGCAUAUGUGAUAUCUCUGCUUCUUCUGGCUUAGAAACUGCUACUGAUAUUGAUGCUUCUAACCUGACGAUGUUGAUAAUGGAUUAUCGAUGGCGCUCUUCUUUCCAGUCCUUUGUUAUAAGGAUUCAACAGCCGCGUGUUCUUGUUGUUCUAGACUUCCUUCUUGCUGUUGCUGAAUAUUUUGUGCCUUCCUUAGGCACAGUAACAGGCAGGGAGGAAACCAUGGACCCGAAGAAUGAUCCUUUAAUGAAUUCUGAUGACAUAAUACUUUCUGAGCCAGUUUACAUGCAGAGAGAGGAUGUUGUUCGCCUUUCACCAAGAAGACAAUUAAUUGUGGAUGGUUGGGGAAUUGAUGAGUUCAUUUAUGAUGGAUGUGGAGGUACAAUAUCAUUAAGUGAGGAGUUUGAUAGUGAAGGACAAUCAUAUUCUGGAGCACUUAUCAUGAUUGGGCAUGGAAAGAAGUUACGCUUCAAAAAUGUGAAAAUUGAGGUACAUAGUUAUUCUACCUACUGAUCUACCCCUUGAUACUGUUUAGCAAUCUACACCUUGAUACUGUUUAGUUAUUCAGUUCAUUGUGUAUCUCUCUUUCUUAUUGUUAUAUUUUGUAUUUACACAGCUUUAAUUUUCUUCUUUGUAUUUGCAAACGGUGCUCUUUGGUUCACAUGACAUUUCAAAACAGAAUAUGGGAAAACAUGUUUCGGCCUAUAUUUACAAACUAUAGUCAAAUUUUUUGUUGAAAAUAAUCUUCUAUUUUGUCUGCUGAUAUAACUGCUAGUCAUUUCACUUAGAAGAGUUGCUGACACUUCUGUAUUAACAAGAUGAGCGACCAAAUAAUGACUAAAAAGAUAGUGAGUAAUGAACCAUGGAUUCUUUAUCUUGAUAAUUCUAAUGCUUCCUGCCAAUAGCCAUAAUAAUCUGAUUCUUUCUCUUUAAUGGUCUGAGAAGAUUCUAGAAAAGAAAAAAAAUUUCUACUUAAUACCACAACUAGUAGGACUGUUUUUGGUGAAACCGCAGAGUGCUCUGCUGGGCAUUGUCCCCGGCUUUCUUUAGCUGAUUUCUUGCAUUACCAAGGCUACCUUGUAGCACUAGUAAUUUGUCAUAUUGCCAAAUGUAAAAUGAAGGAUUACAUCUGUUUAGUGAUUAGAUCCACUCCCUACUUCUGUUCAGUUGUCAAGAUUGCUGAUAUGGAUUUAUGAUUUGUUACUUUAAUGUCAGAUCAUAGUCUUAAAAAUCUCACAGUAUAAAUGCUAAAUGUGCUCCAGAUGAUACCAUUUUUCUUAUGACUUUUAUCUAUAUUAGAAGCUUCAAGUGUUCCUCUAUAAAUGCAGAAAGCAUGUUUAGGGAACUAUAUUUUGCUUCUUAAAACAAAUAGGCAAUAUCUUUACGUUCUAAAGAAGAUGCUAAAAGUAAACCUUUGAACAAUAAACCAUUUCUUCUGCCCUGUUGGGGGGGUGCUGGGAAGCUGCAUUCAGCAAGGGGUGGCCACACAUUCUCCUGUUGGGCCUUUUGUUUCUGGAAGAGGCUGCGGUUUACAUUGCAUGUAUCAAGUCGGUUACAAAGAUGUGCGCCCUUAAAACAAGGAAGCACACGCUGACAUGCAGUGUCAUAUGCCAUUCUGUUUGCAAGUGCAGACCCAAGGCUUCAACCCAAAACAAGUUCAUCCUGAUAAACAGGAAGGUUGAACUAGUUUUGAGAGUCACUACUGAACCAAUAUAAGCUGCCGAUUUGUGUCUUUCAUCUGAAUAUUUAACUGUAAAAAGCAUAAACAGUACUAUGCAAACAUAAGUUUCUUCUCGAGACCAAAUUUUGUUGGCGUCCUAUUCUCUCUAUAAUUUCUCAAUAACGUAUUUUCUUUCAUAUAGCUAUAUCCUUUUCUGGUGAAUAAAUCCUGGGAGAACAAACGGUUGGCACGAAUUAGUUAUACUUAUAUUUUCUCUUUACCUAUUUGGUGUGAAGGAAUUUAUUGCCUGCAAUUUGUAUUUUAUGUAUUAUCUGAUCCAACUAUCUCUUUUGUUCUUGUGUAACACAACACAUAUCAGAAUGGAGCAAUAUUGAGGAAAUGUACAUAUUUGAGCAACGGUAGCAGCUACUCAGUGUCCACAGAAGAUGGUGUUGAGAUUUCAUUAUUAGAUAGUUUUGCUUCAAAGAUGGAUGACAACGAUAUGGUGCAGUAUGAUGAAAGCAAAAAGGAAACAAAUCCUCAUGAAACAGUUGUUGGUGCUCCUUCAAAUCAGAUGUUCAGUGUUACCUUUGAAGCUCAGGUAGAUUAUUUCUUUAUGUUAUGCCAUAAAUCAGAUGUUCAGUGUAAGGCUAACGAGGAGCAAUACAUCUAUUCUGUUUUAUUUGGGUUUAGAUUAGAUACAAGGUCUGACUCUGCCACUUAGGUUUAUGUUACAUACUUAGAUCCAAUGAUCGAGCAUGCUGCUUUUGCCGGGUGCGUGGGGCGGAAUGUACCGCACAAACAGGGUAUCAGCAUGGUUCAAACACAGUGUUGAGACCUUGUCAGCACAACCCAAACGCAAAUUUAUUUAAGAAAAUGAGCUAGAAUUUCCUUUCCAAACCCUUGUACCCUAGCGUUCAGUGUAAGGCUAACGAGGAGCAAUACAUCUAUUCUGUUUUAUUUGGUUUUAGAUUAGAUACAAGGUCUGACUCUGCCACUUAGGUUUAUGUUACAUACUUAGAUCCAAUGAUUGAGCAUGCUGCUUUUGCCGGGUGCGUGGGGCAGAAUGUACCGCACAAAUAGGGUAUCAGCAUGGUUCAAACACAGUGUUGAGACCUUGUCAGCACAACCCAAACGCAAAUUUAUUUAAGAAAAUGAGCUAGAAUUUCCUUUCCAAACCCUUGUAGCCUAGCAUUGAUGCAUUGAAAUGGCUUAGUUUGAGGGAUAGAUUGGGCAAGAUUGAUUUCUCAAUAGUAACCUUUAGUUUUAGUGAAACCUUGUUUCACAAAAAUUUGACGAAACUAGUGAUAAAUAACCGGUAUUGAUAUUUUAGAACUAUUCACUGUAAGUGACAUAUUUUCAGUUGCAUCAAAGGUCUCAAUGAAAUUGAGGGUUAAUUUGUGGAGAUUUGGUUCUUCCUGAAGUUUAAUCCUUACUUCUAAAUAAUCUAUUAUGUCUUUCUUUUUUUUUAACUAAAAUUGUUGAAAAUAGGAAUUACUCCAUUACUUGAGUAGAAAACUAUGCAAAAACAAUACAUAUGGGAAUAAGCCAAAGUGCAGAAAACCAUCCUGAACUUAUCAUGAUUUUCACUUUGCCAAUCUGGACUUGAAAUAUCUACUAUUACCUUCCUAGUUAUUUGAAAUUAUUCCAGGGCUUACAAUGUUGAAGAGGGUUUGCAAUGAUUAAAUUAUCCCGUGAUUCCAGUUUUCAUCCUUCUCUCUAGCACCACUACCAACAUCACCACUAGUUGCACCUCUUUGUCCCCAUCCACAUCUUCCUUGUCCUCUUCAUCCUCCAUCUAAACCAGCACCUCCUCCAGUGGCUCCUCUCUGUCCCUCAUCUCUACCAAAAACGCCCCCUCUGCCACCACCGUGCUUCUCUUUUCUAUCAUAUUCUCUUCGUCUUUCGUCAGAACAACCUCCACUUUCUUCAGGUUUAAUGGUGCGGAUUGCCAAUCCUGAUGCCCUACCAUCGAAUUUGAACAUUAUGUUUAUCCAUUAGCUAUCAGCUUGUGGCGUCAAUAUCAAUUCUCAAGUAUAGGAGUUUAAUUAUAAAAUGUUUUAUCCUUAAAACAAGUUUUUUUUUAUUCUGAACAUACCUUCAUCAGGUAAGCAUGUUCAAUUAGUUAUUUUCCAGGAACUUACUCCAAUAUAUAACUUGUGAUCUCUUUCUCUGAACUCUAUCCAGGUUCUAUCCCCUGAAUUUACCUUCUAUGACAGUUCUAAAUUGUCGACGGAUGAUUCCUUGCAGAUAGAGAAGCUUCUUCGUGCUAAGAUGGAUUUCAGUUUCAUGUUUGUACUUUAUCUCAUCUUAACUGGUUAUAGUUGCCAUUAAAUUGUAAUUUCUUUUUUUUAUCUUUAUUUUUGCAGUUGAUUCUUCCAUACUAUCCUUUGCAUGUGUCUUAUGCUUUAUAAAUUUGAGAUAGGUAUGCUUCGAAGGAAAAUGACAUAUGGGCUCGCUCUAUUGUAAAAGAUCUCACAAUUGAGGCUGGUUCAGGUCUGGUUGUUCUUGAGCCAGUUGAUAUUUCAGGAGGAUAUACUUCAGUUAAGGACAAGACAAAUGUUUCAUUGGCAACUACUGACGUAUGCAUCCACCUUUCUCUUGCUAUUGUUUCGCUCUUACUUAAGUUGCAAAAUCAGGCUCUCGCAGCAUUACAAUUUGGCAAUAUCAAUCCACUGACUUCUUGCACCAACUUCAAGCGAGUUUGGGUAUCACCAAAAGGUCACUGUUGUCUCUGCCUAGUAAAUUGUGCGGUUGCACUUUUCUCUUAACUUUCUGGUAAUAUUUCUUUUAUGCUUCUCUCCUUUUGUUUUAAUUAGUCCCAUUAAUGCAGGAGAACUACCUGGAUACAGUCUCACCUUUUGGAGGCCUCAAGCUUCUCCCAAUUAUGCUAUAUUGGGUGAUUGUGUGACAUCAAGGUGGGCAGAAACCCAACUUCUUCUGAGGGCUAAUACAUUUCAUCUUCUAAUUUUUCUCGAUCUCAUAGGUUCCAGCAGAUGUUAUCUUUUAUAUAUUGUAGUAAUGCAUUUGUAAAGCAUACCUAAACAAUUAUCUCGUUGAUGUUCUUGCAUUUGAAACCUUUAUUUGUGGAUAACUUAAAGCUAGCAGUUUUUCUAGCUGCUCAAAUUCGUCAUUAUCUUUGAUCAUGAGAGUUCAAUGAAAAAUACAUCAGGGUAGGUGUUGGUUUACGUGAAUUCGCCAUGUUUUUAAAUGGUCAAAUCGUGAGGAAAUCUCCUCAAUUGAAUAAGUUUUCCCUCUUCUUCAGUGCCCCACACACACACACACACACAUACAUACAUAUAUAUAUAUAUAUAGAGAGAGAGAGAGAGAGCGAGAGCGAGAGCAGGGCUACUGUGCUAUUAGAAGUACAGCAGCCCUUGUGCUCCUAACUUCCUAACCAUCCAUCAAUUUUGAUAGGUGGUUAGGGUGAGAGAAAGAAGAGAAAUUGGGGAGAAAUUAGGAGCACAAAGGCUGUUGUGCUCUUAAUGGCACAGACACAAUAGCCCUACUCUCUCUCUCUCUCUCUAUAUAUAUAUAUAUAUAUAUGUAUAUGUGUGUGUGUGUAUAUUUAUAGAGUCCAGCUAUUGUUCUUUUAAAAGCACCAAGCACUUAGUGCUUGCAAGUUUUUCACUAUCAGAUGUAUCCCUUUGACCAAUUCCACCCCUUAUAUCAUACUAUUCCAACAACCACCCACUCAACCCUAGGGGACCACUAUUAUUCUAACCCUACAAAUCUUUAUCCAAAGGCUGAAAACCCGCAAGCACCAAUGACUUGGUGUUCUUAAAAAUAUAGGAGCUCAAUUCUGUGUGUAUAUAUAUAUUUUUUGUAUAUAUGUGUGUAUAUACAUAUGUAUAUACACACACACACAUAUAUAUAUGUGUGUAUACACACAUAUAUACACACAUAUAUACAUAUGUGUGCAUAUGUGUGUAUAUCUAUGUAUAGAGUCCGACUGCUAUACUCUUAUGAGUAUGAUCGCCUUCGUACACUAAGUCGUUUUCGAGGGCUUUUCUUUACAUUUUGCCCCUUCAAAACUAUUUUUUACAAAUGAGCCUAACAAAUUUAUAUUUGCAUAAAUAGCCAUCUCCCUGCCACGCAAGCGCGUAGGUGGUGGUUUUAAGUUGAACACGUUGAUUCAAUCAUUGUUUUUUAACACAGUAAUUGGAUUCCCGUGUUUCUUUUUGUACUUCUUAUCACUCCUAAGUUUAAAAAAAGGAACUAGAAUAUGGAUAUGAACACGAUGAUUCAAUCACCGUGUUCAACUUAAAAAUGCCAACAUGGUGCUCUCAUGGCAAAAGAGGGUCAUAUAUGCAAAUAUAAAUUUUGUAGGGGCAUUUGUUAAAAAAAAGUUUCAAGGAGACUAAAUGCAAAAAAAGCUUCGUUUUCGAUAAUAGAGCUUCCAAAUCGACAAUCCAUACUGUUAAAUAUUAACUAGAGCAUUUAAAACUUGUAGAAACUAAAUUUUAUAAUUUUUUUACAUCAUUUACCUUACAAUCAAAAGAUCUCAAAAUUGACAACUUUUAACAGCCGGUAUGGAAUAGUUGCAAGUUUAACUGUGUAAAAGAAUCAUAAUCAGUUGAAGUUUUGAUAGAAAAUUCUAUUCACCAUCUAGAUAAAGAUCAAUAACUUCGAUCCUAAAUUGAUGAAUUCGAUCCUCUAAUUUUGGGAGGGUGUUUGAUUUUGACCAUUCGUUUUAUGCCCGCUUGAUAGACUUUAUUAUAAUUUCAAAUAAUUAUGAAAUUUGAUUUCUAGAAGUUUCAAAUUCUCUAGAUAUUGUUUAACGGUAUGGAUCAUCCAUUCAGAAGCUCUAUUAUUGAAAAUGAUUUAUGAGUACGAAAGACUCUAUACUCAUAAGAGUAUAGUAGCCCUACUCUGUGUAUACACACACACAUAUGUGUGUGUAUAUAGUGUAGAGCUACUAUGCUUUCGGAAACAUAUAAGAGUUGGUGCUUCCGACUUUUUUGCCCUUAGAUCAAGAAUUUUAGGGUUGGGAUUAUAGGGGUCCCUCUAGGGUAAUAUUAAUCCAAGGGUUAGAAAUAGUCAAAGGGGCUGAUCCAAGAGUUAAAAAACUAGAAGCCACCAUAAUUGGACUAUAUAUAUGUGUGUGUGUGUGUAUAUAUAUAUAUAUAUAUAUAUAGAGAGAGAGAGAGAGAGAGAGAGAGAGUCCAGCUAUGGGGCUUUUAAAAGCACCAAGCACUUGGUGCUUGUAAGUUUUCCGCCGUUAGAUAUACCUCUUUGACUAUAUAUAUAUAAAUAUGUAUAUAUAUAUAUGUUGAGUAGGACUUGUGUGCUAUUAGGAGUACGAAGGCUUCCGUGCUCCUAAGCCGUUUUAGAUGAUGGGACUUUCGAAUUGACGAUCAGCUCCGUUAGACUUGAUCUAGCGUAUUUGAAGUAUUUAGAAAAUAAUGUUUGCGGAUUUUCGAUAUCAUUUACCUAGUGAUCAAAAGGAUUCAAAAUCAACAAUAUUUAAUGGUUGAUGUUUGCCGUUUGCAAAUUUAACGAUAUAGAAGUAUUCAAAUCAGACAAAAUUUUGAUUGAAUAUAUUUUAUACUAUCAACAACAAGAUCAAUAUCUUUGAUCGAAAAUUUUAGUGCUACAUCCACUAGGUAAAUGAUAUCGAAAAAUCGCAAAAUUUAUUUUCUAGAUAGUUCAAAUACAAUAUAUCAAGUCUAACGGAGCCGAUCGUUGAUUCGGAAGUUACAUCAUCGAAAACGGUUUAGGAGCACGGAGGCCUCCGUGCUCCUAAUAGAACACAAGACCUACCCUCUCUAUCUAUAUAUAUAUAUAUGGGUAUACAUAUAGAGAGAGAGGGAGAGAGAGAGAGAGAGAGAGAGAGAGAAUGGCUACUAUACUCUUAUGAGUAUAGAGCCCUUUGUACUCCUAAGUUAUUUUCGACGAUGGAGCUUCUGAAUCGACGAUCCACUCCGUUAAAUAUGAUCUAGAGUAUUUGAAACUUCUAGAAAAUAAAUUUCAUAUUUUUUCGACAUCAUAAUAAAGUCCAUCAAGCAAUCAUAAAUGAAAGGCCAAAAUAGAACGACGUCCUAAAAAUGGAUGAUCGGAUCCUUUAAUUUAACAUCGGAGUUAUUGAUCUUUAUCUAGAUAGUAAAUAGAAUUUUCUAUCAAAAAUUCAACCGAUUACAAUUCCUUUACACCUUUAAACUAGCUAGUAUCCCAUAUCGACUGUUAAAAAUUGUCAAUUUUGAGAUCUUUUGAUCAUAAGGUAAAUGAUGUAAAAAAUUUAUAAAAUUUGAUUUCUAGAAGUUUUAAAUGCUCUAAAUAAUAUUUAACGAUAUGGAUCGUCAAUUCGGAAGCUCUAUCAUCGAAAACGACUUAUAAGUACGAAGGCGACCAUACUCAUAAGAGUAUAGUAGCCGGACUCUCUCUCUCUCUCUUUAUAUAUAUAUAUAGAGCUAGGCUGGUAUACUAUCAGUAGCACGAAGGCCUCCGUGCUACCAAGUUGUUUUCAAUGAUGCGGCUUCUAAAUCGACGAUCGGCUCCGUUAGACUUAAUCUACACUAUUAUAAGUAUUUGGAAACUAAAUUUCAUAAUUUUUUGACAUCAUUUGGCUAGUGAUCAAAAGGUCGCAAAAUAGACAAUUUUAAUGGAGAUGUGAUGCGUUUGUGAAUUUAACGGUGUAAAACAAUCCAAAUCUGAUAAAAUUUUUAUAGAAAAUUCUUUUCACUAUUUAGAGUAAGAUCAGUACCUAUGAUCUUAAAUUAAAGUCUUUUAUCAUCAUUUUUUAUGAGAUUUUUAUUUUCAGCCGUUCAUUUUUAGACUACUCGUUUGAUUGGUAAAUGAGGCCGAAAAAUUAUGAAAUUUAGUUUCCAAAUACUUUUUAUAGUGUAGAUCAAGUCUAACGGAACCGAUCGUCGAUUUGGAAGCUGCAUCAUUGAAAACAACUUGGUAGCACGGAGGCCUCCGUGCUACCGAUAGUAUAACAGCCUGGCUCAUAUAUAUAUAUAGAGUUGAGCUAGAAUGCUAUCGAUAGCAAAUGAGAUCCGUUGCCACCCAUUUGUUUUCGAUGAUAGAGCCUCCAAAUCGACGAUCGGCACCGUUGAACAUGAUCUAUAUCACUUGAAGUGUUUAGAAAUCAAAUUUCAAAUCUUUUUGACAUCAUUUGACUAAUGAUCAAAGGGUUUCAAAAUUUGUAAUUUUAAUGAUCGAUAUGAUGCGUUUUCUCGUUUAACGGCGUAAAGAUAUCCAAAUCAAUUGAAUUUUUGUUAGAAAAUUCUUUAAACUAUUUAAAACAAGAUCUAUACUCUUGAUCUUAAUUACAAGACUCCUAUCAUCAUUUUUUAAAGAAUAUUCAUUUUCAGCCGUUCAUUUUUGUGUCCACUCGAUGGAUAAGAGAACAAUAUCGAAAAUGUAUGAAAUUUGAUUUCUAAACACUUCAAGUGGUAUAUUCAAUGGUGCCGAUCGUCGAUUUGGAGACUCCAUCGAAACAAAUGGAUGGCAACGGAACCCGUUUGCUAUCGAUAGUAUUCUAGCUCAACUCCAUAUAUAGAACUAGGUUGGAAUACUGUUAAUAGCACCAAGUCAUUGGUGCUAUUAGUUUUUCUAGCCCUUGGAUUGAGAAAUGCGCGGUUAGGAUGAUGUGGGCCCCUUAGGGUUGAGUGGGUGGGUGGUUGGUUGAAUAGUAUAAUCUAACGGGUAAAAAUAAUCAAAGGGUUAAUUCUAACGGUGGAAAACUCGAUAGCACCAAGUCCUUGGUGAUAUCCAUAGUGUCCCAGUCGGACUCUACAUAUAGCACCAAGUCCUUGGUGCUAUCGAUAGUGUCCCAGUCGGACUCUACAUACUAUAUGUAGAGUCCGACUGGGACAUUAUCGAUAGCACCAAGGACUUGGUGCUAUCGAGUUUUUCACCGUUAGAAUUAACCCUUUGAUUAUUUUUACCCGUUAGAUUAUACUAUUCAACCAACCACCCACUCAACCCUAGGGAGCCCACAUCAUCCUAACCGCGCAUUUCAAAAUCCAAGGGCUAGAAAAACUGGUGCUAUUUCUGUAGAGUCCGAUUGGGAUAGUACUAUCGAGUUUUCCACCGUUAGAAUUAACCCUUUGAUUAUUUUCACCCGUUAGAUUAUACUAUUUAACCAACCACCCACUCAACCUUAGGGGGCCCAUAUCAUCCUAACCGCGCAUUUCUCAAUCCAAGGGCUAGAAAAACUGGUGCUAUUGAUAGUAUUCCAGCCUAGUUCUAUAUAUUUAUAAUUAGGCUACUAUACUAUCUAUAGUACCGGAGCUCUGGUACUAUAGUCUUGUUUUCGAUCUUAUGGUGUUCAAAUUAACGAUCCACACCGUUAAAUAUGAUCUAGGGUAUAUGAAGUUCUUAGGAAUAAAAUUUUAGUUUUUUUCGACAUCGAUUACUUAGUAAAUAAAUUAUGUCAAAAUGGACAGUGGAAAUUGAAUNUUGGUAGCACGGAGGCCUCCGUGCUACCGAUAGUAUAACAGCCUGGCUCAUAUAUAUAUAUAUAUAUAUAUAUAUAUAUAUAUGUAUGUAGGUAUGUAUAUAUCUUGUUUAACUAUGUUACCUUACCUCAAAUGUCCCUUGUCUUGUUAUUUUAGUUUGUUACAUUAUCCUGAUAUUCAAAUGCUUUUGCAGACCUGUACCACCUUCACAGGUGGUUGUUGCAGUAAGUAACACCUAUGGCCGUGUAAGAAAGCCUCUUGGUUUCCGGCUCGUCGCUGUGCUCUCUGCCUCUCGUGAGUUGGGUGGACAAACUCAAUCAUCCAAUAAUUAUAACAGCAAUGAGUGCUCCAUCUGGAUGCCAAUUCCACCACCAGGCUACUCUGCAGUGGGAUGCGUUGCCCAUGUUGGAAACCAGCCGCCUCCAAACCACAUUGUUUAUUGCCUCCGUUCUGAUCUUGUUACAUCUGCCAAUAUCUCAGACUGUACAUAUUACCUAUCAUCUAAUCAAGGGUACUACUUUCUCUAGUGUUUCGCUCUAUGCAGUAAUGUACAUAGUUUUUUGCCUGACUUACUCCCAUAUAUUGUGUUCAGGAAUAUGUCUGGAUUGACCAUUUGGCAUGUUGAUAAUGUUGUUGGGACAUUCUACGCUCAUAAUUCGUUAGAGUACCCUUCGGAAGGAGAAAUUUUUGACUUGCACCAGAUUGUUCUUCGUAAUCCCAAUUCAAACUUCUAUUACAGCAAAAGUCAUGGUUCAAAUGCUUCUGUUGUCAAAGAACAGUAUAUAAAUCAAGCGGAUAGCAGCAGUACCACUUCUGGGUGGGACGUCGUAAGAUCAUUAUCGCGAUCUAGCAGCUAUUACAUAUCAACUCCACACUUUGAAAGGAUAUGGUGGGAUAAAUGUUGUGAUCCAAGAAGACCAAUUUCUAUAUGGAGACCAUUACCUCGUCCUGGUUUUUCUGCCCUUGGUGAUUGUGUAACAGAAGGGUUGGACAUUGAUCUUCUGCCCUUUUCUUUUUGAUAACAUGCAUAUAUAAGAUGAUCUACCGUGAAAAAUCUUAAUCAUCAUAUAUGUUCUUCAAAUACUUGAUUUCUUGCAAAUAUUCCCUUGUAUUAAUAAUGCUCUUCUUCAAAGUAAUUUUUUAAUGCUGUACGAACUUCCCCUAGCAAUCGGGUGACUCUCUAACUUAGAUAUCUUUUGUAAGAAACUGCACUUUUUAGGAGUACCUAUUUAACUUCAGACUUUAUAGAGAUAUGAAUUGUAAAUAGAUGAUUUUUCAGGGAUAUAAAUGUGAAAACCCCCAUAUUUUGUAGUGGGUGAUUUGCUUUGGAGAUAUUCAUUUAUUUGCUUCUCACUGUUUUAGGUUGGAGCCUCCUGCUCUUGGGUUAGUGUUCAAGUGUGAUAAUUCGAUGAUUUCUGCAAGACCUGUGCAAUUUACUAAAGUUGCACAUAUAGUUGGAAAGGGUGUAGAUGAAGCAUAUUUCUGGUAUCCCAUUCCUCCCCCUGGUUAUGCUUCCCUGGGAUGUGUGGUAACAAAAACAGAUGAUGAGCCAAAGAAAGAUUCUAUUUGCUGUCCGAGGAUGGAUCUAGUUAACCAAGCAAAUGUGUCUGAUGAAGCUAUUUCUAGUUCUUCCAGCUCAAAGGGUUCCAACUGCUGGAGCAUCUGGAAAGUGGAAAAUCAGGUCAAUUAAAUAUGCCCCUUCGAUAAUGUACUAGCUUUCAAUCUCUAACUUGCUAAAGUUAAACAUUUACGUAUCGAGAUAAUUACUUAUAUACCCUGCAAACUAAUCUUACAUGUCUGCAGUGACUGAAUAUUUCAUAAAUGCCCUUCAAAUAUGUUGUCCUCUUUCAGAGUCCCUUUUAUAUUUGACUACGCUACCACUAUGUUGCAGGCAUGCACUUUUCUUGCACGAUCUGAUCACAGAAGGCCUUCAGUUCGCCUGGCAUACAGCAUAGCUGACUACAUAAAACCUAAAGCCCGUGAAAAUGUAACUGCUGAUUUGAAGUUGGGCUUCUUAUCAAUCAGCAUCCUCGAUAGCUCUUGUGGAAUGGUGACUAACUUUGCUAAAGCGUAUUCAUUUAUUCUAAGUUGAGGAAACAAUGACGGUACAAUAUAUUAACUGUUCUAUCCUUAUUCUGCUCUUUUUAAUCUACACAGAUGACACCACUUCUGGACACGACAAUUACGAAUAUAAAUAUUGCAUCUCAUGGACGGCUUGACACAAUGAAUGCUGUAUUGAUCUGUUCAAUUGCAGCAUCAACAUUUAACAGACAGUUAGAAGCAUGGGAACCUCUUAUUGAACCAUUUGAUGGAAUAUUCAAGUAUCUGCUUAUUGACCUACUUGCUUUCUUUAAAUCAAAAUUACUAAUUGUUUUUAUCAUUAGAUAUUCUCUUUCUUACUUCCCCCUAAUUUUAACUUCUUCAUCUUGUGGAGGCUUGAAACAUAUGAUACCAGCCAACAGAAAGUUGGCAAGAGGCUUCGUGUUGCUGCAAUAUCUCCCUUAAAUCUCAAUCUAAGUGCAGCAAAUCUUGAAACCUUGUCAGACACUUUAAUUUCCUGGAAUAGACAAGAUGAUUUAGAGAUUAAGUCAUCGAGGAAAAAUGAGGUCAUAUUACAUGCUUGAUUUCUAAAUAAGGUUUUUAACCUCCUGCAUCUGCUAUCAAAAAACUGAUUCAGUACUUUUUUACAGGAAGACGAUGAAAAUCGGGGACACGAUGAUCUAUCCUAUUCUGCGUUGAAUGAAGAUGAUUUUCAGAAAGUUUUGAUUGAAAAUAAGCUUGGAUGUGAUGUUUAUCUGAAAAAAAUAGAGCAAGAUAAAGAUAGUGUUGAGUUCUUACAACAUGAUAAUCUGGUUUCAGUAUUGAUGCCGCCUCCCAGUUUCUCAGAUAAGCUGAAUGUAGUGUCCAGAUCUGAGGAAGCUAGAUAUUAUGUUGCCAUACAGAUCUUUGAAUCUAAGGUCAGGCAUAUAUUUCAUCUACUAUUUAGUUAUGUACUCUUCUGUUCAUGUUGAAAAUCUUGGAAAUGAUUCCACUUAAUUGCAGGGACUACCAAUUGUAGAUGAUGGCAACAAUCAUGAUUUUUUUUGUGCAUUGCGAUUGCUUAUCGACAGUAAUGCCUCGGAUCAGUACAAGCUGUUCCCACAAAGUGCGAGGACAAGAUGUGUAAAACCAUUGAUCUCAAAUAGUAGUGACACGAGCAAAGGCCAUGCUAAGUGGAACGAACUUUUUAUAUUUGAGGUUCCAGAGAAGGUAGCCAUAAAUUAUUUACUGUCUUGCAACACUUGUUCUUUGAGCACCUGUAGGUCAUUAUAGAGUUCUAAUUUUAGGUAUAUGGUUUCCUUUGUUAGAGUUUUUUAAUUGGAUCUUCCACGCUACCUGAAAAAUAGAAAUUCAGUAAUAUCAUCAUUCAUAAGCAAACACAUACUCGAAACAAUAAGCCUGCAUAUGAGCAUUAUUUAUUUUAGAAAUUUUCAUGGACUAAUCUCUCUCAAAUGUUGCAGUUUGCUUAGUAUCAACUUCAUCUUCAUUUUAUGAGUUACCCUGGUUGAGUUGUUGCUAUGCAUAAUCAUCUAGUCUUUCAAUUUAACCAUUGGCCAAUUCCUAUCAAGGCGUAGGCACUACACAGCUGUAGUUUUCUUUACAUAACCAUGCCUCAAAAUUAAGUUGAGGGCUAAAAGAACUGGCUUUUGUUCCUGUAAGUAGGUGUUGAGCAGAUUGGGUUCAUUCAUAUUUUAGCCAACCUAUUUAAUCAGUUCUAUGAGACAACAAACUGAAACAGACCUCACAUGAUCAAGAAACUGAACCUAACUUUUGAGGGCUAAAAGAACUGGUUUUUGUGCUGGGAGGUAGAUGUUUGAGCAGCUUGGGUUCCUACCUGUUUAAUCAAGUUCUAUGGAACUGCAAACUAAAACAGAAUCCACAUGAUCAAGAAACUGAAACAAACUGAUUUAGGCGGUUUAGCUUUGGCUUCCGUUUAAGUUAUAUAUAUAUAUAGAGAAAGAGAGAGAGAGUAGGGCUACUAUACCCUUAUGAGUAUAGACCCUUUAUAUUCAUAAGUUUUGAAGGGAUGUGCAGUUAGGAUGAUAGUGGUCCUCUAGGGUUGAAUGAGUAGUCGGUUGAGUAGUAUGAUCUAAUGGGUGAAAAUGAUCAAAGAGGUAACGGCCAAAAACUUACGAGUACAAAGAGGUCUAUACACAUAAGUGUAUAGUAGCCAGACUCUCUCUCUCUCUCUCUCUCUCUCUCUCUCUCUCUCUAUAUAUAUAUAUAUAUAUAUAAUGUGGCUGGAAUACUAUUAAUAGUAGCAUAAUAGUGUUUGCUAACAACUUUUAUCCAUUGGAUGUCAAAGGUUUAGUAGGGUUAGGUAGAAUAGUAAUUAAUCCAAUGGCUAAAAAGUUGAUAGUAAACACUAUUCAUAUAUUAUCAAAAGUAUCCUAGGUGAACUCUAUAUAUAUAUAUAUAUAUAUAUAUAUAGAGCUAGGCUGGUAUACUAUCGGUAGCACGGAGGGCUCCAUGCUACCAAGUUGUUUUCGAUGAUGUGGCUUCCAAAUCGACGAUCGGCUUUGUUAGACAUGAUCUACACCAUUAAAAGUAUUUGGAAACUAAAUUUUAUAAUUUUUUGACAUCAUUUGGCUAGUAAUCAAAAGGUCUCAAAUUGACUAUUUUAACGGUAGAUGUGAUGCGUUUGUGAAUUUAACGGUGUAAAACAAUCCAAAUCUGAUGAAAUUUUUGAAAAUUCUUUUCACUAUUUAGAGUAAGAUCAGCACCUCUGAUCUUAAAUUCAAGUCUUUUAUCAUCAUUUUUUAUGAGAUUUUUAUUUUCAGCCGUUCAUUUUUAGACUACUCGUUUGAUAGGUAAAUGAUGCCAAAAUAUUAUGAAAUUUACUUUCCAAAUACUUUCAAUAGUGUAGAUCAAGUCUAACGGAGCCGAUCGUCGAUUUGGAAGCUGCAUCAUUGAAAACUACUUGGUAGCAUGGAGCCCUCCGUGCUAUCGAUAGUAUACCAGCCUAGCUCUCUCUCUCUCUCUCUCUCUCUCUCUCUCUCUCUAUAUAUAUAUAUAUAUAUAUAUAUAUAUAUAUAUGUAGUAGAACUUGCGUGCUAUUAGGAGCACAGAGGUCUCCAUACUCCUAAGUCGUUUUCGAUGAUGAGACUUUCGAAUUGACGAUCGACUCCGUUAGACUUAAUCUAGCGUAUUUGAAGUAUUUAGAAAAUAAUUUUUACGGAUUUUCAAUAUCAUUUGCUUAGUGAUUGAAUGGAUUCAAAAUCAACAAUAUUUAAUGGUUGAUGUAUGUCGUUUGCAGGUUUAACGGUGUAGAAAUAUUCAAAUCAGAUAAAAUUUUGAUAGAAAAUUCUUUAUACUAUCUACAAAAAGAUCAAUAUCUCUAAUCGAAAUUAGUGCUACAUCAUAACUUUUUGUGAGAUUUUUAUUUUCAACCGUUGAUUUUGAGUCCUUUCAAUCACUAGGUAAAUGAUAUCGAAAAAUCGCAAAAUUUAUUUUCUAGAUUGUUCAAAUACACUAGAUCAAGUCUAACGGAGCUGAUCGUCGAUUCAGAAGUUACAUCAUCAAAAACGGCUUAGGAGCACUGAGGCCUCUGUGCUCCAAAUAGCACACAACACCUGCUCCAUAUAUAUAUACGCGCACGUGUAUAUAUAUAUAUAUAUAUAUAUAGAGUUGAGCUAGAAUACUAUCGAUAGCAAACGGGCUCUUUUGCCACCCAUUUGUUUUCGAUGAUGGAGCCUCCAAAUUGACGAUCGGCACCGUUGAACAUGAUCUAUAUCACUUGAAGUGUUUAGAAAUCAAAUUUCAAAUCUUUUCGACAUCAUUUGCUUAAUGAUCAAAGGGUUUCAAAUUUUACUUCCGAUUUGAAAUUUGAGUCCUUUAUCACUGUUUUUUAUGAGAUUUUUAUUUUCAGCCGUUUAUUUUGAAGCUACUCAUUUACUAGACAAAUGAAGUCAAAAGUUUAUGAAUUUUGGUUUCUAGGUAGUUCUAAUAGCGUAGAUCAUGUCUAACGAAACUGAUCGCCGAAUCGAAUGCCCCAUCAUCGAAAACAACUUACAAGCAUGGAGGCCUCCGUACUUUCGAAAGCAUAGGAGCCUAGCUCUAUAUAUACAUAUAUGUAUGUAUAUACAUGUAUAUACAUAUAUAUAUAUAUAUAUAGAGCUAGGCUCCUAUGCUUUCGAAAGUACGGAGGCCUCCAUGCUUGUAAGUUGUUUUCGAUGAUGGGGCAUUCGAUUCGGCGAUCAGUUUCGUUAGACAUGAUCUACGCUAUUAGAACUACCUAGAAACCAAAAUUCAUAAACUUUUGACUUCAUUUGUCUAGUAAAUGAGUAGCUUCAAAAUAAACGGCUGAAAAUAAAAAUCUCAUAAAAAACAGUGAUAAAGGACUCAAAUUUCAAAUCGGAAGUAUUGGUCUUACUAUUGAUGUUAAGUAGAAUUUUAUAUUAAAUUUUCAUCUAAUUUGGAUACUUCUACACCGUUGAACUUAAAAACGUGCCACAUCGACCGUUAAAAUAGUCAUUUUUGAGACCUUUUGAUCGCUUGGUAAAUGAUGUCAAAAAAUUAUAAAAUUUGGUUUCUAAGUAGUUCCAAUAGGGUAAAUUAUAUUUAACGGAGCCGAUCGUCGAAUCAGAUUUCCUAUCAUCGAAAACAACUUACAAGCACGGAGGUCUCCGUACUUUCGAAAGUACAUGAGACUUACUCUAUAUAUAUAUAUAUAUAUAUAUAUAUAUAUAUAUAAUUGAGCUAGAAUACUUUUAGAAGCACCAACCCCUUGGUGCUUCUAAGUUUCUAGCCCUUGGAUCUACACUUCAUCUACUCCUUAAUUACUAAUAGCUUUUGGAUCAAAUACUAUUCCACCUACCACCGCCUACCACCAUCAUUUCAAAUUCUCAACCCUACAUCUCUCCAUCCAAUGGCUAAAAACUCAAAAGCACUACCCUUUUGGUGCUUUUGAGAGUAUUCUAGCUCAACUCUAUAUAUAUAUAUAUAUAUAUAUAUAUAUAUAUAUAUAUAUAUAUAUAGUCCGACUACUCUACACUUAUGAGUACGAUUACCUGCGUACUCAUAAGUUGUUUUCAAUGAUAGAGUUUCUGAAUCGACGAUCUUUACCAUUAAACAUAAUUUAGAGCAUUUGAAACUACUAGAAAUCAAAUUUCAUAAUUUUUCGACUUCAUUUACCUUCUGAUCAAAAGAUCUCAAAAUUGACAAUUUUUAGGGCCGGUAUGGGACACUUGCUAGCAAGGAUUUAAGUGCCGUAGCACGGGGUCGUGCCGAAAACUUGCCAGCACGGUGCGUACCGGUGCGUGUUGAUGCGUGCCAGUCACAAAAUAUAUGUGUGCCAACACGUAAUGGCAUGAAAUAUUUAUUUUCUUUAGCAACAAAAUAUGCCAAUUAUUUAUUAUGUAUUUUUAUCAAAUCUUUUGAACUUUAUUGAGAAAAUUACUUACUAAUUUCAAGAAUAGAGGUUUUUGAGUUGCGCCAUCGGCACAGGAGCUGUAGCUGUAUCGUGCUGAUAUCUUGCUGGCAUGAUACGGCACGAUGGAUACGGCCCGUGCCGAUGGGCAGUUUAAUCCUUGCUUGCUAGUUUACGGGCCUGUUUGGCAAACCCCCUAAUACAGAGUAAUAGGCCAAAUUACUCUGUUUUCUAAAAAACUCUAUUUUUUUUCUUUAGUUGGCCUAUUUGGAAGGUCCAACCGUCCAAUAAGGAAAAAAAAAGUACUCUGUAAUAUAGAUUUUACAGAGUAAUUUUGGGGUAAAAAAACACUGGUUAGACCUCUUUAAAAAAAAUACUCUAUUCGUCACGUCGCUUUCCUACCCCUCCCUCUUCUGUUCUAUUUCAUCCUCCCUUCCCAUCCCAGCCCCUCCCCUCCUCCUUCUCCUUCUCCUUCCUCUGACGACAAUGAAGCCAUUGAUGCCAAUGCCGCUGUCGCAGCCGCCGAUGCUUCCGCAGAUAACGCCGAUGCUGUUGCUACCGACUCUACACCCUUUGACGAUGAUGACAACAAUGACGCCGGCGCCGCCACCGCCGAUGCUGAUGACAACGACAAUGCCACUCUUGCUAACGUCCAUGGCGGCAGGAGGAAUAGUAGUAAGAGGAGAGGGAUGCGAGCGGCGGUGGCUGUGGAGAUGGGGCCUAAGGAGGAGGAGAAGUUUUUCGUUAUAUUUAAAAAGAAAAAUUCUCAAUUUGAUACAAUCUACUAAUAAAUUAUCUUUUUUAUACUUUGAUCCAAAAAUAAAGAAAGUUUAUUUUGAUUAGUACAAUUUUUUUUAAUUUGUUUUAUAUAAGUAAAAUAGAGUACUUUUUUAAGAGGCAAUCCAAAUAAUAAAAAAUAGAGUAAUGUUUUUACAGCAAGGUUUUAAGUACCCGUAUCCACCGUGCCGUACCGUGCCAACAAAAUACCAGCACGAUACAAACCCUGUGCCGAUGGCACAGCUCAAAACCCUCUAUUCUUUAAAUUAGUAAGUAAUUUUCUCAAUAAAGUUCAAAAGAUGUGAUAAAAAGACAUAAUAAAUAGUUAGAAUAUUUUGUUGCUAAAGAAAAUAAAUAUUUCAUGCUAUUAUGUGUCGGCACACAAGAAUUUUUUUGACCGGCACGCAUAGGCACGGCUCGGCACGCACCAUGCCGUACCGUGCUGGCAAGUUUCCGGCACGAUCCGUGCCACGGCACUUAAAUUCUUGUUUUACAGAGUAUAGAGUUUUUCAAAAUGUUAAAUACAGUGUAAAAUAAAACUUUGUUUUAUUUUCCAAUGAUUGCCAAACAGACCCUAACAGUGUAAAGGAAUCGGAAUUGGUUGAUUUUUUGAUAGAAAAUUCUAUUCAUUAUUUAAAUAAAGAUUAAUAAUUCCGAUUUUAAAUUGAGUAAUCCGAUCCUCUAUAUUUAGGCGAUCCCUGGAUUUUAACCGUUCAUUUUAUGCCCAUUUGAUGGAGUUUAUUAUAAUUUUGAAAAAUUACGAAAUUUAUUUUCUAGAAGUUUUGAAUGCUCUAAAUCAUAUUUAACGGUAUGGAUUGUCGAUUCGGAAGCUCUAUCAUCGAAACAACUUAUGAGUACAAAAAGCUCUAUACUUACAAGAGCAUAGUAGCCAUACUCGAUACACACACACACACACACAUAGAGAGAGAGAGUCCGACUACUAUACUAUCGAUAGUACCAAGCUCUUGGUACUAUCGAGUUUUCUGCCGUUAGAUCUACCCUUUGAUCAUUUCCUCCCAUUAGAUUAUACUAUUCAACCAACCACCCUCUCAACCCUAGGGACCACUAUCAUCCUAACCACACAUCCUUUCAUCCAACGGCGAAGAACUCGAUAGCACCAAGCACUUGGUGCUACCAAGUUUUCCACCGUUAGAUUUACCCUUUUGACCAUUUCUAUCCGUUAGAUCAUACUAUUCAACCAACCAUCCACUUAACUUUAAGGGACCACUAUCAUUCUAACCACACAUCCCUUCAUCCAAGGGCCCAAGACCUAAUAGCACCAAUGACCUAUUAGAAGCAUUCUAACCUAAUUCUUUCUAUCUAUCUAUCUAUCUAUAUAUAUAUAUAUAUAGAGAGAGAGAGAGAGAGAGAGAGAGAGAGGGAGAGAGAGAGAGGCUGCCAGUUCAAAUUAUGCCGGGCUACCAUUCUAAGUAGUACAUUUUAUCUUUUCUUAGUGGCUUAUGUAAGCAAAACCUGACAUGCAGUUUACUGAAUUGGUUUGAUAUUUUUUCUGUUAAUUCCUCCGAUAUUGGCUAGUGUUGUCGCAGUUAUAACUUAAUUAGAUGGUUAUAUGUUUUCAUACUUUUCAGGGAUCAGCUAAUCUAGAGAUUGAGGUUACAAAUCUUGCUUCAAAAGCUGGGAAGGGUAAGCUCAAGAUCCUUUUAUCGUAAUUGUGAUAUGCAAUCUUAGUUCACAAAUGAUUCACAAUCUGGGGUCUCCACUGCUAGACUAGUCAAUGUUAGUUCUCAGCAGCUACUUUUUAUAAGGUUGGAGAGCCCUUUUUAAAGUCGUGAUGAAAGUUUUUGAUAAACAAAAUUCUUCAUAUGAAAAUAGUAGUUUAAUAGUUGAUGCAGAAAAUCUAGAAAUUCAAGUUAUCUGCUAGUUUAUAUGGUAAUGCACCUCUGUUAGUUUAUAUGGUAAUUGCUUUGAAAUUGAAGGUGAAGUUAUUGGUGCUCUGUCUAUCCCUGUGGGACGUGCUACUACUCUGAAACGGGCUCCUUCAAUGAAGAUCCUUCAGCAAGCUGCUGACUUCCAGCAUGUUUCUUCAUAUCCUCUUAGGAGAAAGGUAACUGAGUUUUCAUUCCUUGAAUGUCAAUUUUGUUUCACUUACCUUCAAUCCAUGUAUAAUUAGAUACUACUAUGCUUUUGUUGUCUAUUCUUGUUUGACAAAUUCAAAAGAUGAUAAUUUAACAUGCCAAGAAAUAUUUUUAUAUAUUCAGGGUCAGCCAAUCAAUAACGAAGAUAGGAAAGACUACGGUGUUUUGGUAGUUUCUACUUGUUAUAUUGAACGGAAUACCCAACAAAGUUUCCAGAGCGGGACAGAUGAUGAAGAAUUUGAUACUGAUGUUGGUUUCUGGAUUGGCCUGAGCCCUGAUGGUCCCUGGGAAAGCUUCAGCUCCGUUUUGCCACAAUCGAUUGUUCCAAAAUCACUAAACAAGAAUCCUUUUGCCUUUGAAGUUUCAGUGAGAAAUGGAAAGAAGCAUGGAGUUCUCAGAGCUCUUGCUCUUAUUGCAAAUGAUGCCAACAUCAAACUCGAAGUGUCUGUGUGUCCUGUCAACAUGCUUAGCAGUCCUCUUUCAAACGUGGAAUCAGGCAGUUCUACCACUGUGAUAGAAGAGGUCUUUGAAAAUCAGCGGUACCAGCCAAUUGCUGGUUGGGGAAACAAGUCAGUUGGUUUCCGUGGAAAUGAUUUAGGACGUUGGAGCAACAGGGAUUUUUCAUAUUCUUCAAAGGUAAGAUAACAUGAUUUAUGAACAUGUAAUCUUCAACUACUUGGAUAAUUUUACAGUUGUAGCCCAUCUAUGUAAUACCCUGUAAAAUCUGACUUCAUAUACCCUUCAAAAACUUCAUUUCUUACCUAUACACCUAUGUACUAAAUUCCCCUCUCAAAGCCUUUUUUUAAUUUCCUUGCGAGAAUUGAAUGACUCCCCAUUUUCUAACUAAAGCAGUAUUAUUCUAGUAAACUGCACUUUCGAGGGGUGUAUAUUUGAAAAUUCAGCUUUUUCUGGGGUAACUAUGUGAAUUUACAAUUUUGCUGGAAUAUAUAUGUAAAAGAUUCAUAAAUGUUUUUGUAUAAGGUUUUGUUUCAUUGCUUUUAACAAAGAAACUACUUCACCAUGAAGGACUUCUUUGAGCCUUCCCUCCCAGCUGGUUGGCGAUGGACAUCACCCUGGAAAAUUGAGAAGUCCCAGUAUACGGACGGUGAUGGAUGGGCAUAUGGAACUGACUUUCAGAGCUUAAAAUGGCCUCCUACUUUUUCAAAAUCAUCUUCCAAAUCACCUCUGGAUUUUGUACGGCGAAGGCGAUGGGUACGUACAAGGCAGCAGUUACCAGAAAAAGCUACAGAUAUCAUGAGAAAUAUUAUUGCUGUAAUAAAUCCGCACUCAUCUACAGUUUUGCCAUGGACAAGCACCAUUAGAGAUAUGGACUUGUGCUUGCAAGUCCGACCUUAUUCUGAGAAUUCACAGGAUGACUAUACUUGGGGUCAAAUUUUCACUUUUGGUUCUUCUAAUCAAUCUACUAAUUAUCAGGAUACACUUUCUCGACAAAGCACUUUGAAAAACCCAAAUAUCCGUUUGCAAAAUUCUAUUCUUAGGUUGACCCAGCUUGAGAAGAAAGAUAUGAUUCUUUAUUGUAAUCCUACCGUUGGUAUCAAAAAGAAUUUCUGGUUAAGCAUUGGAACUGAUGCUUCAGUUCUCCACACAGAACUAAAUUCACCUGUUUAUGAUUGGAAAAUUUCUGUUAAUUCGAUUCUUAGACUCGAAAACAAGCUUCCAUGUGAAGCUGAAUAUGCUAUCUGGGAGAGAUCAGUUGAAGGUAAUAUGGUUGAACGGCAGCAUGGCAUUGUCUCCUCAGCUGGAAGUGCAUUUGUUUACUCAGUAGAUGUUCGAAGACCCAUCUACCUCACAUUGUUUGCUCAAGGUGGCUGGGCUUUAGAAAAGGUAACUCAAGCACAGGUAUUAUUUAGAUUAUUAAAGAAUGCUUUGGUGAAUUCUGAUUUGAGAAAUAAGUUCGAAACUCUCCCUUGUGAUGGUAGUAUCAAAUUACCUGACAGGGCCAACUGUUAUAUGUUGCACUUAUUUGCCAUGUGGAAAUAUUUAUGAUAAGGUUUCAAGUAUGAAGUCACCUGUGCGUUUGCAGUAGUCUGAGCAUUUCUUGUUCCUUUCUGAUGUUAUUCAUUUUUUUUUUCCUUUCAGGAUGCUAUUUUAAUAAUGGAUUUAAUAAAUCUGGAUCAUGCUUCAUCUUUUUGGAUGGUUCAAAAACAAAGUAACAGGUUGGGAUCUAUGUGCUAUAUGAUCAAUUUUGAUACUUCCCAUUGUAUCUGUCUUUUUGGCGAAUCAAUAAAUUUACCAUCAUGUCAUUCAUAUUUGUCCUUUUUUUUUCUCUUCUUUUCUUUUCUGGAGGAUUGGAUGUUGGAUCAUCAUACAUCAUCUAUAAAAGAGGUUUGAAAUAUGGAAAAUGUUCCGACAGAUGAGUGGUUACACAAGAAAAGGAUGGACUAGAACUUAAUAUAUUUAUUGUAGAGUCCGGCUACUAUACUCUUGUAAGUACGAUCGCCUUCGUACUCAUAAGUCGUUUUCGAUUGAUAGAACUUUUGAAUCAACAAUCCAUACCGGUAAACGUUAUCUAGAGUAAGGAUUUAAGUGCCGUGGCACGGGGUCGUGCCGGAAACUUGCCGGCACGGUACGGCACGGUAAGUGCGAAGCCGUGCCGAUGCGUGCCGGUCAAAAAAAUUCUGAUGUGCCGACACAUAAUAACAUGAAAUAUUUAUUUUCUUUAGUAACAAAAGAUUCUAAUUAUUUAUUAUGUCGUUUUAUCACAUCUUUUGAACUUUAUUGAGAAAAUUACUUACUAAUUUAAAAAAUAGAGGGUUUUGAGCUGUGCCAUCGGCACGAGAUCUGUAUCGUGCCGGUAUCUUGUUGGCACGGUACGGCACGGUAGAUACGGUCCGUGCCGACGGGCACUUAAAACCUUGAUCUAGAGCAUGUAAAACUUGUAGAAAUCAAAUUUUAUAAUUUUUUGACAUCACUUACCUUGCGAUCAGAAGAUCUCAAAAUUGACAAUUUUUAACGUUUGGUAUGGGAUACUUGCUAGUUUAACAGUGUAAAAGAAUCAGAAUCGGUUGAAUUUUUUAUAGAAAAUUCUAUUCACGAGCUAGGCUAGUAUACUAUCAGUAGCACGGAGGUUUCUGUGCUAUUAAGUUGUUUUCAAUGAUGCGGCUUCCAAAUCGACGAUCGGCUCCAUUAGACUUGAUCUACACUAUUAAAACUAUUUGGAAACUAAAUUUCAUAAUUUUUUGACAUCAUUUACCUAUCAAACGAGUAGUCUAAAAAUAAAUGGCUGAAAAUAAAAACCUCAUAAAAAAUGGUGAUAAAAGACUUAAAUUUAAGAUCAGAGAUACCGAUCUUCUCUAAAUAGUGAAAAGAAUUUUCUAUAAAAAUUUCAUGAGAUUUAGAUUGUUUUACACCGUUAAAUUCACAAACGCAUCACAUCUACCAUUAAAAUUGUCAAUUUUGAGACCUUUUGAUCACUAUCCAAAUGAUGUCGAAAAAUUAUAAAAUUUAGUCUCCAAAUACUUUUAAUAGUGUAGAUCAUGUCUAACGGAGCCGAUUGUCGAUUUGGAAGCCAUAUCAUUAAAAACAACUUGGUAGCACGGAGGCCUCCGUGCUACCGAUAGUAUACCAACCUAGCUCUUCUAUUCACUAUCUAGAUAAUGAUAAAUAACUCCGAUCUUAAAUUGAAGGAUCCGAUCAUCCAUUUUUAGGACGUCGUUCGAUUUUGACCAUUCAUUUUAUGCCCAAUUGAUGAACUUUAUUAUGAUUUCAAAAAAUUACGAAAUUUAUUUUUUAGAAGUUUCAAAUUCUCUAGAUCAUAUUUAACGGAGUGGAUCGUCGAUUUGGAAGCUCCAUCAUCAAAAACAACUUAUGAGUACGAAGGGCUCUAUACUCUAAGAGUAUAGUAGCCUACUCUUUAUUGUAAGGUUUGAGCAGCUGCAGGUGAUGAUAAAUUGACAGAUCCUUAGAAAACGGUAUGAUCAUAUGUGACAUAGAAAUGCGGAUUCACCAGUUCAAGGAGCAAGACAAGCCAGAUAGUAUAUUUCGCGAAUAACCAUACCGAGCCUCAAAAAAAUUACAUUUUAAAAUGAUUAGAAGCGGGCCAAAUCAAAUAGAAUAUAUCAACAUAACCAAAGUGAUUCAAAAAUACACUUAAAAGUGAUUAUGAAAGUGUUUCUUGCUGUAGACAGAGAAGAUAGGAGAAAAAUGUAGGAGAAAAAUGUAGUCAGUUGGACAUGUAGGAAUUCAUUUUAGGGAUUCCUUUAGAUUUCUUAGGAUUAAUGUUAGCCAAUUCUGUUUUGUACGGGAUUAAAAAAUGGGAGCGGGCUAAGUGGAGUUAGAGGAUACUAUGAGAAUUUAUACAGCUGACCCCACCUCUUAUUGGAUUUUGAAUUAGCUUAUUUGAGAUAAGUUGAGUUGGGACUUGGGAGGUUAGAAGUGAUGUGAUGUAUUAGGUCAAAAAAUAAGUUGUGUAAUUAUAUUACUCAGAACUGUUGCCUGGUCUGAAGAGCUUGACUUAUAUAUGGAGUCAAUUGUUUCUCUUCUUUUUAAAAGCUCUCUAAUGUUUGCUUGACAAUGUAAACAUUUACUUUUUUGCCUUAGAUGAAAUUUAGCGUUUUUAGCGUUUGUUCAAUGUUAUGUAGUAAAACUUUUCUUCUUAAUGAACUCCGACUCUCUGGUACUUUAAAGUACUAAUCUCUUAAUUGCAUAAAAGUAACAUUACUUAUGUGCUCACCUUUCCAGGAGACUGCGCGUCAGUGUUGAGCAUGAUAUGGGCGGAAGUGAAGCUGCACCAAAAACUGUGAGAUUGUUUGUCCCCUAUUGGAUCCAAAAUGAUACCUCAGUGCCACUUUCCUAUCGAGUUGUAGAGCUGGAACCUUCAGAGAAUUCAGAUACCGACAAUCUCUUACUUACAAGAGCAAUAAAAUCCACAAAGCUCACCUUGAGGAAUUCCUCAAAAUCAUUGGACCGAUUAAAAACCAGCUCUCAGAGGAACAUUCAAGUAUUGGAGGUUAUUGAGGACUUCAAUCCAAAAUGUGUCAUGUUGUCUCCGCAAGACUACAUGAAUCGUUCUGGGGUUUUGCCCUUCCAAUCUAAGGGAGAGACAUUCACCUCCACACGUGUUGGCAUCUCUGUUGCAGCUCAUGAUUCUACGUAUUACAGUCCUGGAGUUUCUCUUCUCGAGCUUGAAAGCAAGGUAUGGAGGCACCUUCAAGCAUCUCUUUAAUGGUUUCUUUUUGUUUCUUGGGUCCAGAUUUCUCGUUAUAGGAAAUUGUCGAUAGUGUGAAGCUUAGCUAAGUUUUUGUGCAGGAACGUGUUGAUGUCAAAGCAUAUGCUUCUGAUGGGUCAUAUUACAGGCUCUCAGCCCAACUCAAGAUGGCUUCUGAUAGAACUAAGGUUGCAAUCUCCAUCAAUGUUGUUGGACCUCAAAAAAUUUUCAAUUCCACAAAAAGUGAAAAUUUUUUUGUUCUUAAUUCAUGAAUAAGGUUGUUUCGAGGUGAAUCUUAUAAAAUCCCAUUCUUUUUGCAGGUUGUUCAUUUCCUACCCCGAACGCUGUUUAUCAACAGGAUUGGGCGCAGUAUGUCUUUAUCUCAGUUUAAGACUGAUACUGAGGUGUUUCUACACCCAACUGAUCCUCCAAAAUUAUUUAAAUGGCAAUCCAACAUGGCAAAUGAGCUUCUGAAGGUUAGAAUUGACCAUUCCUAUUUCUAUUCACUUUGUUUAUACGUAUUCAUCUGAACUUACAUGAUAGGUGUCAUUUGUAAUCAGUUGCGCUUGGAUGGGUACAAAUGGAGUUCUCCUUUUAGCAUUGAAAGUGAUGGUAUCAUGUGUAUCUGCCUGAACAGUGAUACAGGAAAUGACCAAAUGUUUAUCAGAGUUGAAGUAAGAAAUGGAACCAAAAGCUCACGCUAUGAAGUUGUGUUUCGCCUUGCUUCUUCUUCGAGCCCUUACAGGUAUAUUAAAGGAAAGAAGAAAAGAAAUCAUUUUGCUUUCUAUUUUCCUUAUUUGUGUCUGGAUGAUGAUUCUAACUUCUCAUGGGCAGAAUUGAAAAUCGUUCCAUGUUCUUGCCUGUACGAUUUCGCCAAGUGGACGGUCGUGAUGACUCCUGGCGCAGUCUGCCCCCUAAUUCUGCCUCUUCAUUUUUCUGGGAGGAUCUUGGUAGACAACGGUUACUAGAGAUCAUGGUUGACGGAACAGAUUCCUUAAGUUCUAAUAAGUACAACAUCGAUGAGGUCAAGGAUCAUCAGCCCAUUCCAACAUCAACUGGGCCCAUUAAGGCGUUGCGUCUUACUGUUCUGAAAGAAGGUAAGACGCACAUUGGUCGAAUUAGUGACUGGAUGCCACGAAAUGAAACUCAACAACAGAUAAAAGAAAGAAUUUCAUCGCCAAUUUUCCUACCGUCAGAGGUUGACUAUACAGAGUCUUCUGUGACCUCGGAUAGUGAAUUUCAUGUUACUUUUGAUCUAGCAGAUUUGGGCUUAUCUGUUAUUGAUCAUAUGCCCGAGGAAAUUCUAUAUCUAUCCAUACAGAAUCUCUCACUUACUUAUUCAUCUGGGUUGGGCUCUGAGAUUAGUAGGUAAGAACAAUUGAUUGUUGAUAAUUUCUGCAGCUAUUUUUGUGAAGCGAUACUAUCUUAUACUAUUUUUUUCUUAACGGCAGAUUUAAGUUGCGGAUGAGUUGGAUCCAAAUAGAUAACCAAUUACCUUUUACCCCAUUGCCAGUUCUUUUUAGUCCACAGAGUCUGGGGAAUCAACUGGACUACAUUCUGAAGUUCUCAAUGACCAUGCAAACUAAUAAUUCUCUAGAUUUUUGUGUGUAUCCAUAUGUUGGUUUGCAGGUAAGAUUUGUUCCAUCUUGUUCAUGAAUAAAUUUGUUUUUUCUAAGUUUCUAUAAAUAAAAUAGGUUAAUGUAUCUUUUGAUAAUCUAUUUAAUUGUUGUCUACUGCUACGAUGACACAUAAUUCCUCCGUCCAUUACAUGAAUGUUGAUUUUCUCUUUUAUGUCCCUCAAAAACUUAUUUGCAUAUGUUUUAGUGUUUUAAGGAGCAAAUGUUCAAGUCGUAGACAUUUAAUUCAUGUGUAAGCCUUUUUCUUUUGAGGAAUAGACAAGUAAUUACGCGUACGCGCGUGCACGCACAUAAAGCUAUGCUAGAAUACUUCUAGAAGUAAACAGAGGUGUAUACUUCUUUGCCGUUCUGACAAUGGAGCAUCCAAAUCAACAGUAGACACUGUUAAACUUGAUCUAGACUAUUUGUACUUUGUAGAUUCUGAAUUUCACAAUUUUCUGACAUCAUUUGCCUAGUAUUUGAAUGGUCUUAAAAUUGACUUAUUUUAAUGUCUAAUAUAAGAUGAAGUUGAAACAACUUGAUCACUACACAAAUGAUCAUGGAAAAUUACGAAAUUUGAUUCUUAUGAAGCCCAAAUAGCCUAAAUCAUGUUUAACGGUAUCGAUCAUCAAUUCGGACGCCUCAUCGUAGAAACGACAUGGAAGUGAACUCCUCUGUUUACUUCUAGAAGCAAUCAUGUUUAACGGUAUGGAUCAUCGAUUACGAAGCUCUAUCAUCGAAAAUGACUUCUGAGUACGAAGACAAUCGUACUUAUAAGAGUAUGGUAGCCGGACUCUAUAUAUAUAUAUAUAUAUAUAUAUAUAGAGAGAGAGAGAGAGAGAGAGAGAGAGAGAGAGAGAGAGAGAGAUAUAUNGCUAUUAAGAGUACAGCAGCCCGUAUGCUUUUAAGUUCCUAACUAGUAUAGUUAGAAUGAGAGUAAUAAACAUUUUGGGCCAGUGAAUUGGACCCAAUUCAAAACAUACAGAUGAGUGUCCACGGAUCUCGAUUGUGAUCUGGCCCAACCAACCUCAUAUCACGAGUGUAGAUAUAUAUAUAUAUAUAGAGAGAGAGAGAGAGAGAGAGAGAGAGAGAGAGAGUUGAGCUAGAAUACUAUCAGUAGCAAACAGACUCCGUUGCCACCCAUUUGUUUUCGAUGAUGGAGCCUCCAAAUCGAUGAUUGACACCGUUGAAUAUGAUCUAUACCACUUGAAGUAUCUAGAAAUCAAAUUUCAUACUUUUCCGAUAUUGUUCUCUUAUCCAUCAAGUGGGCGUAAAAAUGAACAGCUGAAAAUGAAUAUCAUCUAAAAAGUGAUGAUAGGAAUUUUGUAAUCAAAAUCGAGAGUAUAGAUCUUAUUCUAAAUAGUUUAAAAAAUUUUCUAACCAAAAUUCAAUUGAUUUGGAUAGCUUUACACCGUUAAACGAGAAAACGCCUUAUAUCUACUAUUAAAAUUACAAAUUUUGAAACCCUUUGAUCAUUAGGUCAAUGAUGUCGAAAUGAUUUGAAAUUUGGUUUCUAGAUACUUCAAGUGGUAUAGAUAAUGUUCAACGAUGCCGAUUGUCAAUUUAAAGGCUCCAUCAUCGAAAACAAAUAGGUGGCAACGGAACCAUUGCUACCGAUAGCAUUCCAGCUCAACUCUCUCUCUCUCUCUAUAUAUAUAGAGUUAACGGGCUAGAUUACUAUUUGUAGUAAAUGGGCUCUGUUGCUAUCUAUUUGUUUUUUUAUCACUAGUAUAAUAUUUAUUUUGCUGUAGAUAGUAUAAAAAGAAAUUUAUCAAAAUUUUAUCUGAUUUGGAUACUUUUAACUAUUAAACUUGCAAACGGCACACAUCAACUAUUAAAAAUUAUUGAUUUUUAACCCUUUCAAUCACUAGGUAAAUGAUAUUGAAAAACCGCAAAAUUUAUUUUCUAAAUAUUUCAAAUACGCUAGAUCAAAUCUAACAGAGCUGAUCGUCUAUUUGAAAGUUCCAUCAUCAAAAACGGCUUAGAAGCACGGAGGCUUCUGUGCUCUUAAGAGCAUGACAGGCUUCUGUGCUCUUAAGAGCACGACAGCCCUACUCAAUCCCCUAAGAUAGGAUACUAAUGAUAGUAGAGGAAUAGUGUUUGCUUAUGUAAAUAGUGUUUGCUGCCAACUUUUUUAAACCUUGGAUGCUUAGGGUUUACUAUUUAGUGGUGGUACUAUUAUGAAUCCAAGGAUAUGCACUAUUCAUGUGUUAUUGAGAGUAUUGUACGUUGAACCUCUCUCUCUCUCUCUCUCUCUCUCUCUCUCUAUAUAUAUAUAGAGAGAGAGAGAGAGUUCACCUAGAAUACUAUCUAUAGCAAAUGCAUAGCGUUUACUAUCAACUUUCUAGCCGUUGGAUCAAUACUAUUCCACCUACCACCACUAGAUCCUAGGCGUCCAAGGGCUAAAAUGUAGAUAGUAAAGAAGAUUCAUUUACUAUAAAACGUAUUCUAGCUUUAUAUAUUAUUGUGUAUAAUUGUUCAGAGAACUGAAUGUUUUUCACUCCUUCAUAGGCUCCUGAUAAUUCUUCAUUUUUGGUGAACAUUCACGAACCAAUUAUUUGGCGUCUUCAUGAAAUGCUGCAACAAGUGAAACUUGGCAGGGUAUUUGGCUCUCAAUCUGCUGCUGUUUCAGUAGAUCCUACUAUUAAAAUUGGGUAUGCAAAAAUGUUAUGAACUUUUUUCCGAAGUUUUUGGUUUGUUUGUAUUCAGAACAUACUUAUAAUAAAUGACUCUUAUUUGUUAGGCUUCUUAACAUCUCGGAGAUCCGAUUCAGAGUAUCCAUGGCUAUGUCACCUGCUCAGCGGCCCAGAGGUGUUCUUGGAUUCUGGUCCUCUUUGAUGACUGCAUUGGGAAACAUGGAGCAUAUGCCGGUAAGACUGCUAUUUACAAUGAUUCUACUAAUUAGUCCACAAACUUAUGCAACUGCUGUUGAUUGCAAUCUUGCAUUCAUGGAUAUGCUUGAGCAUGCAUUCUUUGUCUGCUUGACCUUGCUUCUAGAGCAGCUUUUCUGCUAUAGAAAGUUGAAUCUUACGAAAAUCAAGCAUUUGGGCAACAAAAAAAUUUGGAAAUUUUUCUGUGGUGGGAAGUUAAAAUGAUUUUUUCAGCCUUAAAAGUGAAAGCUUUAAUUUGAAGCUUCUUAAACAGCAUUUGAGCCGAAGAUCUAGCCAUGCCAAACGAGCCCCUUAUCACUUUUAUUGCUUGAAUAACUUGUAUGCAACAAUUCUACAUUGCUGUAAUUUUUGUAAGCAUGUUUGCAUAUUUCAGGUACGUAUUGCUCAAAGAUUCCGUGAGGAUGUAUGCAUGCGUCAAAGUGCUCUUAUCAGCAAUGCAGUAUCUAAUAUCCAGAAGGAUCUUCUUAGCCAGCCCCUUCAACUACUCUCUGGUGUUGACAUUCUUGGGAAUGCUAGUAGUGCACUUAGCAACAUGAGUAAAGGUGUCGCAGCUUUAUCUAUGGAUAAGAAAUUCAUCCAGAGUCGACAAAAACAGGUUAACUCGAGAUUCCCAUUUCUCUGAACCAUCAUUCAAAGUACCUUAUUCGUGACAUCUUGUUCCUUUAUAAUGCUUCUUCCAGGACAGCAAAGGUGUAGAAGACAUUGGCGAUGUCAUAAGAGAGGGAGGUGGAGCUCUGGCUAAGGGACUAUUUAGAGGAGUGACUGGCAUAUUAACAAAGCCGAUUGAAGGUGCGAAAUCUUCUGGUGUCGAAGGCUUUGUUCAAGGUGUUGGGAAAGGCAUAAUUGGUGCUGCUGCUCAGCCUGUGAGUGGGGUCCUCGAUCUUCUAUCAAAAACUACUGAAGGAGCUAAUGCUGUGAGGAUGAAGAUAUCAUCUGCUAUAAUGGCGGAAGAGCAGUUGAUCCGUAAGCGGCUCCCUCGAGUAAUUGGGGGUGAUAACUUGCUGCGCCCUUAUGAUGAAGAAAAAGCAGCAGGGCAGGUGAUAAAACAUUUUCUUUUUUGCAUGUUAGGAACUUUAACUUACAAUCAAGGAUUUAAGUGCCCAUCGGCACGGAUCAUAUCUACCGUGCCAUAUCGUGCCAACAAGAUAUCGGCACGACACAGACCCCGUGUCGAUGGCACAGCUCGAAACCCUCUAUUCUUUAAAUUAGUAAGUAAUUUUCUCAAUAAAGUUCAAAAGAUUUAAUAAAAAUACAUAAUAAACAAUUAGAAUAAUUUUGUUGCUAAAGAAAAUAAAUAAAUUCAUGCUAUUAUGUGUCGGCACACAUGAAUUUUUUGUGAUCGGCACGCAUCUGCACGGCCCAGCACACACCGUGCCAUACCACAGCACUUAAAAUCCUUGCUUACAAUGUGAGUUUGAUCUAUAGGGCUCCCCUAGUUUACCAAUUUGUGUUCCUUUUAUUUUGUUGAUUGUGUAUAUCCUUUCCAAAUGAAGACACUAGUUCUACCAUUUUGGCUCGUCCUUUCAGUGCUUAAGCAUGAACCUGAGACAUACACUGUACCUAUAUUAUGGGCUUUUUUUGCAUCUAGCCCCCUAGAAAAAAAUUAUUUUAAAAAUAGCCCCAGCAAAUUUAUAUUUGCACUUUUGGCCCUCACCCUGCCACGCAAACGCCACGUCAGCACCACGCAAGCGAGGCUGGGUAAGGGUGUUAAGUUGAACACGGGGAACCAUUCACCGUGUCCAAACAUGGUAAAUGGUUUACCGUGUCUAGAGAAAAUACAAAUAUAUGUAUUUUUUGCAAUAUAAAUAUUGAAAAGAGGAAUAGGGAGUAGGAAUUCCAAUGGGUAUGGAUACCCGAAAUAUUAUCCCAACCCAAACCCGAAUAAAUUAUUUAUAUACAUAAUUUAUUUUUAUUUAUUUAUACAAUAUAUAAAAUAUUUAAUAAUUUUUAUCCCUUAGAUCUUCAUCCAACAGUAUGGAUUUUUAAAACCAGCCGGGUUCGGGUCCGGGUUCAGGUUUCAGGUUUUUGGUCGGGUAUGGAUAUGGGUAUGGAUUUUUAAAACCCACAGGGUUCGGAUCCGGGUUCGGGUUUUAAUUUAAUUUUCGGGUUCGGAUUUUUGAAAAGGAAAAGAAGAGGAAUAUAAAUAUGAAACACGGUGAACCAUUCACUGUAUUUAAACACGGUAAAUAAUUCACCGUGUUCAACUUGCCAAGCAGGCUCCCAGCCUGCCCACAUGGCCCCUGCGUGGCAGGGAUAGGAUACUGUAGAUUACUGUAGUCACAAACUUCUUGGCAAUUUUAAGGGUAAAAUUGUCAUUGAUGUUAUUUACGCCAUCUAGUUUAACCUUCCUAGUUUUCAUGAGCAUAUCUUUUUUAAGUCAUCAGCAAUGAUUAAGGUACCCACCGGCACGGGCCGUAUCCACUGUCAUACCUCGCCAGCAAAAUAUCGGCAUGAUACAGCCCCCGUGCCGAUAGCACAACUCAAAACCAUCUAUUCUUGAAAGUAGUAAGUAAUUUUCUCAAUAAAGUUCAAAAGAUUUGAUAAAAAUACAUAAUAAAUAAUUGGUGUAUUUUGUUGCUAAAGAAAAUAAAUAUUUCAUGUCAUUCCGUGUUGGCACACAUAUAUUUUUUGUAACCGACACGCAUCAGCACGGUCCGACACGCACCAUGCCGUACCAUGCAGACAGGUUUCCGACACGACCCCGUACCACGGUACUUAAAUCCUUGGUCAUCAGAGACAUUACAAAUACUUCUCUACUCUUGGGUUGUUGGUUUGAUAUGGUUCUCUGGCUUUAAUAUAUUAUUUUCUUGUGCAUAUUAAAUUCCUUCAUUGAAACUGGCAAUUUUUUCAUAUUUGGCACAGCAUUCUAGUGUGUUUUUGCUUUGCCAAGAUCAAGCACUAUCUUGAGAGAUUACUGUAGGUUGAUAACUGUUUGUUAAAGAUCGGUUAGUUCUUUCAAGAAGCCUUCAAAAUAAUAAUGUGCUAAUUUUUUACCUUCUGUUUCAUGAAAAUCAGAGCGACCACACUUGUUUGUUUAGUCUUUAACAGCAUAUUGUUUUAGAACUCUUGCAAUAUAUUAAAUAUCCAUUCUCUCAUGUUUUUAUGUUAGUAUUGCAUGCUAAUGUAAAACAAUUUUUUCUGUCUCAAUCAGGCUAUCUUGCAGCUUGCUGAAUCUGGCUCUUUCCUUGGUCAAGUCGACCUCUUUAAAGUCCGCGGGAAAUUUGCAUUUUCAGAUGCUUACGAAGAUCAUUUCUUACUCCCUAAAGGAAGGAUCGUUCUAGUUACCCAUCGAAGAGUUUUGUUACUGCAGCAACCUGCUAAUAUUCUAGCCCAACGGAAGUUUAAUCCCGCUAGGGAUCCAUGUUCUGUGAUCUGGGACGUUCUAUGGGAUGAUUUAGUGACGAUGGAGUUGACACACGGAAAGAAGGAUCAUCCAGGAUCGUUACCUUCCAGACUUAUCCUGUAUCUGCAAAUGAAGCCCUCCGAUUCCAAGGAAGCUGUUCGUGUAAUCAAAUGUAGUCGUGGAUCCGAUGAAGCCGCCAGGAUUUAUGCAUCCAUUCAAGAAGCAAUGAGAAUUUACGGUCCAUAUGCUUUGAAGGUAACUAAUUCAUCGAUGCUCAAUAAUCCAGCAGCAGAUAUUCAUAGGACAAAUGUAUUUUAUAUCCUGAAAUAGGACUAUGAAUAAUGUAUUUUAUAUCUUGAAAUAGGAGUGUGGUUUGCUUACUUUUUUUCCUUUCACAGAAUGCACACAAGCGGAGGGUACCAAGACCAUAUACCCCACGUAGUACCAUUGGCCGAUCUGAAGUAUUUCCAAAGGAAGUUUUUGGUAGUGGGGGUGUUCAAGAUGAACACAAGUCUGUUCCUCUGGAUUCAUCCUUUGGAACAGUUAAUGCUCAAUCGCCAAAUCGAUAGCCCCUUCGGCGUACCUAUUUUCUGAUUAUUGUCAAUUAACAGAAGAGUUCACAUUGCUGCUCAUUCCUGGUAAACUAUUCAGGGCAAGAGCAACAUGCGAAUGUAUAUCUGAGUGUUACAAAGCUGAGAGCUUCAGAUAUGAUGCAUGCUAACUACAGAUCCUAUACGCCAUAAAGGUAUGACGAACAACAAAAUGAUGCUCCUUACAAUUGCAUGACACGUCAAUGCCUUGCGGUUAUAGUUCAUCGAACUACUUUGAAAUUUUAGGCUUGUAUCGAAGACGACAUAAUCUCGCUCGCAGCUGUUGGGGAAAUUGCCUUACAACUUCUCUUCCAACUACCCAGCAUUGGAAUCAGGCACACUAAUUGUGUAUACAGUGAUUUUCAAGGGUUAUAUAGCUAUGGAGCCGCAUGAAGUUUUUUCUAUUGUUCCAUUGUUGGGACCUGCAUCUUUUCUGUCCAAAGGGAAUUCAACUAAACAUUGUAAAUUUGGUGUAUAUGCUGUUGUAUAUAAUGAUUAUUUUUGGAGAUUUUAACCCACUAGCCCUCUCCAAAAAAUUUUAUUCUAAAUAAAGAUCAAACUUUUAAUUGUAAAUCUAGGCUUUUAUUGAGUCCGGAAAGAAUAAGAAGAGCAGUGAACUAUUCACCACUUUCAUUAAAGCAGUAAGAAAUUUGUAAUCUCAUAAAAGCGGUGAAUAGUUCAUCGUUUUUAAAACUAGGGUACUAGUUCAUCGCUUUUAAAACUAGGGUAUCAUUCACCGCUUUCAGAAGAACAUAGAACACACUCUUUAAUUUUUAUUAGUAGUGAAUGGCUCACUGCUUUAAGUAUUUUUUACUUUCAGCCCCAAUUUUUUUUUUUCAAGUACCCUGUAAUUAUACAGUAGUAUUUCUAUCGGGCAUUUUAAUCACAAUAACAAUUAUUUAGAUUUGAGUUAAAUUAGCUUCCACUAGUCAUAUUGAAUGUACAAUAUCAUAAAAAAAAUCAAAUAUAUAUAGAAAUACAAACGAAAUGCAAACAUAAAUCAACUCCUUUCCACGCCAUUACCACGCUCUCGUCCUCUACAAUGUCUGCGUUUGUGCCGUCAACCGUGUCCUUGAGCUCCAUUAGCUCCAUUGCGCUCUCGACAAUCAGCUUCGUGUCUUGCAUCCCAACUACUGAAGGCAGCAUGUACUCCUGCAUCUCCACUAUUGGUUCAGUAAUAAGUAUAAUCCUGCUGUUGUCACUUACAAUCGAUAUAUAUUAUCAAUCUGAGAUAGAGUGGAUGGAACGUUAGACGGAGGAUUCAGCGUUGAGAAAUAUGAAAGUCUGAAGUGGCCAGGCUGCCAGGUGAAGGGAUCAACGUAGACAAAAUAUCAACUUGACGAAACAUCCGAUGGGAUGGAAUGAAGGGAUCAGUGCGAAUGAAAUAUCAAGCUGAUGUACCUUUGACAUAGAUGGAACGUAAAAUGAUGGAUUGAUGUGGAUAGAGAAGGGGCCGAUGCUGACUGAAUAUCAAAAUGAAGAACCUCCUCGCCUGAUCUACCCUAAAAUGUCAUACAUUGUACAGGUUCCAUAGGCUCCGGUGCAUGCUGUAAUAAUCCAAAUUGGCGUAAUACCCUGUCGGGUGGAUGUAACUCUACUAUAUGAUAGCAUAUCAAACAUGUCGAUCAAAAACAUCGAUUCAAAAGAUAGGAAGACCAACUAAUAACUUUGGCUAAAUUGGCAAAAAGCAAAUUAAGUCAUGCUAGACAUGAUUAAAGUGGAUUUAGAGAAGUAUAGGCCGGGUUUGGAUCAAAUUGCCAUCAAAAAGGAGUUCAUAAAAAAGGAAAAAGUGAAUUCCAGACUAUUUGAACACUCGGAACAGGAAUUUGGGCGUUCGAAAUGGAUUCUUCUGAAGCGCUUGAAUGAGCGGACGCUUUUCCAAAGAGCAAGAUUAGCGAGAGGCCAAUGUUCGGGCGUCCGGAUUUGCCCCUUGGGCACCUGGAUCUUUUCGAAUCCCACUUGAGGGCGUCUGGAACCCUUCGAAACUCCCAACCCAAGAGCUAGAUCACAAUGGACAAAGCAUUCGGGCGACCGAAUGGCUCUAUGGCACUCGAAACAUCUUUCGGGCUGCCAACUCAACCUAAGAGUGUAGUAGCGCUAUGAAUUAAGGAAUCAAAUGCCCGGUUUCCCCGCGGGCACUCAAAAGGCUAUUCGAGUGAAUUAGUUGAGCAUCCGGAUUAGCGACUGGGCAUAGCUACGUGCGUUUCGAGCGCUUGAAAGUUCAGGUGGGUGCCUAAAACGUAGCUUAACUCACUUGGCCCCAAAAGUGAACCUUUUCGUGCUGACAUUGGAUGAGAAGUGUAACACCCCCGUCCCACAUUAGAUAGAAAAAUAAUUUUGAUUAAAAUAUAUGAGGCCUACGCGCUAGUAAUAAUAACUGGGCUUAAUCAUUUUGGCCGGUGAUUUGGAUCCAAUGAGUUCUUAUUGCUAUCGAAUCCGGUUGUUACAAUUGGUAUCAGAGUCAAAUACCAUGCGGAAGUAUGAGAGCUAAGUGUUAUAUGGGACAAAGUGCUAUACCAACGGAUUUGAUGGGAGCCACCUUUUGAACCCGUAACAGCCACCUCUAGAAUCUCACAUUAUCUGGUAAUUCUGGUCUGUCUGCAUCUGUAAUAUGGUUUGGAUCCGAUGAGGACGUCAUGUCUAAACAUGGGGAGUUUGUAACGCCUUAAUAGUCCCACAUCGGAAGAAAAGACGAUUCUGAUUAAAAUAUAUGAGGUCUGCAUGCUAGUAAUAAUAACUGGGCUUAAGCAUUUUCGGCCGGUGAUUUGGGCCCAACGAAUUAUUGUUGCUAGCGGAUCGAGUCAUUACAAGGAGUAAAUGCACCUAGGUUAGUAUUACAAAAUAGCUUUUGUAUAAUUAUUUAAUAUAACAAAUAUUUAGGUUGCCUUCUCCCAUCAAUUGUAGGAAGUACGAAGUUCCGAAUGUAGUUGUUGGUGGUCCUCCUCCCCUCCCCACGUACCAUUCACCCUACCAUGGCAUCUAGUUCUCAUGCCCGGGUGGAGAGCAAGGCGUCUUAUGCGAAGAAAGAUUAGAAUACGCUAUAAUUAAUUUAAUCAUACACCAUUUUUUUUUAUUAGAAAGUGAUUAAUUAUGAAAUAAUUGCGUAUUUCAUAUCUCUCAUGAUGUACAUGACUUUGGAUCGUAUCCAUUGAGAAUUUCAUACCUCUCAUGAUGUACAUGACUUUGUAUCGUAUCCAUUGAGAAUUGAGAAUGACGGAAUAGAAAAUCAGGCAGAAGUGCAAUAAGAAAUAGUUGAAGACAGUUACACUAUUGAUCAGGAGGGUGUUGAACAUGAACCUUCGAAUUUGGCUUUAAUGAGAAUAUUGUGGCGGAAGAUCACCACUAUUGAUCAGGAGGGUGUUGAACAUGAACCUUCGAAUUUGGCUUUAAAUGAGAAUAUUGUGGCGGAAGAUCACCACUAUUUGAUAUUCCCGUCAACAUCUAUCCCUCCAUUUGAUAUUCCAUCUACGUCAAAGGUACCCUAUUUUGAUAAUCCAUUCACGCAUAUCCCUCCCUCCAACGUUCCAUUAACAUUGGAGGUUCGUUGCGAUAAUGUUGUAAAUUGACGUAGGCGACGACGACAAGGUCAUAUUGAGACGUUGGAAGGGAUACUGCCAUCGGCCGUUGAGUAAGGGAUGGAGCCGAUUGUCGAGGGCACCGCCAUCGAGCAUAUUGAUCAGAUGCAUGGUAUUGAGCCCGUGCGUCCUGAGAUGGAGCAUAAUAUGCAUAUUCAAGGACGGGAUCGAGGACGCGAACGUGGACGUGGAAGUGGCAGGGGACGAGGGCAAGAGCAUCGGAGGAGCAUGUAGGGGCAUGAUAUGCAUAUUCAAGGACGGGAUCGAGGACGCGGACGUGGACGUGGACGUGGAAGUGGCAGGGGACGAGAGCAAGAGCAUGGGAGGGGCAUGGAGGGGACUUGAUUAUUUUAUUAUUUUUUGGAUUUCCAUGAAUAUUUGAUAUUUUUGAUCUUUUCCACAUAAAUUUUUUUAUAGUAUUAUCUUAAAUUUAUUCAUAUUGAAGUGUGUUGAUAUUGGUAUAGCUUAUUUUAUAUGCUUAAAGUUUAGUUGAAGUUGGUAUAGAUAAAUUUAUGUACUUAUUCCUGUAAUUGAAAUACUUGAAAAUAUUGUUAUUUUGUAUAAUGUGGAAAACUUGCAACUUGUUGCUAUGGGUGCGAUACAAGUUAAAGGCGGUGAAUGGUUCACCGCCUUUAAAGACGGUAAUUUACCACCUUUAAAUGCGAUGAAUGAUUCACCAUCUAUAUAUGUGGUAAUUCAUUUACCGCCUUCAUCAUGUUUUAUAAUGUUUCACGAGUAGGGAAUAUUACAUAAAGGUGGUGAACCAUUCACCGCCUUCUUAGAUUUUUUUUAAAAAUUUAUGAAAGCGGUGAACCAUUUGCCGCUUUCAUGUGAAAGCGGUACAUGGUUCACCACUUUAAUUUCCCUCCGUUGGCUCACUGCCUACGUGUCAAUUCCAAGCCUAUUUUCACAAAUAUUAUUUUCAUAGGCCUAUUUUUAGAAUAAAUUGUUUUGAUGAGGUUAGUAGGCUAAAAACACUAUUUUCGGCGUUUGCACCUACUAGAAAUUUAUUUCAAGUUCUUACCCGUUUGUUGCUUACUCCUUUUCAGAUCAUACUACCACCGGUGAGGCACAGGACAGCGGCAACGGCGUCAUGGAGUAGCUAAAUCUGUGAGUUGGUCUGGUGUGUACCCAUUUUGUAUAAACAAAGAGAACGUGUAGUAUUUUGGAUUCGAACAAAGAUGAAUGAUAGUUUAAUUUACUUUUAUUAUUUCUCAACUUGGGAUCAAAAAAAAAAAAAAAAAAAUCCAAGACAAAUAAUCACAAGGCAUUAUAAUUGGAAAUGUUGCUUGGCGUUCAGGAAACCUGUGUAUCAAACAUCAUACAUUCAGACACCAAUUUUGAAAAAAUCGAACAAUAUCAUUCUCUAGGUCGCCACAUACUGGUUUGAAACACAUUUAAUGCAUAGAUAAUAAAUUUCAAAACUAAAAAAUUCUUCUAUACAUGAACUCGUAUUAUCAAUCUGAUCUAUAAAUUUAAAUUUAGUGGUGAAAUUGUAUAGAGCGGACUAUCCAACUUUCAAAAAUUCACAUUGUAUUAUCCAAGAUUUUAAGUGUCCGUCGACACGGACCGUAUCCACCGUGUCGUACCGUACCAACAAGAUACAGGCAAGAUACAGACUCCGUGCCGAAUUGCCGAUGGCACAGCUCAAAACCCUCUAUUCUUUAAAUUAGUAAAUAAUUUUCUUAAUAAAAUUCAAAAGAUGUAAUAAAAAGACAUAAAAAAUAGUUAAAAUAUUUUGUUGCUAUUUUGUUGCUAAAGAAAAUAAAUAUUUUUUUGACCGGCACGCAUCGGCACGGCUCGGUACGCACCGUGCCGGCAAGUUUUCGGCACGAUCCCGUGCCACGGCACUUAAAUCCUUAGUAUUAUCUAACCUUUUAAAUAGUUUGAUUUGCCUUCUUAAAUAUACUCGUAAGCGCCUAGUGCAUCCAGAUAUUUUUACACAUAAAUUUUCUUCUUUUUUUUUUAACAUGCAGCUCACGUUGCUAAUUCAUCGGCUCAAUAUUUUAAUAAGAAAAUACAAUUUAUUGGACGAUCGAGAUUCAACAAUCAAACAAAAAAAAAGACCAUUAGAAAGGCAGUAUACAAAUAUGCAAAUGCAACCGGAUACACACUAAUUUAUUUAUUUUUCUCAGUUUCGUAUACUUUCACCAAAUUUAAUUUUAGCGGUCUGGGUGGGAAGCAUCUCUGUUCCACUAAAUGACAUGUUUGCACGGCAGUAGAUGUGUCUCUGCACCAUUAGCAAAAGAUCAACAAAAGAGGAAUGAAUAUAAUAAGAGGAAUAAGAUUACCAAUUGAAUUCAACACUAAUUCUCCAUAUACAGAACCCUGAGGCUUCUAAAUAAUAAUAAUAAUAAUAAUAAUAAUAAUAACUUGGAUAUGGGCCAUCAUAAAGAAUCACGACAUUGUAAACACAAGUAGAACGAGAUACUGCCCCUAAACUCUGAAAAACAUCACCCAAAUUUAUGUUUAAAAAAGGAGAUUCAAUUAAACCUUCAAAUAGCUUCUUAAACAGGGAAAUAAAAAAUCUUUAUCAUUCAUUUACCGAAGCAAAGCACUAAAGAGAGAGAGAGAGAGAGAGAGAGAGAGAGAGAGAGAGAGCUCAUCCAAAACCAUUUCAAUGUCAAAACAACAUAUACUCAGAAAUAGCAACAAACCAGAACAAAAAUUCAUGCCAUUAGCAACUAACACAGAGGCAAGCAUCUAGCGCCUGCUGGUUUUUCCGAUACUACGCUUCCCGGAGAACAAGUGCUUCGGCUUCAAGUCGACGAUGACCCGAUCUGCCUCUCCCUUGCGAGCAGCUUUAUUCCUCUUCUUCACAGAUUUCUUCCCAAUCUUUAUCGCCUUGAGUUUCUGGGCUGAGUCCUUGAAUCCUUCUCCAGGGGAAACUUCACCAGGCGGCCGCGACUUCGACCUGGACCUCGACCUGGACCUCAACCUUAGCUUCUUGUUGGCUUGCUCUCCGUCUACAUCCAUGGCUUCGCCCUCUCCUUCGCUAUCCCUACCCACCAAUGAUCUCUCACGCUUCCGACCCCUCAUCGACACCGACCUACUCCGUGCACGGUUAAUAGCUGCAGUGGGGUCCAACCCGAUGGCAGAAAGUUGCCUCCCCAUCCUCUCAGUUGUGAACUUUCUAUCCUUGUCAAACUUUCUUGGAACAAUGGGGCGGCUCUCGGCGGUGCUCUUCUUCAUUCUAUGUUCUUGGAUGAGCAACCUCUUCUUGUGCCUAAUUGCCGCCAAAGCCUCACGCUCUUGAGGAGACAGGUCUUCAUCGUCAUACUCAAAAUCUUGUUCCUCCACCUCAAGCCGAAGGCCCUCCUCUCUUUCCAACUCUUCCAGCCUCUGCAGUAUAUCGGGAUCGACGAAAUCAGCAAUAUUGUGCCCAUCUACUAUCUCUGGCAUUAUAUCUUCCUUCCACUCCUCGUUGGCCAAUAAGUAGUGCUUCCUUAAGUUUGCCGAAUAAACACCGGCCCCACCAUUCUCGUUCUCCAGAUCCUUCUCAAGCUUCCUCUUUGCCUUCUCAGCAGAAGCCUCUUUAGCUCGGGCUUCCAAAACAGCUUGAGGAAUGCAGGGCGGCCGCUCCUUGUUGUCACGAGGUUUUGGCAUAGCAACAUGGAACCGAUUCAAGCAUUCAUUUAUCUUCUUCGACUUCAUCUUCACCUCCACCCUCUGAUCGAGGAGCCUUUCGCAAGCAGCAUUCUUAACGGCCAUCACCCCUUCAUCUGUUAAAGUGCUCAUGGUCACUAGCACUCCCUCAUCAUUAGGCGCUCCGCCUUGCGCCGCCGCAGCCUUCAUGGCCUCGGCCUUCAUCUCCAUCACCAGCUUCUUGUCCUCCUCAGAAAGCCCCUCCAACGGCUGGAGAUCAAUCUUGUUGCACACGAUAAUAAGAGGCUUAUUCAUAAACAGCGACUUAAUGCUGUGGAAGAGCGCCGCCUGCUGGGCAAUGCUGUACCCACAAGCCCCCGAAAUGUCUAACACGAAAAGCACAGCCGCCCUUAGAUGCGCGAGGGCGGUGAUGCUGCACAUCUCUAUAAUGUUCCUAUCCUCAAAUGGACGGUCAAGAAUCCCUGGGGUGUCGAUAACUUGGUAGCGGAGGUACUUGUAAUCGGUGUGGCCCACAAGUAAGGAUUUGGUCGUGAAGGCGUACGGCUGGACAUCCACCUCAGCCCUAGAGACCUUGUUCACAAAAGAGCUCUUCCCCACGUUCGGAUAACCACAAACCAAGACAGUACGAGUGUUGGGGUCUAUAGAAGGGAGCCGAGACAUGUGCUUUCGCACUUGCUCCAAAUAAGCCAAGCUAGGGCCGAUACGCUUAAUAACAGUGCACAUUCGCCCUAGGGCGGCAACCUUCAAGCAUUUGCACCUAUAAAGUGAAUCCCCGUACUUGAGUAGCCUGACAUAGUCUUUGGCAAUCUUCCCAAUGAGGUUCCUCGCUGUGUUGACCUGACCAAGGGCAAGCUUGUAGUGGUCCUUGUUGUAAAGGACGUGAAGGAGGUCACCAUAAAAAGGGUGGAUACCGUCCAAUCGAGGGAACUCGUCUAUUAUGGUGGAAAGCUUCUCAUGGAAGUUCUGCUGUGUGAAGCGGACCUUUCGCAUGUAGAAUUGGCGGAGGCGGGAGAUGGCAUAUCCUUUGUGGACGACUGUUGGGGUCUGGCGCUGGGUGCGGGAGAGGAUUAUGUUGAUGAAGUCCUCCUUGGGCGGGACUAUUGUGAUUUUCUUUAAGUUGUAUUGGACCAUCUUGCUGAUUUAUGUUACCUGCAAGAACAAAAAUAAUAGUCACAGCAUAGCAAAACCAAAAAUAAACAGAAAAACAUAACAAGAUGGCGGAUAAUGAAUCAUCUCGAAAACACGCCCGUAAGAUGACCUAAUAAACCAGCUAUGAAAACUAACUCAAGGUCGCCAGAUAAAAACCAUGAACUACUCUCCCCACCUCAGAACACACCAACAGCCACAAAUAAUCAUUCAAUAUAACUUACUGCAAGUUGAGAAUUCAGCAAGAGAUCAGUGAAUUGAAUAAAAUAAACAAGUGGCCCGGUUGAUGAAGAAUACAUAUGUAACAGUAGACUUAUACCUAAAAGAAAAUAUCCAGAGUAAUCAUUUUAUAACCUUUCAUUGUCAGAGUAGCAAAAACUAAAGAGAGAUUGAAUAAUUAAAUGGCAAUAAAAUACUUUAAAAAUUAUCAAAUCACAUAAAUAAUUACCAACAUCAUGCACUAGCAAAAUAAUUUAGAAAAAACAAUAGGUCGGCCCAAACUACAUAUAUUAUUCAUAAAUCUAGAAAAUGAAGAACGGUGUAUCAAAAAAAUGAAGAACACUGGAACUUCUCAUAUCCCAGACAAUCGGGAGACCCAUCAACUGAUAGAACCACACAAGCAACAAAUUAUGUACGGAAAGGCUAAGCAAUCAAAUCAAAACAACAGUGCUAAUCACUCGAAUAAUUUCGCAAUCUGCAGUACUUAAAUCUUUUCAUUUGUGGGCCAAAGUUUCAAAGUAACUUCGAUAUUCAGAACUCUCAAGUCCGAAUACAAUAAAUUAACAAAAGACGACAGAGAAAAACUAGAGGAAGAAUAACACAACAGCUUGGUGUUCAACCUAUAAAAGUUCAAUAAUAUUCUUUUUCAAAAAUUAAUCCAACAAGACACACAGAUUUUGAAUGUUGAAUAGAGAGAAAAGAAGGUGAAGAUCCAGAAAAUAAAAAAGAAAACAGAAUAGUUAUAUUUUUCGUCUCAGCAAAUCAAUCUUCAUACUAGAAACAUGAGAUGGAAAGCAGAAAACAUCUACAAAAAACCAGAGGGUUUGCAUGGAAAAAUCAUUCUCUAGGUUAUCUAAAAACAAUGAGUUUCUUCAAGCAAAUCUUUGAAAAAACUACUAUCAUAAUAUCUCAGAUUUUGAUCAAACCAUACUAUACUAGUAUUAUUAUUUAAUCAUUGGAUCAUUUAUUUUUCUUGAAAUCGGUUUAAUUCAGAGACUCCUCAAUCAUCAAUCAAUCAAAAAUCUAAUGUAUAAUAGGUAAUGUAAAGCUAUAGAAUUUAGAGGACAAAUGAGACACUUAAAGCUUUUAAAACCAUGCAUCCUAAAAAUUUACUAAAUACAUCAAACUAAAUCACAAUAUUGUGGAUAUUCUAAUUAAGAAGAAUGCAUUGAGAAUAAUCAUAUCAGAAUACUAAAACAAAGAAACGUCAUCUUUAUAUAGUUAUGUGCAGCGAUCAAUCUGCAAAGAGUUAGAUAGAGAUAACCACCUAAGGUCUUAAGAUUCAUCUAAUUUUACCUAAUAUUUUCCACAAUAACUAUCAUUCCAAAAUUUCGAAUGCCAUUCGUUCAGCUUGGAAAUCUAAUUUGUUGGGUAAUGAAUUACUGAUCUGACUAUAUGGAUAUAUAAUCUAGCAUAAUAAACCAAAUAUGUAAUAUGUCGUAAAUAAAGCUGAGUCACUAAUAUUGUUGACCAAGUACCUCUCCAUGUCAUGCUUGGCAGUCUCUGUUGAUUGAGCCUUCGCUCUACAAUGCCGACAAGUGCACAUAUAUACUUAGAAUCUAAUCUCAACUACUCAAUUCAAGUACAUUUAAUUUCGGGGUUAACCAUCUCAUCUACCUAAUCGAAAGAGAAAUUGAACUACUUGAUCUCAGUUGAAAUAGAAUUCUUGAAAAUCAUGCUUACAAAGUCUUCCUUUCAGAAUUGACUCAAAUAUAGUAAGUUAAAAUUAACGAUUCAUCUGUUGAAACAAAACUAAGCUAAUAUAAUCUACUUUAACAAAUUACACAUUAGAUGGAAUUCUAAUCUUUAAAUCUCGAUUGUUUAAUCCAAGCAUGAAAUGGAACAACAUAUUAAUUAAAUCUUUACUUUUUAGUUUCAGUUCAAAUUAAAUUCAAUUAUAUGUCAGCUAUUUAAUUCAAACGUGCACAUAGAGUUCUAAGCAAGAUCACAGUUUUCCCAUCAUGUAUCAAUGUAUCAUUUCUUCCCAUCUAUCAAAUUUUUCCACAAUAUUUAUUACCUUAUUCUUUCAUUUGUCACAAUACUUAUUACCUUAUUCUUUCAUUUGUCUUUAUGCUUACAUAAGAUGAUAUUUCCCCCCCCUCUCCCAUGCAUUGCAUAGGAUUAAAGCUAUAUCUAUUCUGAUCCUCACAAAAUCACUGAACUAUGAAGCAAGCCAAAUAUAAAUUACACUCAAUUAAAAAGUCCAAAUGGAUAAAAAUUUGCACAAAGACAAGUAAAAGAUAGCAUCAAGAAUAAACGGAAAGAAUAAUCGGAAAUAACUCGAGUAUAUCAUGACAAUUAUUUUCUAACAAAACCCCAAUCCUAGGUCAAGGAUGCGAUAAUUUAAUAGACCCAAAGGGCAUGCAAGACCAAAAUCUAAUUCACAUAUUCAAACAAAAUAAUCACUGCGAAAAGUAGUCAUUUAAAAUCUCAAAAUGCAUACAUAAUUGUAAUGGUAUCUUUAAAGAUUUAGAGGACAAAAAUUUCUUAAAUACAACAUAUAAAUUAGUGCAAUGACCAUUCCCGCUGGCACUAAUAACUCGUUGGACCUAAACACCAGCUCAAAAUGCUUAGGCUUAAUUAUUAUUAGUAGAGUGUAUGGUCCUUGGAUUCCCAAUCAUUACCCCUUUUUCUAUCCGAUGUGGGACUAUUGGGGCGUUAGAAACUUUUCCCAUUUACGUCCUUGUUAGGUCUCAUUCCCUAAAUCCGAGAUCACUAGGCGACAUAAGACCCAUCUCGCACUUCUGGCUGGCAAAUCAGCUCUGAUACCCGAUCCUUACAUUCCCAAUCAUAAUUCCUUUCCUAUACGACAUGAGACUAUUGGGGCAUUACAAUUAGAGCUCUACAAUAUAGUUUACUAGCUAGAAAAGAACUUGUACCAACUUUUGAAUCUCGAAAAAUACUAAGUGGAAUCAAGACAGAUAUGAGCUUGCUGUUACAUUAGCAGAAGUGACAUCCAUAAACCGAUUACUUCCCAACAUACGUCAGAUUCACCAUCACGUGGCAACCGUUCUUAUCAAAAGAAAUUGUUAAUAGCAUAUAGCUCUAAUUAAUUAAAAACAAAAUAGUACAAAAUUUGAAUGUUUUUCAUAAAUCAAUUUUCAUAGAUGUACAAUAUGGUUUCUUGCCAGCAUAUUAAAAUUCGUAGCUGAGCGAUAAAAGAAGAACAAACUAUGUAGCCAUUACAAUCUCUUAAAAAAGAAUCACAUAGAUGGUAAAAAUUUAGUAUCCGACACCAAACUAGUUCAUAGAUAAGGAAGUAUCAACAAACUAUGAAUUUUCAUAAAAUAAUGGCUAAAUUGCACUUUUGGUCCUCAAACUUUGUCACGCGCCACUUUGGUCCUCAAACUUUUAUUUCUUGCAAUUUUUGGCUCAAACUUUUUAACUAGUUGCAAUUAAGCCCUACAAUCCCUACAGCUUUGCUGAUAUGAUAAUCAUAGUACUGUGGCAUCUUAAUAAUUAAUACGUUAUCGAGUACUAUUACAUCACUACAGCAAUAUUGACACCAUUAUUGUAUUAGGAAAAUUGGACUUUAGGACUUAAUUGCAACAUUUUAGAAAGUUUGAGCUAGAAACCGCAAUAAAUUAAAGUUUGAGGACCCAAGUAUCAUGCGCCUAAAGUUUGAUGACCAAAUGCGCAAUUUACCCUAAAAUAAUUUGAUCAUAAAAUAUUCACUGCAAACAGAAGGUAGACUCUAUCAGCUUUAUUGCCCAUUGAAAGACUCCAAAACCAGAUAACUGGACUAUAGUCUGAAGCCAGAACAAUGUUAGCCGGUAAAUGUAACCAUUUGAUUUUGCCGAUUGCCACGUGUUUACUCGAGCACUACUUUGUUCCAUGAAAAACAUCUCGACAUCAGGAUCUUGGGUCGAUGCGUGUGUCAUUAACUCUUCCUCUAGGGUUUUUAAUUUUAGGCCAACACAUGAUUAAUAAGGGAAUAAAAAAUAUAUAAAUUUUUCCCUAACAUUUCCAAAUCAGAUCCAGAAAAAGGGAGAUUAAAAAAAAAAAAGGAGAUCCAAAACUAGAUAAAUAAGAAUCAAAAAUACCAAAGUGCUUGUUACGCAUGUCCUGUAGAAAGAUUGCAACUAAAUGAAACAAGACAUGGCUUAAGAUCUGACGAAGUUUGCAACAGAUCUGUAAUCAAUAUGUGAAAAAGAGGGGCAUAAACACUCCUUAAAUCGACGAAAAAAGGACAUGCGUAACAAGCACUUUGGUAUUUUUGAUUCUUAUUUAUCUAGUUUUGGAUCUCCUUUUUUUUUUUUAAUCUCCCUUUUUCUGGAUCUGAUUUGGAAAUGUUAGGGAAAAAUUUAUAUAUUUUUUAUUCCCUUAUUAAUCAUGUGUUGGCCUAAAAUUAAAAACCCUAGAGGAAGAGUUAAUGACACACGCAUCGACCCAAGAUCCNUUUUUUUUUUUUUUUUUUUCAUGGAGAGCCUCUAUUUCAGUUUUACGUCUAUUUGAUUAUUAUUAUUAUUUUUUUAAAGCUAGCUUUUAUGACAAUCUGUUUUCCAAAUUUUAUAGCAAAUUAAUGCUUGAAUUUUUCGAUUUGGCGUGAUUUAAUUUAUUUUAAUUUAACUUUUAUAUUUUUUAUUAAAAUUUAAUAAAAAUGAUAAUAAAUUAAAAACACAUAUUUAUAUUAAAGAAAAAAAUUUAAGCUCCUUAUGUUCAUGUUAGUAUAUAGGGGGUCAAAUGGUUAUAAUCUCAAACCUAUCUCUAUUUCUUCUUCUCAUCACCCACUCUCUCUCUCGCUCUCUAUCUCUCUCUAUAACUUGUUCUCGGUGCAUACCCAUCUCCAUCUCUCAGGUUAUGUUUGUUUCACCAUAAGUAGGGAGGGGGGAAGUGAUUUUCGGUAAAAACUAAUCACUUUCGCUGUUUGGAAACUUAAUUACAGUAAUUUUUUGGGUUACUCUCUCUCUCCCUCUCUCCUUUCCCCUCCCCUCUCAACUCAACAUUCAUCUCUCUUUUUCUCUGCAAACACCAAAAAAAAAAAAAAUCUAUCUUUUUUUCCCCUUCACCCCGGAUCAUUGCCAAGUCAACUCCUCCAUCUCCUUCGUCCCUAGAUCAUUUCGAGCCCACUCCUCCAUCUGUGGUGACUAUCAGGUUCAUAUUGUUCAUCUUCUUUUUUUUUCACAUUUUGCUUCUUCAACCCUUUCCCCUCUCUCUCACCACUCAUCUUCUUCCAUCUCAGAUCUCGUAUUCCAUCCCCUUCCAUUUCGCCAGUGACAAGAUUUGCAAAUAGAUAUUUUAUUUUGUUUAUUUUUUUAAUUUACUGCAGUUUUUAAUUUUUUUUAUUUACCGUAAUUUUUAUAUUUUUGCUCUGAUUUUUAAAAGAUUUAAGAUUUAGUAUUAUAACUAAUCAUUUUUCUUUUUCUUUUUUUUGGUUUAUAGUAUACACAUGUGUGAUCAUAAUCUUACACUAUUUAAAUUGAGAGAACAUUCCAUACACGUGGCAAUCGGGGAGGUGUUUUGAUACACGUGGCAAUCAGGGGCGUUCCCCCCUCUCUCCCAAAACCCCUUCCCUAAACCGACCGCACCCUCUCUACCCAAACCCCUUCCCUAAACCGACCGCACCUCUCCAAACCUAUUCCCUGAACCGACCGCACUUCUCUCUCUCUUUUGCCGUCUCUCUGCCUCCUUCUCUCUCUCCUCCUCCCUACAUCUCUCUCUACCCUCCUGAACCGAACGCCAGCCCUCUCCCCCGAAACCCUUCGCUCCCUCUCACUCUCUCCUAAACCGAACACCCAUCUCUCUCCUUCUCUCUCUCUCGCGCCGUCUCUCUACAUCCCUCUCUCUCUUCGCCCCGCUCUCUAUCUCUACCAUCUAUGCUCCUCUGUCACACUCAACCGAUCGACCCUCUCUCUCUCUUCGGUCCUGGGCUCUGCUGCUCUCUCUCUACCAUCUCUGGUCCUCUCUUACGCUCAACCGAUCGCCCCUCUCUUUCUCUCUCUUCGAUCCUGGAGAGAACAGUGUGGAUCCUCUCUCAUCAGAACCCCUACGGCUAUGCCUAUUGUGGCGUCUACAGGUGACCCCUACCCCUCUACCUCUGGCCUCUACAGGUAAUCUUCUCUCUCGCCUUUCUAUUUACUACUGUCUGCUUGCCUUAGCCGGCUCUAUGCCGUCCAUUCAGCCUUCUACGGCUGCGAUGGUGUGUUGCACUCUCCAUGGCCCCUAACCCUAGAUCUAUUUGCCUCCUACUCCUCAGAGGGGCACGAAAGAAACGACCCCUAGGCUGCUGUUUGACCCCUAUAACCAUUGUGAGAUCUUACAAAAAAAUGAAAAAAUCUCCUGAGAUUUUACUUGAUAUCUAUUUAAUCCCUAUUGCCAGAAGCUCUAUUCAAAAAAAAAAUUUCUAAAGAUAUUCUGAGAUCUUAAAAAUAAAUAGGGAGAUAUCCUGAGAUCAAUUCUAUCAUCAUCAUGUCUGCUUUUAUACUUAAAAAAUUGAUAACUCCAGCUUCCUGGACAAAAGGCUUAUACUUCAAAAAAAUUUCCCUGACGCCUGCUGGACAAUAAGGUGUUUAAGAUUUUGUGUCUUUCUGAGCCUAUAAAUAGCAUGUACUGUUUACCCAAAAAAAUAGUACGAGCCUCUCUCUCUGCAGUGUAAGGUGAGCUAUUUUGAUUGGCUGCAGACCCCUCUAUCUGUUCCUAUAUACUGGCUUCUUAUAUUUGGACCACCUCUACACUAGCUGGUGUUUGCUCAUGAAAAACUAUUGGAUUGGGAAGGUUGCUUGGGUAUUCCAUGCAAAGGCAACCAUUUGCCACAGAUUGGAUGGGCUUUCUAUGUGAACCCAUCUACUACUAUCUAUUGCCUGGCACUGCUAUAUUGGGGGUUUUCUAAUGUUUUUGUUCCUGCUGUCUCUGUUUUCUAAUGUCCAUAUUCUUGAUUUCUUUGCUUCUUCAUCUAAUUUCUUUAUUUUUUUGGAGGCAAUGAUGACAACUGUAUCAAAAAAGUAAAAAACUCUUAACUUUCUUUGGGCUGUGAAACUGCCUGCUAUUUCGGGAGAGAAAUUUUUUUCUUGCUGCUUCUAUUUCCUGUAUGCAAUCUUUUCCGCCCCCGGAAAGCAUGGCUUCUGUGUUCUGUAGGAGGGCAACCAUCUAACAGAGAUUGGACGACCUAUUAAAGGGAAGCCAUCUAAUACUGUUUGUUGACUGAUGCUGCUAUAUUGGGUUCUUCUUUUGCGUUUUCUGACCCUGUCUUCUCUCCCAGCAUGAAGUUCGGCCGAGAUUUGCCUAUGCAAGUGACGACGGAAAUGCUUUUACUUGGUUCCAUUUCUCACACUUUACCUGAGCCUACCUGUUUUAUUUGUUUGGUUACAUGUUCCAAUUACUUCCUUCAUGUUUGUAAUCAUUUAUUAUCUGUUUUAUUUCCUUACUCUUCUUUCCAGACUGUGUUUCUUACUUCCUUGUUUUCUUUUCUUUACUUUACUAUUUUGCUUUCUCUGCUCUUCUUCUUUAUUACUUGGUUUUUUUUUUUCGGUUCCUGUUUUCCUUGGUUUUUUUUUUUUUACUUCACUUUUCGAGGCGAUGAUGACUAUCUCUUACGUUCCAUUUACAUCUUGUGGCUAUCUUAUUCCUGGCGACUUCUACCUCCCUUUAUAAAUCGAGGGUUGUUUUGGAUUCAAUUUCUUCCUCCCUAUGCCUUUUUUUAAAAGAACGGAGGGUUGUAGUGGAUUGGCGCAUUAGAAAGCAACUGUCUACACUAGACAGUACGGCUUUUCCAUGCGCAACCAUCUAUCACUUCUCCCCUUCUUACCUUACUUGCUCUUUUUUUUUCCCCUUCCCCUGCGCUCUCCGGCAGCAACUUUUCUUCAAUGUACAAGGUGUAAUUGGCAUUCCUGCCUUGCGGUGCGGCCACGCUUGAUGUUAGUGAACUGUUCAUUCUAGGUUGGAUGGCCUAAUUAAAGGCAACCACAUUCUAAUGCAUUUUCUAUUAUUGCUUACUACCGUGGGUUUGGUUGGAUGCUACCACCUACUGUAAAGCUUAUGGCGAAAAAAAAAAGAGAUGAUACAUGCUUUCAUGUUAGACCUGAGCCUCACCGUUUUUCCUUCUUCUAUUUUUCUUUCUGGAUUAUUUGUGUACUGGACUUGCAUAUUUUUCAACCUAUUUUUUAACUUUACAUAUUUGUCUUCACUUGCUGUAAUAUUCUUUACUCUAUUUGAUCCUGGUGUUUUCUUCUUUUCUUGAUCAUUUCCAUUGUUUGUUGUGUAUUUCUUCCUUUUUUUUACCUUUUUCUUUCACCUCCCACCUUGCUUCUUGGCAGUACCUUACUUACAUCUGCGCCAUUCUAUGGUUUAUACUUCCUUUAUUACAGUUCUUUAUAAAAAAAAAAGCAUUAUUGACCUACUUUCCUUGCAAUCUGAACCAUGGCGACUUUCCACUUUUCUUACGUUAGGAUGCUUGGCGAAGUUUACGAGCAACUCGGCCUCGGCAUGCCCCAAAUUGUAGUGGUCCCCGAUACCGAAGGCAGGUUCGUUGGAUACAUAGAUCUGCAAAUUCCACGCAACGAAACUGUCAUCCAAACUGUCCGUUGUUUGAGUUCCCAGCUCCCAACUGCUACUGCCGCUGAACAGGAUGCUGCGCGUCUAGCUAUGAAGAGGCUUAAGGAAGAAUGCGACUUUCAAUUCAAGGAUAUUAAUUAUGAUGACUCUCUCUUAUACAAGAACUUAUACGACCACCAAACAACCAACUGUGCUGUUAUAUCUGCACAGUAUAGUAAUCUUUCUAGAGAGCAUAGUUUCCUUAAGGAGUGUUAUGUUACUACAGUCGCUCAAAAGAAUGAAUAUGUAAAUGAGCAAAUUAAGCUCCGGAAUGCCAUAGGGGAAUGCUACGCUACUAUGAACCGUAUUACUGUUGAACUGCCUACUGACGCCGCGGACCCCUCUCAGGCUAUGUCCAAUCAGCAUGCUUAGUUGCUCAGGCUACUUAGUUGGUCCAUGCUUUUGUUUCCAGCAAAGUUCUUUCACGCAUGGCAUUUUGGCUUGGUAUUAAAUAAUAUAUGUACUUUGCUGUGUAAUUACCGUUCAACAGUUUAUGCAAGUUUUAUUUCACUUCAAGUUCUCAUUGCGGUUUGUCGUUCAACAGUUUAUGAAACUUUUAUUACGCUUCAAGUUCUCAUUGCGGUUUCUUCACAUGAUCCUUCUGUUUUUACUUAAACUUAUGGCUAAAAAAAAAAUGAUGUAUCUGUAGUUCCUGAGCUCAUUACUUUUCUUUUAAUAUUUCUUCUUUGAUUAUUUACCUACUGUUCUUUCGUUCUUACUUCUUAUUGUUUUUUUUCUUUUUCCUUUCCUAUUAUUUGCUUCUCUCUAUUUAAUCGUGUUUUCCUUUUUCCUUUAGUCCUAGCACAUGAGCUUUUGCCUUCUCUUCCCCCCCCACCCCCUCCCUACUUUCUUUUAAUAUUCUCUAGACAUGAGCUUUUCUUUAGUCCUAGCACAUGAGCUUUGCCUUCUUCUUCCCCCCCCCCCCACCCCCUCCCUACUUUUCUUCUUCUUCCUGUAGUUCCUGAGCCUCACUACUUUUCUUUUAAUAUUCUCUUCUUGAUUAUUUACAUACUGUUCUUUCGUUCUUUACUUCUUAUUAUUUUUUUUUUUUUCUUUCCUAUAUUUGCUUCUCUCUAUUUAAUCUGUGUUUUUCCUUUCCUUUAGUCCUAGCACAUUGAGCUUUGCCUUCUUCUCCCCCCCCCCCCCCACCCCUCCCCGCCCUUUUUUUUUCCCCUGUUUUGAAGAGUGUACCGAUUGUCCUCUUUCCGUAUUACUGGUUUUCUCAACGUGUGGGCAAUAAUGCAACUCUUGAUGAUGGAGAAUUUACUGCUUCUCUUUGUUCUUUGCUUCUUUUUUAUGUGUGAUUACUUCAUCAUUUGUGUCCCUUCUUUAUUACUAUUUGUGCAAAUAAUUUACCAUGAAAAUACAUGGGCUCCUAAAGUGUGAGAAAUGGGGCCAACUUCAGCACUUUCUUCUACACCUGGCGAGGGAAGUCCAACUCCAACUGCAUGCUUAGAGGAAACAUGGCACUUUACUUCUUUUUUUUUUCUCUCUCUUUGUUUUUUACCCUUUUUCUUUUAAAACAUUUUUGUCCCCUACACUGAGUUCUCUUAAAGUGUACAAAGUUCCAUAAACUGCAUCUCUAGCAUCUCUAGCAGAUGGAUCAUGUGAAGAACUUUGUAGUAAACAUUUGUAGUAAACAUUAUCCUCUAUAAUGAGGCCCAAAAAUGUUUACUACAAAAUGCAUCCAAGAAUAAGAACUUUGUAGUAAACAUUUUUGGGCCUCACUAUAGCAUCCAAGAAUAAGAACUUUGUAGUAAACAUUUUUGGGCCUCACUUUGUAGUCAUCGAAUUAUUGAAGAAGAGAUCUUUACUAGUAAUCAUAUUGGCGAAAAAGUUUACAUCCCUCGCAUUGUAAUGAACGUAACAGAUUCAAAAUGGCUAUUUGUAUUAAAGCGAAGAAAGUUUCCAAUUCGAUUGAGUUAUGCAAUGACUAUCAAUAAAAGCCAAGGCCAAACAUUGCGAAGAGUUGGCCUUUUUUUAUCCCAACCUGUAUUUUCUCACGGACAGCUUUAUGUGGCGGUUUCACGAGUUACUUCUAGAGAAGGGUUGAGCAUUUUCAUAGAUAAUAAGGAUGGCGAGCCUCAAGAUUAUACAAGAAAUGUUGUUUACUGUGAAAUAUUUGCAGAUCUAUAAUGGUUGGUUGUUUAUUAUGCGUUCUUUCUGUUUCGAAAUAUUCAGUCCUUCCUUUCUUUUUUUUUCCUUACCAUGUUUAUAUAUAUAUAUAUAUAUAUAUAUAUAUAUAUAUAUAUAUAUAUAUAUAUAUAUAUAUAUAUAUAUAUAUAUAUAUAUACAACAGACCUACAAAAUAGCAAUGGAGUACGUACUAUUAUCUGAAUUAUCGUUGCAACAUCAAGAUUGCAAGAUUAAAGUUCGAAUGUGUCGACUUUGGGAAUCAUCUGCUCCUUUUCUUAAAGGAGAUAUAUUUGGUUUAGAUUGUUUGCUGGUGGACGAAAAGGUACUGACACAUUUACUUUACAUUUUUACGUUUCUUUUGACUAUUUUCAGAUGUAUAUAUUUAUUAUUAUGCUGUGAUAAUUAGGGUAUUCUCUGAAAGGAACAAUACGUAAAAAAGAUACGGAGGAAUUUAGAUGUCGGCUUACCGAGGGCAAAAUAUAUCUUAUAGAAAAGUUCAAUGUUAUUCCAAGCAAGAAAAAGUUUGUUGCCAUCGAGCGUCCUUAUAUGAUUCAGAUAAAUAAGUGGACAUCUGUAACACUGGUUGAGGAAGAAAUGGACACAAUGCCUUUAUAUAGUUUUAAUUUCUCAACCUUUCCACAAGUCGAAAAUCAAAGAUACAACGACACUGUUCUCACCGGUAAUAUUUAGUUACAGCACAACAUAUUUAGUUAAAAGCAUAGAUUAAAUUUAUAUUGUCAUUUUCUACAAACUUCAUAUUAUAAUUUCCUUGCUUUCUCUCUCCAGAUGUUUUAGGACGACUUAUAGCCAUUGGUGAAAUUUCCCCCCGUUAUAUUGGUCAAAUUUUAACUCCGAUUAGAAAUUUAGAAAUACAAGAUUUGCAGUGAGUUUUUUUGGUCUCUUGAAUCCUGAGCUUAACUACUCCGUUUUGAUUUGUUUGCAUUAAUUGUAUCUACACUCAAUAAAUAUUUUUAUUUUGGGAUGAAUAGCUUAUGUGUUACAUUAUGGGAUAAAUUUGCUUCGGAUUUUGAUGAUAGCUCUAUUUCAAAAAAAGAUCAGAACGUUCAUGUUAUAAUAAUUCUGGCUGGAAUGACAGUUCGUUCUUUUAAAGGUUCGCUCUUUACUUUAAUAUAUUAUAAAAAAAAGGACUAAUAUAUAAGUUUAUUAACUUUCGAUAUUUAUUAUGGAAAUUUAGAGAAAAUACAUUUGUCAACGUGUUCAGCAUCGAAGAUUUACAUAGGCCUCCAAAUUCCAGAGGUUAUAGAGUUUUUGGAUAGGUCUGUAUGCCAAAUCUUAUGCUUUAAUUUAGUUAGUUCGAUUGGUACCUCUUACGGAUCUAAACAAAUGUUUCGCAAAUUACAGCCCAUGCCUAUCUCGAUUCAACAACUUACUGUCUGCCAACAGCAAAUUGUUGGUCCACAGGAAGAAAUUUCUGUGAAUAGGAAAACUAUCUCUCAGUUGUUCGCUCUCGACAUAUCUAACACUCAGGUGAAUUUUAUUUUACAAGUUCAUCCUAUAAAGCUAUUUAUUUUUAUUCUACAAGUUCAUCCUAUAAAGCUAUUUAUUUUGUCCCCAUUAUGUAAAAAUAAUUCCUCUUUACUUUUUAUCAAACAGAAUACGAAGUACACCUGCAAAGCUAAAAUUUUUGAAAUCGACACAUCUUUUGGUUGGUGGUACAAAGCAUGUUAUAACUGCAAAUCAACUGUCAGGACAUUUGGUGAUACUUUUUUGUGCUCCAAUUGUGAUAAGAAUGAUCAAUCUCCUAUACCAUGGUAAUUAUUUUGUUUCUUACAUAAUGUUUCAUAAAUUUUUCAAUAAAAGAACUUACUAUGCAUUCUUUCUUCUUUCCAUUAUAUUGUUAAAAGGUACAAAUUAAAUACCAUUGUUGAAGAUAAUACCGGUUCUACAAAUUUUACCAUCUUCGGCAGAUUGGCCCAAGAUUUGAUUCAUAUUCCGGCUCAAAACCUUGCUACUUCAGCUGGUUUAGAUAAAUUUACUCUUCUUCCUGCAAUUAAAAUAAUUAUUGGAAAUGAACAUAUUUUUCAAAUAGUACCUAACAUACACAGGUUUAGAACAAGUGUUCCUUCUUUUAAGGUCGCCAAAAUUUUUAAUAUUCAAUACGAUAUAAAGGAGAAUACUUCUUCGUCUAAAACUUUAAUGAUCAAAUGUGAAGAAAAACUUGAUUCGCCUACUACUCACAAAGAAGUUCACAAAGAAUUAUUUGAGGAAGCAGCCGCAAGUACAACCAAUUCGUUCAGGUGAUAAUUACAUAUUUACUUCCAUGUUUGCUUUAUGUUAUUAUAUGUGUUUGUCUUUGUGUUUGUGUGUUUUUCAAAGCAACUGAGAUAUAUUGUUUUACCUACAGCUCUCCGCCAUCUGCCGAUGAUAUAAAGGAGAUCCAGCCUUGUGACACCUCAAUAGUCCCACAUCGGGUGGGAAAGGGGUUAUCAUAGUCCCACAUCGGGUGGGAAAGGGGUUGUCAUUGGGUUUAUAAGAGACUUAGACACUAGCAAUAAUAACUGGGCUUAAGCAUUUUGGGCUGUAGUUGGGCCCAACGAGUUAUUAUUGCUAGUGGGCUGGAUCGUUACAUUUGGUAUCAGAGCUGGUUCACCAGCUGGACAUGUGUGGCGAGUCUCGGCUGAGCCAGGGUCUGGAUGACGGGCUAGCGAGACGAGUCUCACAUCGCCUGGUGAUCUUGGGCUGUGUGAUUCCUUAACGGGGGGAGUCUGUGACACCCCAAUAGUCCCACAUCGGGUGGCAAAGGGGUUGUCAUAGUCCCACAUCGGGUGGGAAAGGGGUUGUCAUUGGGUUUAUAAGAGACUUAGACACUAGUAAUAAUAACUGGGCUUAAGCAUUUUGGACUGUGGUUGGGCCCAACGAGUUAUUAUUGCUAGUGGGCUGGGUCGUUACAAGCCUGCCAAAAAAAAAGGCUUUGGUGAGUUAGAAUUUACUUCAUUUCUUACACCUAAGAUUAUGUUAAACUUAUGUUUUUUAUUGUGUUUUCUAUUUUUAUUUGCAGUUUUGGAGAAGGUCCUUCCACAAAUGAAGACCAGCUAUGAAGAUUUAAAAUUUAUGUUUUAGUGUACUGCUAAUUUAUUAUAUUUCCAUCAGAGUUACGCUUAAUGUUGUGUUUUGAUUACACUACUGUAUGUUUAUGAAACUAUUUAAUACUGAGUUACGCUUACUACUGUAUUUUGACUACACUACUGUAUGUUUAUCAAACUAUUUAUCCGCAGUGAAGUGCGGGGUUUUUACUAGUACUACUUGUUUGUUGCAAUUCUUUUAGUUUUCACCCAUCUCUUGUCAAUUUUAUCACUAAUCUAAUUAGGAUAUUUUCUAUACAUAAGUAAUUUUCUCUUGGUAGUUUUAAUUAAAGUUUUUUUUUUUAAAAAUAGAAUAAGAAAAAAGCAUUAAUAAUCUAUACAAUAUCAUUAAAGAGUGAACCCCUAACUGGUUUGGAGCCUUCACUAUGAUUUCGAAAGUAGAUCCCACAGGCAGAGUUUUUCUCUCUGAGAUCUGCCGCCUUGCUGUCUUCCAGCUUCUCCUCCUAUGCUACUCUCUCUUUCUUUCUCUCUCACCGAACCCUAACUCUGCCUAGGGUUAGUACUCUUUUCUUAAUUUCAGGAGUACUCUUUCGCCUAUUUGUGAUGACUCCUCAAUUUCUCUAAAGCGUGGGUCCCCCAUGCAGCGUUCGGCUUCUCCCUACUUGUCACGCCCCGAGCCCCACCUAUUUGGUCGGGUUCGGGCACGCCAAUAGACCGCCGAACGGACAGAAUUUUUCCUGUACGUCCUAGGCGUCGCAAUCAAUACAUUACAAGGAGUUCCAACCAGGAACAGUAUUCAAUACACAGAUUGCAUAAGGAAGUAUCAAAAACAUAAACAGCUACUGCUAUUACAAGCAUUCACAUACAUGCUUUUUACAACACAAUUACAAGUUGUUUUCUUCCAAACACAAUCUAAGUUAUUACAAAUUUAUUGCAAGUUGAUACACUUGUGUUCUUUUCAUUUCCCCUAGGCUAUGCCGACUCGGGGUACUGCUAUCUCUGGUCUCUAGGGUAGGGCACUAUUUACAGAGCUACGCCUUUGCCUCGCGCCGCUCAUGUGCGAACCUGUAACACCCCGAAACAACAUGGGGUGAGAACUAACUCCAUAGUUCCCAGUAGGUACGGCCACCCAAGGAAAAAGCUCGACCAGCAGGUCUAAAGGAGGCAAAUAACAUGUUAGUCCAACGGAUAGAUAUGAAAUCAUAAGUAUGCAACUAACAUUUACAUGCUUUUGCCUCACAAAUGCAAUAAUGCUAUGCUAUAUGCAAUUUAUGCAACAAUGCAACAACAUAAGUAGAUCUAUCGAUUCUACUUCUAUCUCACUAUCUAGCACAUAUUCAACUAGCUUCUAAGGUUUCUACUACCUUAGAUCUAUGUUAUUUACCACUAGCCCUUAAGGUUUCAUCUACCUUAUCCAAGCUUACCACCCGACUCGGCCUCGAGUCAAUCAACUGCGGAUAAUCCGCGCUCUGUCCAGCUCGAGGUGAAGAAACCCUCACAUACACCUCAGCCUUCAAUUCACAAACUACAUCGCCCAACGGGUCGCCCAGAGCUGCUGUAAGGACUGAGACUUUUGCAGUGUAGCUAAACUCUCAGUUGACGAUGUUUUUGUGUGUAAUUUAAUUACAAAAGCACUCGUCAAGUUUCAGGCGAAAAUGAGUUAAAACGAAGAUUCUACGUUAUUUCCAAGUUUCACUUAAAAUGAAUAGUAACUCGAUUUUCCGGAGAAGCCACGGUGUGAAGUUGGCUUCAGGCUCGUAUCGGACUCCGUUCCUAGCGGUCCAAUAGCUCGUUUCGACCGGUUCAGCUGUUCUGGAACCAAUGGCGCUGACGGAUUUUGAGUUUGACGCACGGAUUUCGAGAAAAUACAAAAAUACAUGUUUUAUAUGUAUUUAUGUGUGUGUUUCCUUCUAUUGGAAGAAGGUUGGAUUUUGUCGUGAAUCCGUGGUCGAUCGAGAUGAAACGAAAUCGCAGCUUUGUUGUCUUCGUCGUGCUGAUCGCACUGGUGCGAACCGUUCGCGAAUCUGACGGACGGAUCUGCGGAGAUGCCGUUGAUCGAGAAAGGUCGGUAGUGGCAAAACGGUAUUUUCGCAAAAGUCGCGAUAUUUUAUGUACCGUUUCGCGUAGGAUCGCACGUGGAGGGGGUUCAUGCGUUUUAGUCGUACUGUGAGGGACUCGGAUUGUAAUUUUGAUGUUUGGGGGACCUUUUUGCAUGUUGCACUUAUUUUAUAGCUCUUUAGGGUUUGGAGCCACUCAACCCUAACCUACUUGCCUAGCCCCCUAGCCGCCUCCUACCUCUUCCUGCCACUUGCUGCGCGUGCCCUGGCAGCCGCCGAUCGAGCCCCGGCAGGCCAACCACGCGGCAGCCACCACUCUCCAUCUUCUUCCUCUCUUUCUCUCUUCCUCUCUCCUCCGGUUGUGUGGAGGCCCGAGACUGCUGCCACUUCGGACUCCCUCCGUGUCGUCCCGUGCUCCGGCGACCUUCCCGCCGACCGCCGCCGUCGCCUGCGCCGCCGCUGCCGCCCCGCGGCCACAUCUGCCAGCCCAGACCGAGCCCUGGCCGUGACCCACUCGUGACCUCCUCCUGCACCGCCGCCUCCUGGAAACCUCCGGCCGAAACCUCCGUGCCGGGCGCCCCUUCCCGCCGUCGCCGCCGCCCGGUGCGCGCCUUCGCCCCCUCGGCCAGCCGCGGCCGCCCAGCCCGAGCCAGGCCGAUCUUGUUUGCGACCACUCCCCGCCGCUGCCGCUCGAGGCCGCCUCCUCCUCCUCUCUCCGGCCUCUGGGACCCGCAGUCGUCGUUCCCGACCUUCUCCCGCGGCCGUGCCGCAGCUUCCUUGGAGUCCGUGCCCUAGCUCUUGCGGGCCGAGCUUACUCCGCCGCUGCACUGCGCUUCUCGUCGCCAACCGAGGUGAGCACGAGUUCCUCACCUCCCCCUCACCCGACUAAGGGCCCGCGCGCGCGCCGUGCCGUCGAGGCCGGCCGGAGCAAGGUUGCUCUCCAGGCCCGAAAUAGGCUUAUUUGAGUGGUUUCUUGUUCUGGCUUCCGAGCUCCCCGAUCUCUACGAAGGGAGCACGAUGAUCCUGGCAAGUUGCUGAUCAUCGUGCUCACCUUAGUUUUCUGUCGGGAGACUCCGUUCUGCUGUUUUGGCGGUGUCGACCCCGUCGAGCCUGUUUGGCUGCUGUUUUGAGUUUGCGCACACUUAUCCGGCGAUCCGAGGCUAUUCCAUGCCUCCGGAGGUGAGACAGUGACCGCUGGUCAGUGCUGAUCACAAUGCUCACCUUCCCUUGGAUCAGAAGUGUCCGGUUAGUUCUGUCGGCGCGAUCUUCCCUGACUGGCGCGUAUUUCGCUGGCCUUCGGGUUGCUCCCGCGCUUCCCACAGCGAGCCGCUGUGCUCGGAUCGUGAGCACGGACUCCGUACGUCGAGACCUGUCAUACGUGUCUCUGCAGACUUCGAAAGUCCUUGGUUUGCGUGAACGAGCCGCUUGAUCGCUCAAAUUACAUAAAAUGAUGAAUUUUAUGUAAUUAGAGGGUCUUUUAUGCAUUUGUGCUUUUGCGUGGCUACUGUGGCAGUGUGUGGGAGUUUGUAAUGACCGCUGGACUGAUUGUCCAUGGUCCGUUAACUUUCACGAAAAUCGGUAGGUCGAUUUCGCGGUGCGUUUUUCGGCGAAAUUCGCCGAAAGAAGCGUUUCGGUUCGGAAUUCUUUCCGAUGGUGUUUGGUGCUUUAGUGUUUUGUUGCUGAGCCUUGUUGGCUGGUCACCAUCAUCAUUUUGUGGGUUCGAUGAUGAUGGGUGAGCGACGGUGGUUUCCGGUGUCGAAAUAGACACUUCCGGGAACCGAUUCGUACGUAUUCCGGCAUGAUCGUCACUAUGGUUGUGUUACUGUGUUCCAACUGCCAAGGCAUCCAAAUUAGAGUGCUUUGGGGCAGCGGGUGACUCGUGGCACGAGUCGGUGAGUUCGGGACACUUAGUGGGUCCCGACGGCGUCCCGGUGUGGUUUUCGGGACUUUCGGUGAGUUACGGUAAUCGGUAUUGGGAAACCGAUCUUCAUGAAUUGUUUGUGGGGUUGUGGAUACUGUGAUUAUUAGUUGUGGGUUAGAUACUAACCCAGUGGACCCUCUAUAGGUCCUGUCGACAUUCUUUUGCAGUCAGGAGAUAGACGCGACAUCCUUACAGGUGGGUACUUCGAUCUGACGUCGGUACAGUGGUGCACGCUUGGUGAUGGUUUCUUACCCUUACUCUUCUGUUGUUACUAUCGCAUAAUAUAUUGAGCCUUGCACCCUUGUUUAUUCGUUAUACUCUACUCGUUGUUUGCAUACUUAGUAUCCUGAGUAGGAGUAGAGUAGUUCUAUCUUCAUGCGUAUCUGUUGACCUAGUUGGUUGGUUGUUGCAUUCAGUACCUGUUGACCUAGUUGGUCUGUUGUUGCGUUUAGUAUCUGUUGACCUAGUUGGUCGGUUAUUGCAUUCCGUAUCUGUUGACCUGGUUGGUCGGUUCUCGUACUUCGUUUCGGUGACCUGAUUGGUCGGUUCUCGUACAUCGUUCGAUGACCCUUGAGGUCGGUAUACCCUAAGGGGUGGGAUUGUCGGUUAGCACCGACGGAUGAUUAUAGUUUACACAGUUCCACUAUUUGGCAUAUUUGUGACCUAGUCAGUCAGCUUCGUGAAUCCUGUCGUUUGAUGACCUAUGAGGUCGGUGUACCCUGAGGGGUUGGAUUGUCGGCUAGUGGCCGACGGUAAUUCGGGAUUCUAUUGAUAUACUCUGGUGACCUAUUCGUUAGUUCGUCGUGCAUAUGUGUUAGUUGACUUUAGUAGUCAGUGUUUGUAUACCUUGGUAGGAUGUUGAGUUGUUCCCUUUUAGUUGACCUGAGUAGUCGUUUCUUGUGCUUCUAUAUAGUUUGAUGACCUAUUGGUCGGUUUGCCCCGAGGGGCGGUGAUUGUCGGCUGGUUGCCCACAUUUGGCUAUUGAUCAUAUCCAUAUUGAUCACCACAGCUCGAGUGCAUUUCACGUACACCAGCGGGUUGAUCCCCCGCAGGAGGGUGUUCUUUUCCGGAAAAGUGGUCGUACAUCCGACCCGUGAGCCCAGCGGUGUUCUCUUUGUGCUAGGGUUACAUACCAGGUGCGAGCAGGUAGUGGCUUUUGCCUGAGGUCCUUAGACCGACACGGCGGUUUAGAUUGGGUACUUUUGGACUACUUGUCCGGUUGACGCAUAUAACUAUAGUAGCAGUGGUCACUUGUAUAUCUUCAGUUCUUUCGUUACAUUGUUUUGUUACUAUAGUCUUGUUACAUGUAUACAUUUAGUUGUUCAUUACAGUAGCGGUAGUUGUACUUUCUUUCAUAUAUAUGUCUCUUUCAUUCAUUAUUAUUGCUACUGUAUUUUCUACUGACCCGUACUAUUGUUUAGCUCUUCCUGAUCCGAUGAGUACUCCUCGCCUUCAUCGGCUUGCUGUACCCACUGGGAUGGGAGAUAUGUUUACAUGUUCUCACCUCCCCCACCAUUUUUCAGGUAUUGCAGGCGAUGAGUUUUGGGACGAGACGUGAGGUACGUUCGUAGCGGUCGAUAGAGCUUCCGACCCAGGUUAUCGAUUUAGUUUUUAUCCUUACUAUUCUGUUGUUAUAGCCUAGUUAGUUUAUAUGGUUCAGUUAGAUGAUCAUACUUGAUGUUUGAACGUUGUGAGCUGGUUGAAUUUGUGGAUUUGUGGAUUUGUGGAUUUGAUUUAUGGAUCUUCAGUUUUGGGAUGUUUGUAUACUUUGUGGUUCUCGGAUUUGUAUUUAUGGAUUUACGCAUCGUGGUUUUCUACCCCUCGAGGUAGUCGGUUUUCAAAAUAGAGUUUCCGUGUGGGAAACAGUUUUCAAAAGGUUUUCAAAUGGUUUUUCAUGAUGAAUGAAUUAGAGUUCAAAAAUAAAAGCUUCUGUGUGGGGAGCACUUUUAAAUAGAAUGGUUGUUGUAUUGUGCAUUGCAUCAUUCACCGCCUAAGGAGUGCUUAGAGGCAUGCAUCAUUCUAAGGAUUGUUAGCUGUAUGGAAAUACAUAUCAUGCUUUGGUUGUUGAUUGGUAAAUGUAGGUUGUGAUUGAGAUCCUGUUGUAUCCGUUGGUACGCCGUGCAAAUACAAAGGAGACUCUGCCCGAGUGGACAGAGGAACUUUGUAUUUGUGGCGGGUCUGUACGUCACGUGGGCCAGGUUGAAAAAAAAAAAAAAUGGCACGUUUUCCGCAACUCUGAGUUUUAAAAAUGGUAAUGGCUUUUAAAAUCGGCCCCGGGGCGUGACAGCUGCGUACACCCGUGGUCAGGGAUCUCCCGGUGGAGAGGAACAUGCCGCAUACACCUGCAACCGAGAUCCCCGAUAGGGAGAGAAACAUGCCACAUAUACCCUAGCGCUUAAGAUUCUUCCGGUAGGAGAGGAACAUGCCACAUGCACCCGCGACCAAGAAUCUUGCUCAAUCACAAUCCUCGAAGUUCUUCCGGUGGGAGAGGAACAUGCCACAUGCACCCGCGACCGAGAACUAUCGAGCUCAUAUACUGCACUAGCAGCCGCUGCACUCGCAGCCGGGAUUCCGGAAUCCACUUUCAUAACACUAGGGUUGGUCUCACCCUAUAUUAUCGACCUAUCUAGGUCCAACAUCAUUUCCAUUCUAGGUCCAACUGACUCUAGGUUUAAUGUCUAUAUCACAUAACCUAUGUUUACUUAACUCUAGAUUCAAUUCUCAACAUAUAUUUUUUAACACUAGGUUCAAUGCCACUCAUGAUUCACCCUAGGUUCACGACACUAGGUUUAAUGUCCAAUCUAUGUUUCAUAACACUAGGUUCAUAUGUUGUUCUCAUCCCUCCUAGGUUCACGACACUAGGUUUAAUGCUACUCGAUCUACUUGACAUCCUAAUUGUCCACAUCGAGUUUUAUAGUUACAUAUUCUCAUUUCCAAUGUCGAAUUCUCUAAAUAACCUAGAGUUAUCGACCAAGUUACAUGCAUAUAUAAUCUAACACAUGCUCUCAAUGCCAAUAUGCAUCUUAUCUAAUAUGAUCUACAACAUGUUAACAUUCAUUUAUAUGCUCUAGCAUGUUUUACUACAUAUGAGCAUGCAUCUAGCAAUUAGCAUAUAUUUUCAAUGCAUCAAUAUGCAAUUAUCAACUAUCAUCUAGUAUGAUUCACAUGAUGCUACCAUGCAUAUAUGUUCUCCAUCUAGCACUUAAAUUCACAUGCAUAAUUCUCUAAACCUAGCAAUUAGGUUUACUUGCAUACAUUUCUAUCUAGCAUAAUCACAAUGCCAUCAUGCCCAUACAUAUGCAUCAACAAGGAUUCAUACUCCACUUUGACAUGGAGGCGACCUAGUCGCUUCAGUAAGCACAACCCACCUAUUAUCGCGUUCCGAUUGCUUGUAGUCACUUGCAAUCGGCCUCCCGCGGCACACGCCGCCCGGUUCGGCCCGAUCUCACGCUUGACCACCGAACGACCACCAAUCCGCAAUCCGAAAAUUCAAGGUCUAUAACUUGGUGCCACGACGCUUCGGAUCCGUUCUCGUGAUUUUUUGGACGUCGCCUCGACCCUCCAGGCAGAAACGAAGCCAAAUCAUCUGUUUCUUCAAUAUCUUCGCGUAGGCUAGACGGAUCGCCGAACGGACUUCGCCAACGUGUCAGAAUAUCUGGCAAUUAGGUUUACAUUGAUUCAAUUUAGAUCAAACCCAUCUAUAUAUCAAAACCACACUUUGGAGUCCUAGGUGCCACAAUUGCAAAAUCCAGCAUUUAGUCUCUAGAUUCAUGCAUUAUCCAACUAUUUAGCAUCUUAGGAGUCAUCUAAAAUCAAUUCUAGAGUUUAUAAAUCAAACCCUAGCUACUUGCCAUUAAAGAGCAUCAAGCUUCCCUCUAGAAGCUUGCUAUUGGGCCAAGAAAGAAGAUGAAGAGGAAGAAAAUCCACCUUCUUGACUCCUUCUCCACCAUCUUCUUCUCCUUGCUCCACUUCUAGAGAGAGAGAGAAGAGAAAUCUAGAGAGAAGGAGGAGCUCCUCUCUCUAGCUCAUGUGUGUGUGUGUGCGCAUUUGGGUUGAGAAAGGAAGAAGAAGGGUUAAAAGCCUUUCUUCUAGAAGCAACUCCACCACUUUACAAGAUUGCCCUUGCUCAAACUAGGCAUUUUCGGGUCUCGGGGACCGGUCCUUGGCUUGAGGGACCGGACCCCGUAGGUUCAGAAUUUCAGCAUCCUCCAGACUUAGCCAAAUUUUCAACAUUUUCAGCUUUUGUCUCCGUUUUCGCUCGUUUUCGCUCCGUGGGUCUCCGAUUCAUUUCAAAUUGCACCGAGACUCUCAAAACAUGUUUUCGAGCGUAUUUACAUCCUCUUUUCAUCCACGCUUAUGACAGAUUUAGUCCAUAGUCCAACUUAGCCUUUCGGGUUCCGUUUUUGCGCCCAACGCGCACGGAAAAUGCCCGAAUGCUCCCGAACUUCACCGGAACCAUUUUAAUGGGUUUCCAAACCAACAUACACCGUAACUUCAUAAUUAUAGAAGUUCGGUAUCUUACACUACUCCUCUUAUGCUUCUCUUUUUCUCCCUCUUUCUCUCUCACUUAACCCUAUGUUCACCUAGGGUUAGUCUCUCUAGCGUAUUAAUGUCUUCGUGGAUCCGCCGCUUGCCAGGAGGUUGCUCCUUCCCUCUACCAUACGCUUAUAUCUACUGCAAAUAGGGGCAUUUAAUGCCACCGCGUAUCUGCCGCUCUCCCGGAGAUGGUUUUCUUUCUCGGUCGUACGCUUUUAUCUACCACAAAUUGAGGCAUUUAAUGCCCUCGUGGAACCCCACUUGCCCGAAGAUGGUUCCCUUCCUUGGUCGUACACCUGUAUCUACCACAAAUUUGGGCAUUUAAUGCCCCUUUCGAAUCCCCCCACUCUUCUGGAGAUCGCUCGCUCUCUCAAGUUGGUUGGGGAUCGUGCUAAUCUGCACUGUACCUCCCCAUCUGCUGUGGAUCUAGCCAUUUAGUGCCGCCGUCGAGCUCCGGCAUGAGCAAUUAAUUUCGCCGCAGAGGAGUCAACUCCGGCGUCCUCGAUUCCAGCUCUUUUCCAUUUCUUUCUAUCUCUGGUGUCGUUUCGCUGUUAUUUCAGAACGGGGCGCUGCUCGAUGCCGAUGAGGGACUACUCAAUGCCAACGCCCUCCCCCUUCUCUUCUCCCUAUUCUUUUGGUUUGUUUCGAUGCUGGUAUGUAUAUAUAACAUUGGUAGAUAAGGUUCCAUGCCCAAUUUCUUUCAAGCUUGCAGCUCUUACUUGUCAACUCUGUUAUUAUUCGUAGUAUUGUUGCCUGUAAAGAGGAGGUCCGGUUCUUCGGAAGUUCCUUUGAUUACUUCCUAUUCUGAUGUUGUCUGUCUAUGUACAAGUCUAGAUUUCUUAAUGCUUGGGUGCUUCGAUGUUUGGUCGUGGUUUUGCAUGCGAUUCCUCCUGCUCUGCCUAUUGUCAUUUGAUUUUUUUUGCCCUAAAUUUUGUAUUUCUUUGUUUUUUUUCCUUUGGUUUUGCUUGGACUUUGACAUAUUCUUUCUCUUAUAUUUAUUUUAUUUUCCUUUUUAGCUUCACUUUCUAUAAUAGACUAUUUUUCUUGGACUUCUUUCCUUUUUUUAAAAAAAAUGCGAUAUUUCAAGUUCAAGUUCUACAGCUCAAUUUUCUUAUUAUAGUAUUUACUUUUUUUUUAGUUUACCUCUUUCUCACUAUUGCUUUCUCCAUCCUCUGAAGCGGGGCAAUGAUGAUAGGGGCAAUACUCUGAACUUAUCUUCUCUGCUGAAUUUGCUUCCCAGAUGCUGCAUUCUAUACUAAAUUUAUCCGCAAUGGCACGGCAUGUUGAAUGGCCUCAGGGUAAUCACUGCAACCUGCAGCUAUUACUGCAGAGUUUCGAUCCAUACAAUGUUCAUCAUACCCCUUUGCUUUGGGGGAGGGGAGGGGGUUGCAUUAUGUUUUUCCAUGUUUUUAAUAUCUGCUUGCUUUUUUUUUUGCAUACUAUUUUUUUCUUAAAUUUAACAAUCGAAUAGCUUCAUCAACUACUUUUAUCGACUUUUCUUAUUUCUUAAAAUUUUCUCUUGGAUUUCCGUACUAUUAGUGUAGGCAUGGAAGUGAUCGACGUUUCAUUUAAGCACUUAUUGAUUGAAAUUACGUAGAAAUUAUCUAUGCCGGUGCCGAAAUAUGGUCUACCGUGGACACAUCUAGCGAGCUGAGUGCUUACGUCGAUGUCGAGGUUUAGCGUGGCGACUUUGUGACAGAAACCAUUCAUUCUUGGGGUUGUCCGGCCUGCGUUGCAAGUCCAUCCGAAGAGGAUGCGGCCCAUAAUAACAUCAACACUUUACGUGACGAUCUUGGCUUCAACAUUCGAGAUACAAAUAAUAUAUAAAUAACGAUUUUGCUAUGUCUUUGGAUCUGAACUAAUCUUUAAUAUCAAAAAUAUUUAUGCAAAUAUUUUUUUCUUAUGUUGUUUAAUAUUUAUUAUUGUGUGCUUACUGUAAAUCUUCCUAUCCGCCGUGAAGUGCGGGUCCUUAACUAGUGUGAAAUUAAAGUUGUAUUUUAAUUAGAUCUAAUGCCAUUUUGUUCUUUGAUUAUUAGUAUAUGAUGAUUUAUCUCUAUUCUCUGAUUAUUAGCACAGGAUGAUUUAUCUUUAUUUUUCAUUAUUAUAUAGUUAAAUUAAUUUUUUAAAAAAACUAUAUGAUUUGGGAGGAAGCACGAAUCUGAGCCUUACAUUAUGUUUUUCCAUAUUUUUGAUAUACUUGCUUUUUUUUUGCAUAUUUUUCUUUCUUAAAUUUAACAAUAUGAAUAGCUUCACCAGCUACUUUUAUCGACUUUUCUUAUUUCUUAAAAUUUUCUCUUGGGUUUCCAUGCUAUUAGUGCAAGCAUGGAAAUGGUCGACAUUUCAUUUAAGUAUUUGCCGCUUAAAAUUACGUAGAAAUUAUCUAUACUGAUGCCAAAAUAUGGUCUUACCGUGAACACAUUGGGCAAGCUGAGUGCUUACUUUGAUAUUGAGGUUUAGCGCGGCGACUCUGUGACAGAAACCAUUUAUUUUUGGGACUCUCCGAAGAGGAUGCGGUCCGUAAUAGCAUCAACACUCUACGUGACGAUUUGGCUUCAACAUUCGAGACACAAAUAAUAUAUAAAUAACGAUUUUGUUAUGCAUUUGGACCUGAACUAAUCUUUAAUAUCAAAAACAUUUAUGCAAAUAUUAUUUUCUUCUAUCAUUUAAUAUUUAUUAUUGUGUAUUUACUGUAAAUCUUCCUUUCUACCGCGAAGCGUGGGUCCUUAAUUAGUGUAAAAUUAAGUUGUAUUUUAGAUCUAAUGCCACAUUUAUUCUUUAAUUAUUAGCACAUGAUAAUUUAUCUCUAUUCUCUGAUUAUUAGCACAAAUAUUAGUAAUUUUUUUAAUCCUCAUUUGAAUCUUCUUCAGUUUCAGAUUAUCGAUAGAGAUCUCCUUUUAAACUUACAUCAUGCUAAUCAAGUUGGAUUUGUUAUUGUGGUGGUGUGUGUAAUGUUCGUUUUGCGAUUAUGUGAAAGGGAUUGGACAUUAAAUAAAGAACCAUCUAAACUGAGGGAUUUAUAUAGAAAAGGCUCAUAUGCGUAGUAUAUUAUGCGGAGGAAGAAGAAACUGCUUGGAUUAUGUUCGAAUGGGAUCUGAGACCUUUUUAACACUUGCUACUAUAAUGAGGGACGGGGUUAUUAAGAGAUACAAUACAUAUGACAAUUGAAGAGCAAUUAGCCCUAUUUUUACAUACUGUAGGUCACACUACUAAGAAUAGGGUAUUAAAAAUUAAGUUUAUUCGUUUAGGAGAGACAGUGAGCCGCUAUUUUAAUUUAGUACUUCGAGUUAUAUGUGGCAUCAAUAACCAACUUAGUCAACAGGUGAGUUCUACAACUCAUCCAGAAAUUACAAUAAAUCCAUAAUAUUUUCCUUAUUUUAAGAUAAACAAGUAGAAUAAUACAGAAAAAUACUAAUAAAAAUUAUUUUGUUAAAAAUUAUAAUUGACUUCUAAUACUAUCUUACGAUUGUGUCGGUUUAUUGGAUAGUAUCCAUAACCCAGCAAAAGUUCUAACUAAUAUACCUGCUCGAUUUUGUGGUCGAAAGGGGUUGACACAAAAUGUGUUAGCAGCAGUCACCGCAUACUGUAAAUUUACUGAUGGGAAGGAUCUGCAAAUGAUUAUGCAGUACUUAAAGACGCCCUUUUCUUGCCUCCUCCAUCAAAAUUACGUGUAAUUGAAGGUAAAAUACAAGUAACCAUUGUAUCAAAUUUUAUAAAUAAAAUAAUUGUUACUCUACAUAUAAUUGUCCAAAUGCAAGAAAAUAUUAUUUGGUUGAUGCCAGCUAUACUACGUUGCAUGAUUUUAUUUCUCCAUGAAAUAUUUUCUCUGUGAAAUAUUAUUUUAAGUAAGAAGAAAAUCAAAAAACUUUUUUCGGGUAAAAAGCCUAAAAAGAAUUUAUGGUGUUUUGAUGUGAAAUUCAAUAUAUAUUAUAAUUUUACGAUCUAAAAUGUUAAUCUAUCAGAAUUUAUCAUAUAUGUAUUAAUUGAAGAAUAAAGGGCUUAAAAAUUUUUGCGAAGCAACGUGCUCCUCAUCGCUCUAUGCCCCACUCAACCUCCAACGUAUGCUUUCGACGUUGUAGCCAGUAGGUGCCUCAAUAAGUAGCAUGGUAUACCUUCGUAUUCCAUUGUCGUAUUAAUGUUAUUUUUUUGAUUCGUCGCUAACUGGGACUGUUGGGCGCCUCCAUGAGGCCCAGGUUCAGCAUUGCUCUGACAAUGCCUUCAGCUUCAUCGUGGAGAGGUAUUCGCUUCUGUGUAGAGUAAGGGUUCUAUUUUAUCUUUUACUCAUAUCUUAAAUUUUUUAUGAAAUUAUGCUUCUUUUGUCAAAUAAAUCUAUUUGACUUUUGAAUUUGUGGAUUUAUAUUUACUGCUAACUAAAGGGAAAAAAAUAGCUGUUAGGCUUUUUUUAUUUAUUUUAUUUCAUGCUCUAAGUUACAGCAGAAAUCCUUUGAGCACGUUAACAGCCCUGUCGUAUGCACGAGAACGCACCCCGCACAUGUGAAGCGUAAAUCAAUCAACAAUACAAAUCACAUAGAGUGUAUGUAUGAAAAACAUGUGUCAUGGUCUAUAAACAACUAUACAACUGCAGCUACAACUUUACAUAUAACUAUAACACAAUUCAAAACUAACAUAUACAAGAGUAGGGCUACGAGUCUAGCUAUGGUGCUUGUAAACGCACCAAGCACUUGGUGCUUGUAAAUUUUUUACCGUUAGAUCUACGCCUUUGAUCAUUUUCACCCGUUAGAUUAUAUUAUUCAACCAACCACGCACUCAACCCUAGAGGGCCCACAUCAUCCUAACCACACAUUCCUUAAUCCAAUGGCCAAAAACUUACAAGCACCAAUGACUUGGUACUUUUAAAAGCAUAGGAGCUCAAUUCGUAGGGCUAAUAUACUCUUAUAAGUAUAGAGCCCUUAGUACUAAUAAGUUGUUUUCGAUAUUGGGGUUUUCGAAUCGACGAUCCAUACCGUUAAACAUGAUCUAGAGUAUUUGAAACUUCUAUAAAAAAAAUUUCAUAAUUUUUAAAAAUCAUUAUAAAGUCUAUCAAAUGGGUAUAAAAUGAACGGUUAAAAUCGAACUAUAUCCUAAAAAUAGAUGACUGGAUACUUCAAUUUAAGAUCGGAGUUAUUGAUCUUUAUUUAGGUAGUGAAUAGAAUUUUCUGUCAAAAAUUCAACCUAUUCUGAUUCUUUUUCACCGUUAAACUACAAGUAUCUCAUACCGGCCGUUAAAAAUUGCCAAUUUUGUGAGCUUUUGAUCGUAAGGUAAAUGAUAUCAAAAAAUUAUAAAAUUUGAUUUCUAGAAGUUUUAAAUGCUCUAGAUAAAUUAAUAUUUAACUGUGACACCCCAAUAGUCCCACAAUAGUCCCACAUCGGAUGGGAAUGGGGUUGUCAUUGGGUUUAUAAGAGACUUAGACACUAGUAAUAAUAACUGGGCUUAAGCAUUUUGGGCGGAAACCUUUAUCAAAAGAAUUUUCUGUGGAUUUAUGUUUAAAUAUUAAAUGCAAAUCUGUGAUGUGAAUGGUGAAUAUAUGAAUGUAUGAAUGUAUAGUUAUUUCUAUAUUCAUUUAGUUGUGGUUGUAUCCUGUUUGUACUGUUGUACUUGUGCGACGCCGUGCAAAUACAGGGGAGACUCUGUCCGUGUGAACAGUGGAAUCCCUGUAUUUGUGGCAGAUCUGGCAUACUCUGGGGUCAGGUUUUUUAAAAAAAAAAAAAAAAUAGACGCUUUUUCCGCUGUGUUCAAACAAAAAGGGACCCCGGGGCAUGACAGAUUAAAGAAUCUAUCACGCCCCGGGGUCCCUUUUGAGUUUAAGAGAAAGCGGAAAAGCGUCUGAAUUUUUUUAAAAAAAAUCUGACCCCAGAGUAUGCCAGAUCAGCCACAAAUACAGAAAAUCCACUGUUCACACGGACAGAGUCUCCCCUGUAUUUGCACGGCGUCGCACAAGUACAAGAAGUCACCCAGGCACAACCACAACAAAUGAACAUACAAAUAACCAACCGUUAUAUAUAUUCAUAUACCAUUCACCACAGAUUCAUACUCAUGCAUUCAACAUUUAAACAUAAAUCCACACCUAUCAGUUAAAAUGUUUCCAACCACAGAAACAAGUUUUGAAAUACUAAGAUACAAAAUCACAGAAAACCUUUUGAAAGCUGUUCCCUACACGGGAACUUUUAUCUUUUAAAAACGCUACCACGAGGGGUAGAAAAUCUUUUAUUUUACAAAAUCCAGAAAUCCUUUUAUUUUAACGUAAUGAAAUACUGAACCACAUAAACCAACUAAACUAUACAUCAACAGAAAUAAAAUGGGUAAUAACUAAACCGAAAUAACCUGGGCCGGAAGCUCUAUCGACCGCUAUGUAUCUCACGUCUCGUCUCAACCCUUACCGCCCACAAUAUCUAAAAAAUAGUGGGGGAUGUGAGAAAAUGUAAACAUGUUUCCCCUCCCAGUGGGUACCGCAAGCCGAAGAAGGCGAGGAGUACUCACUGGAUCAGGAAGAGCUAUACAACAACACGGGUCAGUGGAAAUAUAGUAGCAACAAUAAUAAACGAAAGAGAUAUGUAAGGAGCUGACAAGUAUAGAUGCAGGUAAAUAAAACAGUAGCUACAAUAAAUAGAUAAGGAUGUACUGAAAAUAAACACUACAGUUACUGUAUGCAUGCGUCAACUGACGAUAACCUCAAAAGUACCCAAUCUCGCUGCCCUAUUGGUCCGAAGACCUCAGGCCUAUGCCACACUUCUCAACCUGUACCUGACCCUCGCAAUGAAGCCCCUGGGUCAGAAGCAUAGUACCUGACCCUCGCAAUGAAGCCCCUGGGUCAGAAGCAUAUACCCUCGCAAUAAAGCCCCUGGGCUCACGGGUUGGCAAUCCAACCACUUUUCCGGAAAAGAACACCCUCUUGCGGUGGAUCAGACUGCUGGUGUUCGUGAAAUGCGUACCUGGAGUGGCGAUCAAUGUAGUAUGCUCAAAGAUCUUCCAUCAGCAACUAGCCGACAAUCCAGCCCCUCAGGGCACACCGACCGUAUAGGCCAUCAGCAACUAGUCGGCUACGUAUGUCAAGAUAGAACUGUAGCAACUCGACCGAACAGGUCAUAGAUAUCAAAAUAGGGGAAUCGCCCAACCAAAUCACAGAUAUAGUGAACAGAUAAGUCAACUCUACUCCUAAGCAUGAUAUCAACAUGGAACUAACUGAGUAGAGGAAUGCAGAUAUAAAAGCAGGUGCAAGGCUCAAUAUGAUAUCAACAUAGGGGAACCGCCCAACCAAAUCACAGAUAUAGUGAACAGAUAAGUCAACUCUACUCCUAAGCAUGAUAUCAACAUGGAACUAACUGAGUAGAGGAAUGCAGAUAUAAAAGCAGGUGCAAGGCUCAAUAUGUAUAUGCACACAGAUAAUAGUAAGAGGGCAAGGGUAGAAACCAUCAUCGAACGUGCACCACUGUACCGACGUCGGAUCGAAGUACCCACCUGUACGAAUGUCGCACCUGUCUCCUGACUGCGAAAGGAUGUCAACCUGAGCAGUAGAGCUAGGGUUGGUUGCCGGCGGCCGGACUGCAGGAGGCCCGGCCAGGGAAGGGUGCGGUAGGUCGGUGGGGUCCGGGGCACCAGCUGGUCGACAGCGGGAGGCGGCCGGUGGCGCGGCGGAGGAGAUCAACUCCACCUAGCUACUCUCGGGUUCAACAUCCACGGCGGCCACGCGAUGGUGGGAAAAGCUUGGGACGGCGACGACCCGUCGCCGGAGGUCGAGAGGAAGGCGGCGCGCACGGCCUAGGGCGGCGGCGGCGCACGGAGGCAGUGCGGGUCCAAGCUUGCAUGCCUGCAGGUCGACUCUAGAGGAUCCCCGGGUACCGAGCUCGAAUUCGCCCUAUAGUGAGUCGUAUUACAAUUCACUGGCCGNCGCGGGGACGGCGGCGGAGGGUCGCCGGGGGUUGAGGGAAGGCGGCGCGGCCGAUCUAGGGCUGCUUUACCUAGCGGGCCCUGAGCUCAAGUCCGCUCGGUCUGGGUUGACCCGAGUUGGCCAUGGCUUGCUCGGACGGCGCCGGCGGCGUGCGCAGGAGGCGGGGACGGCCGGUGACGGCACCGGAGGGGAAGCCUCGGCCAGAUAAUAUAGGCUCAGCCCAUGGGGUGGCUUCCCGAAGUCAAGAGGCCGUGGAGGGUGGAGAAGGUGGUGAUGGAGAUGAUGGAGGAGAGGGAGGUAGAGCUUUUCCGGCGGCCGGGGUUACUCGCCGGCGGCAGGGGUGCGCGCAUGGCAAGGGCAUAGAGGUGCUGAUGACGGUUAGGGUUAACUGGGGGUGCAAGUCGGCUAGAUCUAGGGUUUCAUGCUAAGAAAUCCUAGUGCAACAUUAUAUGCAACCUGCAACUUUGCAGAGAAGUCCCCCAAAGAUAAUUGUUAUCAUCUGAGUCCCUGACAGUGCAUAUGUUUUGCAUGUACGCACCUCCAUGCUCGAUCUCGCGUGCUUCGGUACAUAAAAUAUCGCAACUUUUCGCGGAUUUUCCGAAUUGCCACCUUCGACCUCUUAACGAAAACUUCGCAAUUACCAGAGAUCCGUCCGUCGGAUUUUCGAUCCGACGACACCAUUGCGUUCAGCACGUCGGGGGCAUCAAAACUACAAUCUUAUUUCGUCAGAUUUGGUCACGGAUUCGCGACGAAACCCAUCUGCUCUCUAAUUAAUCCAUAUAUCGCACAUAUACCAAUGUGUAAACCCAUUAAACCAACUUUCGCAUUAGAAAUUGACUUCCCUACCACUAGUAGGGACCCGAAACAUUCUACACCCUACUCCAGGUCACAAGCACGGAGCACGAGGAGCUUAAAAAAUGCAAGAACAGUCAAGAACGGAAGUCCUCUUUUCGGUAAAAUUCCUUUUUCCCGGAAACUGUGCAUCAGAUCUGGAAUCCGUCAGUGCCAUUGGUUCCAGAAUAGCUGAACCGAUCAAAAUGAGCUAUUGGAUCGCUAUGAACGGAGUCCGAUACGCGCCGAAAGCCAACUCUAUUACGUGGCUUCUUCGAAAAACCGGAGUUACUAUUCACUUUAAGUGAUUAGUUUUAAUUGCGUAACUUCUCCGUUGUAGCUCAUUUUCUCCUGAAACUUGACGAGUGCUUAUGUAAUUAAAUUACACACAUAAACAUCAUCAACAGAGAGUAUUUGCACUGUAAAAAUCUCAGUCCUUACAUUAUCCCCCCCUUAAAAGAAGUUUCAUCCUCGAAACUUGACCACAUACCCACCGAAAUCGGAUUCGGAUAUUACUUCCACCACUGUGGUAUCACCUUUGAGUAUUGGUCAAUUACAUUUCCAUGAAUCGGGACAGAUCAACUAUCGUUUCACAUGGACGGGACGAGGGGAAAAUAUACUAACCCAAAAACCAUGGACCAAAACUCACCGGGAUCAAUACUAUCCUAUAACCUGCGGACAAAAACAGUCCCGCGACUAGGAUUAUCAGAUCCCAAAUGACAAUUCUGAGAUAACACUUCAACACUUAGAAAUUCUAGGUCCACUCAACCUUGGUCCGCAUACCAGUAACCGACUCGACUGCGUCGAAGGUUCACGUAGAAGAGACACGAGUCAAAACUCUCGCCUUGGAGACCACAGUCUCCAACCAGUAACCACACAAACUGCCAAAACCUCCUUCAACGGAAAGUCACCUGCGACAAUCUAUAGUCCUAGGUCCAAGACUUCAAUUUCCACCUGACCAACAGGUCCAACUGACGAUACCAUUUGGGCUAGACAAUUUUGUCUCCUCAAACUUAACCAGUACCAACAGACCACUGAAAGCUCUUUGCAAGUCCAUCACUUGAUGCACAGGUCGCCAAUCACAAAAGCGAUACUAACCGUCGGCGAUGCUCAACAUUUGUCUUCACGAGACCCUGUCGCUGCCGUCCUACCAUGGACCCUAGCGAUCGAUGUUCCCAGCAACACCCGUUUACAUGUCUUAUUGAGACCGAGGCACACCUGUCACCAAUUUGACUGGACAAGCAUACCAUUUCAUGGUUUGCACGUUAAGCCAAGUCACAAAUCUUAUAUGCUAUCACAUACAGUGACAACCAAAGCCAACAACCAGGCUCAAGUCACUCAACAACUGAUUUCGAACCUCUCGACAAACAAACCGAGACUAUUAAAUAACCAAACCUUUUAGUUGUAACAAGUACAACUAAAGAACUACGAACACCCAGACUCGAACUAAAGUCAAAACCCUCGGUAAUGAUGAUAAAUCGACUGCGCAAAACCUGCCAAGGAAUAAUCCAAGGCUUGCCACAUGGUCAGAGAUGACAGAUUAAGAUGGUAUCGGAGCCAAUUACCAGCUGGAAGUGUGAGAUGAGUCUCGGCUGAGCCAGGGUCUGGAUGACGGGCUAGCGAGACGAGUCUCACAUCGCCUGGUACUUGUGAGUCUGAGCCUGAUGAGGACGUCAGGGCUUAAAGGAGGGGAGAUUGUGAGACCCCAGAUAGUCCUAUAUAUAAGAUAUAAUAGGGCUAAAACUCUUAACCCGGCUUAAGCAUUUUGGGUGGUGGCUAGACCCAAGAGGUUAAGAGAGUUAAGCGUGCUAGGACGGGAGUAGUCCUAGGAUGGGUGACCCCCUGGGAAGUUGGGGCGUUACAUUUACGGUAUGGAUCGUCGAUUCGAAAGCUCUAUCAUCGAAAACAACUUAUGAGUACGAAGACGAUCAUACUCAUAAGAGUAUAGUAGCCGAACUCUCUAUACAAUAUCAUCCACCUCUUUGAGCCCAAUAUUUGUAGCUAGCUAAACUACCAAAAUGUAAUCCUCCACUAACACUCAUCCAAUAUAGGAGAUGCUAUCUAGUCUGCGAUCUCUUUACCUCGAUCACUAGCUAGAAUAUGGAUUGAAAAUUUAAAUAUAUAAUUUUUUAAAAUUAUUCUAUGUACAGUUGCUCUAGCAAACAACUUGUGAAGAACUUCAAUUUCACCCAAUUUUUAUUAAACUAAAUUAGUUGAUUAUAAUUUUAAAUUUGUAUUAAAAACUUUGAUAUUCAUAUUUAAAAAAAUAUUCCGAAAACUAGUAAGAAAACGUUUAGAGGCAAAAAUGUAAGAUCUAACUUUAAUCCUUUCGUAAAUCGAACUAUUAAUUCUACUUAAAAAUUUAAAGUUUUAGAAUUUGAAAACUUUGAUGUUCCUACGAAAAAAAAAAGAAUUAUGAAAAACAAUAAGAACAAGUUUAGAAGCAAAAAUAUAAGAUGUACUUUAAUCUCUUUGUAUAUCAAACUAUUUAAUUUUAUUUAAAUCUUUAGGCUUCGUUUGGUUCGGGAUUAAGUAAGAACUAGUUAUUCCGGUAAUAGAAAUAAGUUCAGGUGUAAGCUUGGAAUAGAUCAAUUUUGUGUCUGGAUAAAAAUUGAGUUGUUCCCGAGAAUAAGAAAAAUGGCGUUUGGAUAGAUAAGGUGGAAUAAAAAAAAUAGUGGGUAGCUAUAAAUAGAAAAUAAUAAUAUUGCCCCUUAUAUUUGAAUUUAAAUUUUUAAAUUUUAUAUUUAAAAUUUUAAAUUUAAAUAUAUAACUUUAAAAAAAAAUUUAAAAUAAAAUUUUAAAUUUUAAAUAUCAAAUUCAAAAAUUUAAAGUUCUAAAUUUUAAAUUUAAGAUUAAAUUCAAAUUUAAAAAUAUCAAAAUUUAAAUUUAAAAAAUUAAAAAUAAUAAUUUAUAAUUUAUAAUUUAUAAUUAUAAAAAUUAAUUAAGAUUACAAAUUCUUAAAUUUAAAAAAUUUAAAAUUUAAAAUUUAAAUUUAAAUAAAUGGAUUGAGAUAAUUAAUCCCACUCAAUUCGGGGGAGGGGGUUUGUUAACCCACCCCUAACGGGUUAUCCCGUGAUAACCCGUUAGGGGUGGGGUUAACAAACCCACCACAUUGGAAAUGGUGUUUGGGAUUAAGGGGGAUAAUCCCUUAUCCCUCCUUCUAACCCCAAUCCAAUACCACCUUUUAAAUUUUUAAAUAUUGGUAAAAAAAAAUAUAAGAAAAAAGUUAGAAAUUAUAUACACAGCAUUUGGUUUAGGGUUGGGGGGAUAAGGGGUUACCCUCCUUAUCCCCAAGCACUUUUUUUGAGCUAACGCCACCCUCCAUGGAAUAAGGGUGGGAUUAGCUAAUCCUACCCCUAUAUAAAUAUUUAAAUUUAAAAAUUAAAAAUUUAUAAUUUAUAAUUUUAAAAUUAAUAUUUAUACUUUUAAAAUUUAAAUUAUUAUUUUUAAUUAUUUAAAUUUUAAAUUUGAUAUUUUAUAUUUGUAAAUUUAGAUUUUAUUUAAAAUUUAAAAUUUAUAAUUCUAAAUUUUUAAAUUUGAGAUUUAAAAAUUUAGAUUUUAAUUUUGAAUUUUUCCAUUUUAAAAGUUAUCUAUUUAAAUUUAAAAUUUUAAAUAUAAAAUAAAAAAUUAAAUUUAAAUAUAAUAAUUGGGGCAAUAUCAUUAUUUUCUAUUUAUAACUACUCACUAUUUUUCUCAUUCCAUCUUACUAUUCAAACGCUAUUUUUCUUAUUCCUGCGAACAACUCAGUUUUUUCAUCCAAAUACAAAAUUGGUCUAUUCUAGGUGUACACCUAAACUUAUACUUAUCCAUUGAAUAACUAAUUAUUACUUAACCUCGAACCAAACAAAUUAAAGUUUCUUGAAAUGAAUUCUUUUUUAAUUAAUAGAAAAUGAUAUAAUAAUUAUUAUAAUUUUGUAGGACAGACAAAAGGUGGGAUGAGAUAAAAUCACCAAACUUAUUUUUUUUAUAAUAAUAAGAAUAAAUAAUAGAACAAAUGGUAUAAUUAUAAUUAUAUAGAACUUAGCGACAAAUAGGGGGACAAAAGAAAAUCGCCAAAUUUAUUACUUAUAAUAGUAAGAAAUAGUAUCCAACAUUCCACAGCACCCCAAAAAGUUGCCAAUAAUUUGUUUAUAGGCUGCGAGGAUCGCCAUAAGAAUGGUUAAACCCGCCAUGCCUUAUUGCAUUCCAUGGCAUCCAAAAAAUCUGCCAACAUAGAAUCCAAACCUUCACUAUAGCGAAGCCCAACAUCAUAGCCUCCUCAAAAAUAAAAAUUUUGAUUUAAGUAAAACCAGGCUGCAAGAAGUGCUACGAGAAGUGCCAAACCUGCCACGCCUUAGUGUGAAAUCCAAACCUUCACUAUAGAGAAGCCCAACAUCAUUGCCUCCACAAACCUUUAAAAUUUAAUUUAUUUAAUUAAAAUCUGGAAAAAAAUAGAUAAAAGCAGAUCUUCAAGCAAAGGAACGGGCUGCAUACUAUCAAGUGACACACCUAGUUAAAUUUUAAAUUAAACUGAUCCUAAGAUUAAAAAUAAAAGGAAGAAGGUUGUGGUAUCCAAACCUGCACUAUAGAGAAGCCCAACAUCACAACCUCACUAAUCUCUUUUCGAAAUAGACCAGUGCAUAGCUUUAAUGUACAAAAUAUAAACUAAAAACAAAAGAGAGAAGUGCGGAAAAUUAAAAAUAAAGACCAAUGCACAAAUUUAAGUCCAAAGAGACCAUAGCUUUAAGUACAAAAAAGACCAAGGCACAAAGAGAACAUAGCUUUAAGUACAAAUUUAAGUCCAACUGACGAAUAAACUAAAAAUAAAAGAAAGAAGUGCAGUUGGCACAAUCAUCAAAAUACAUCUUUUAAAUAGACCAAUGCGUAACUUUAAACCAAAAUAUAAAUCUGAAAUGAGUGAUGCAUAGUUUUGGAAAGAACAACACAAAAAUCAUGCGCGCAUGCAUGACCAUCAAUACCAAAAUGAGCAGCAGUAAGAUAUGACCAUCGGUUACAAAAUAAAAUCCAAACCUGUAAAAUUAAUAAUUUAAUUAAAACAAAAAAAGAAUUAAGCAGAAGGCACAAACUGCAGUAGGCAAUCCAUGUUAAUUUAACAGCAGAGCAAGAAUAGUUGGAAAAAGCCAAAUUUUCAAUAUCAAGAGAAGGCUAUGUAAGAAGAAUUUGAACUGAAACAGUAAACUAUAAAGCAAAUGGGUAAUAAAAGGAGAGAAAAAAUCUGAAAACUACUGUUGAAAACUGGUAGAAAGAGAAGGCUAUGUAAAAAAAUCAAGAAUAGUUGGAAAAAACCAAAUUUUUAAUAUCAAUAACACUACUAAUUAAAGAUUUUGUUAAAAUUAUUAUGCUUAUAUUAAAUUUAACAAUUCACAUUAAAGAGGCAAGUUAGAAAAUAUAUAUCAACAAAUUAUAAAUAAGUAAAUCUAAGUUGAGAGGCAAAUAUAAACCAGCAAAUUAUAAAUAAGCAAAUCUAAGUUGAGAGGUACAUUUUAGAAUGGUCAACCUUUGAGGAUUUAACAUUACACAACCUAGAAAAUUCAGCAUAACUAAAAUUUUAAAGUACUAUUGAAAAUUAUAACUCCUAUAUUAACUAUAAGUAACACAAUUCAGAUUAAAUUCAUUUUAAUUGGUAACAUUAACAUAAAGUAACACAUAUAGAACUUCAAAGAAGCAUGUACAUACAUACAUACAUCUACAUAUGUAUAUAUGCUUUAAUGUAAGGAAGAAGUGCAAAUUUAAGAACAAAUUUAAGUCCAAUUGGCCAAUAACUUUAAAAUGAAAGUAAGAAGUGCAAUAGGCACAAUCAUCAAAAUACAUCUUUAGAUAGACUAAUGCAUAGCUUUAAACCAAAAUACAAAUCUUAAAUAAGCGGCACAUAGUUCUGGAAAGGACAACACAAAAUUCAUGCGCGCAUGCAUCACUUGCAAAAUGAGAAGUAGCAAGACAUGACACUUUCUAUUGAACCUUCGACAACUAACCCAAGGGGGCAGAUGUACCAUCCGAUGGAUCAGUUUCUAUAUUAGAUGGAAUAGGAAUCGGACGAUUGAUCACAGCAUGGCACUUUUCAGUGGCACGACGUAUCUGGACCCGCUCGAUCAUGAACUCAUUUAUCUGUGCAAGAGUAGCGACGUAACAAUCCUUCACAAAGUUAUACUCACGAACCAAGUUGUUGUACUGCGCAAACUAUACAGCAUACUCUGUGGAUAGAUGAUUGUAUAGAUUUUUAUAGAAGAUACUAUUAUCAAAAUUUAUAUCUUUAAUUUGCAAAUCUAAUUCUUCCACCAUCCUCUUAAUAGCAACGCGAGCAGCAUCAUGCUCAACUGCUACAGAUGUGGAGGAUUGCAACCCCCAGCAGCGUGCAAUUUCAACUAUAGAUUCACUUCAUGAAAUUGGAAGAUCUAUAUAUACGAGGUAAGCCCCCUCUGCAGCGGGAGCGACAACACACUCUGGUGUUUCCAUAUGCAGCUUCUCAGAAAAUCUCACGAAAUAAUCGAAGGUAAGAAAGCUGAACCGUCGACAUAGUAGAAGCUGCAAGAAAAGAAGCCCGAGAAAAAUGAGGGCAAAGAGGAGGUAAAUGAGAAGUUAGUUGUAAAAAAAAUAGUUUUUAAAAAUAUUUUGUACAAUCAGUCAAUAUUAUAAGAUAAAAAAUAGGGUAAGGCAGGUUUAAAAAUUAUAAAUCAACAGCAUUUGGGAGAGUUAACAGUGAAGAAAAGGGUCCAGCUUAGAAUAGCUGGAAAAAAGCCAAAUUUUCAAUAUCAAUAAUAGAAAGCGUAAAUAGUAAUGAAGCAAAAAAGAAGAAGAAGAAGGAUUCAGCUUAGUAAGAAGAAUUUGAACUGAAACAGUACACUGUAAAGCAAAUGUGUAAAGAAAAAUCAGGAAAAACUACUGUUGAAAACUGGUAGAAAGAGAAGGCUAUGUAAAAAAAUCAAGAAAAUACAGCAGCAUAUUGCUUAAAGCAACGUCACCAAGAAAUAAUCUGCUAGGCUCAGGUAAUACAGGCAAGCAAUUUAUGCAAUGAAAGAAGACAUGCAGCAGGAUUGGUCCAUUAGUGAAAGAAGCAUCCCCAGAGCCAACUGAUCUAAAAGUAAUAAGCGGUUGCCUAUGAUAAGGUUAUCCAAACUUCUAUUAAAUUUUUUGAAUAAUCUAUUUCAUCCUACCUGCAUAUCAUGUGUUGUGUAGAAGAGGGGCAAGAGAUGCAAAAUAGUAAGUAGUUGCCUAUAAUUAGGCUGUCCAAACUUUUAUUAAAUAUUUUGCAUUUUUUAUGCCUGCCUAUUAUCCUUGCCUAGCAGAAGGGCAAGAAAUAAAACGGCAAUUGAAAGAAAGGGGAGCCUUAAAUCAUUGGUGAAGUAAACAACAACAGCAAGUCAAUAGAGCUUAACAAAAACCAAACACUAAAAACCAAUAAAAGUCAGCAAAGAUUGCCAAUAAAGUAAAGUAAAGGGGAGUAGAAGUAAUCAAAGAAGAUCAACCUUUGUGCUGUUAGUAGGAUGAGGAGAUAGUAACUGCUGCUGCAAAAGGUGUACAACUCAAAAAUAUACCUUUUUUUGUUCUGAGGAGAAUACUGUAGCAUGCAGCAAGUAAUAAAAAGGGCUAUUUAUAAUACUUCUGACCGAAGAUUUGCACUCUCACAGAAGUGAAGAGUGAAGGUAACAGUGGAAAGAGUAGGGUAAUUGGUAGUGUUGUUGCAAUAAUUCAGAAGAUCCCUCAAGAAUCCCAAAUCCAAGAGUAAGACAGCAAAAAAUCCAAGAGAAUUUCAGCUUAAUCUGUUAAGACCAAGUCGAAGAGAAAUAAGUGGAAAUCUUUUGAAACUUUAAGGAAAUCUUUACAGAGUAAGACAGACAUAAAAAUCUAAGAGAAUUUCAGUUUAAUCUGAAAAGCAAAAUAGAAGGAAAAUGAGUGAAAAUAUUUUGAAAUAAGUGCGAAUAUGUUAAAACCAAGUCGGAGAAAAUUAAGUGGUAAUCUUUUGAAACUCUAAGAGCUUGGAAAUCUUUUGGAACUCUAACUGAAUAUCUUUUGAAAAACUGAAAAACCUAGAAAGGCAUCAGAGUAGUUGUUCAUCGCGAUGGCCACCAUUCAAUAGGCGGGCUCAUCCCAUCCGCGGUCCAAUCGAGCAACGGAGACAUCCACAGAGGCACGAUGAAUAUGAUGGCCACAGAUCAAACUUUGAUGGCCACCGCCCCAUAGGCGGGCUCACACCAUCUAUGGUUGAAUCGCCGGGUGGAGCGAUCUAGAGAGAUCUCGGAGAGCUUACCUCCAUAAGUACGGGGAUAGGGCACUCAUCAUGAAGAGAGACGUGGAGAAGGGUGGAGAAGCUUACCUUGAUAGGCCUCGGAGAGCUUACCUUGAUAAGUAGGGGGAUAGGGCACUCAUGAGCGAGAGAGAGGUAGAGAAAGGCAUAGCAGCGGGCAAGAGGGGAGAGAGAGAGGGCAUGGAGAGACGCCUCGAAAGAGGCUUACAUGGUGGGCAAAAGAAGAUAAGGAGGGCGUAGAGAGACGCCUCGAAAGAGGCGUACAAGGCGAGCAAGAGGAGAGAGGGAGGGCGUGGAGAAAGGCCUCGGAAGAGGCGUAUAGGGAUGAUAGGGAGAAAGUAAGGCAGCAUAGGGAGGAAAGAGAGAUAAGGAGAGAGAGAAGAAGGAGAUAGAGAGAAGAGACAAAAAAUAUGUUAUGAAAAGAGAGAGAUAGAGAGAACGGGAAGAAACAGAUAGGAAGAAGAGUCAAAGAUGGUUAUAAACGUGGAGCUAUAAAAAUCUGCCACGUGUACCGUCACAACCAUCAAAUUAUGUAUUUGUAUGGAUAAUAGUAAGAAAAGAAUAGAUGUAGUCCUAGACAGAGUGGUAGUCUUUAAGAGACAUUUUGAUUUCUUAAAAAAAUGUGAAGAUUUUUUUAAGAAAAAUUUUCUAUGAAUAUGUAUUUUUUUUUUGUCUGUUCGGUUCUAAGAAAAAUUAGUAUUUUUUAAAAGUUAUUUUAUAAAUAUUAUAAAAACUAAUAUUUUUGUUUUCUGAAUUUCUUUUAAGAAACGAAAGCAUCAAAUUUUUUUAAAAUUUAAAAAUAAUUUUUUGAAAAUACUAAUUUUUUGGAACAAAACAAAAAGGUAAAAAUACAGAAAAAAAAUUUAUUCUUCUUUUCCAAAUAAGUAAGCAAUUAGCCCAUAAACCUUUUACCAAAAUUCUAAUUAAGUUACCGGUCGUUCCUAGUAUGAGUGGCAAAAGGGUUAUGGUUGAUAUCAAAAUUUUCAAAUUCGAAUCUAGUUGAUUUAUUUUCUCUAUCUAAAUUUAUUUUGUUUAAAAAAAAAUAAAAGGGAUAACAUCUACUACCUUUUUUUCUCUGAUAAAAAAAAAAAAAAAUCCAACCAAGUUCCUAACCUUAGACCCCCAAAACUAGUGGACUUACUAAACCCUAGUGUCACGGUGCGAGAAGGCGGGAAGGAGCCGGUCCACGACGAGGGGCUCGUCGACCUCGUGCGCGCGCGCUCUCUCUCUCUCUCUUCCCCCCUCUCUAGGGUUUCAAAAUUUGACCUGCAAAGAAGUAAGUAAUCUUUUCCUUCUCCGUGCUGCUCGAUGGACGCCGGCGGCUUCUCGGGUGCGUCGGCGGAUUCCGCUGCCGUCGAGAUUAAUCGGCUGAGGGCGGAGAAGGAGGCGCUGGAAGGCCGAAUCCGCGCGCUCGAGGCGCAGCUCGAGAACGCGCCGCCGGCCGGGGAGGAGACUCCCGCGAACGGGGUUUCCGGCUGCCGGCUGAGCCCCGAGAUGAUUUUCAGAUACAGCCGCCAUCUCCUGCUUCCGGAUUUCGGCGUCGGAGGUUCGCUCGUUGCCGAUUUCUUCUUCUUCUUCUUCUUCUUCUUCUUCGUUCGCAUGUCGUUGUUUGUGCCUAGACCCCGUUUGGGAUUGCGGGGAGAUUGCUUUAUGUGUGCGGUGAAAACUAUGACGAGAUGACGGUACGGAUAUUGGAGUGAGCCGGUUAAAAUAUAUUUUACGUCUAUAUGUUCUUUUUGCCCUAGUUUGUUGUGCACAAAUAACAAAUACAGAGCCGGAUGAAACGCAAUUAUGUAGCUUUAUACACGUAAAUCUUGGACAGAAAUGGUUCUGUGUAUCAAGAACCCUAAAGCUGAAUAAUUCUUUUGGAGGUUAUCAUUGAUUUUAUGAGGCUAGCAUGAAUAUCUAAUUCGAAACCAAAAAUACACUUCUCUGUGGGUUUUAGGCCCUGUUUGGCCCCGUGAGCAGUUGGCAAAGAGAAAAAUUGGAGCUCUUGAUGCAGCGGGAAGCAGAAAUGAGAUCUUGAGCAUCAAAAGCAGAAGCUCAACAUCGAGCUUGUGAUUUUGCUGCAGAGAGAAGUUAUUAUGGCACUAGUCAGGCAGCACUAUACCUUACGGCAGGCCAAAGAAGCCCUUAAUCGAAACUUCAUAUAAUAAUUCGGUCUCGAGAUUAAAAUGCAAGAAAACAUUCUUGUCUGAUUGGCCUUCUCUCUAUCAAUUAAACUUUGAAAACUUUUUCUUUUAUUGGUGUAUGAAUCAUUUCAGUGUACCUUACUUGCUUAACUUCCUGAACUUCCGCCACGGCUGCAUCUUUCUACUUUAGUAAUUCAUUUGGCCUGAUUGUAAAUUUUAAUCCAAUUGAUCCACAAUUAUAUAUUUUUAACAUUACCGACAUUUGGAAUCCUAUCUUUUUUACGUUCUAGUAGCUGGACUAGCUUUCAAUUUGAAAUGUAGAUACAAAAUUUGAACUUGUUGAUGAACUAGUGUGAAAAACCACUAUCUGGACAUUCGCAACUCUCCAUAUGUUUUAAGGAAAGGAGAAGCUGGAAAUCUCUUGGUUGUUAGUAUAAUAACAAGUUAUUUAAUGUUGAUGGGGGCUGAUAUUCAACAUACAUGCUAUUUUGGUUUGAGAACUCUUUAGGCAGUUUCAAAGCCUGAAGAGCACAAAACCUGUUUAUAUUGGGUAUUCUUUGCCUUGCUGAUCUACGGAGAAUGUAUGUUUCUCCUCUUUGAUAUUAAUAUCGUUAUUUUCAAUGUUAGAUAAGGUUUUACUUGUUUAAUUGCUUUCUCUUUGUCACAAGAAAUUCAGUCUGCAUCUCACUGUUGCAUUUGAAUUGGUCAAAAUAAUUUCGCUACCAGUACUUUAACGUAUGAAGUUUCUUUUCUUUUUCUAGGACUUCUUUUUCUGGUUCAUUGUAUAAAAAGAGACUGGAUCAAUUUAAGAGUGAUGUAAAUUGUUACUUAACGUCAGAAAAUUUACUUUUUCUUGUUCCUACUAUCAGGGCAGCGAAUGCUCUCACAGUCUUCCAUCUUGGUGGUUGGAGCUGGAGGACUUGGGUCACCAGUAGUGUUGUAUCUUGCUGCUUGCGGUGUUGGUAUUGUUUCUCUCAUAACGAAAAACCAUCUUGUUUUGCUUAUUUGUAUGAAUUAAUUAAUUAGUUUCUCUGUGUUCCCACAAGUUCUCACUUGUAACUCAUAGUUGAAAACAACUCUAUCUUAUAGAUCGUACUUUAUUUAGCAGUAUUACUUUUUCUAUUCUAUUAAACCUGUAUUCAAUGCCUCAAUUUUAAUUUUGGGCAUCUUUGUUACAGGUUGCUUAGGCAUUGUUGAUAGUGAUGUUGUUGAGCUUAAUAAUUUACAUAGACAGGUAUUUUUACUGCCUGCAACUUUAUUUUUCCAUCUUUUCUUCUCUCUACUCUCGAAAUAAGUACCAAUCGUUAAUUUAUUGAUUAUUGGUUCGUCUAACCUCAUAUUUAUAACCUAACUUAGUAAGAUUUGAUAAUCUUCCUUAUACCAUAUAUCGUCAUUAUACCUGGAACAAGUAUGAAGGUGUUAAAAUGAGAAAAUUAUGCUAUGUUAUUUUGCCUGGAGAAAUACACAAUAUUUGCCCGUUUUAUAUUUGUGUUUAUACACUUACAUUGUUCCUAUCUAUCAUGGCUUGAUUUUGGUUCUUUAUUUCUAUUAGAUUAUAAUUGUUUUGUUAAACGGGUGAUUUGGUUAACUUGCCCAAAAAUAUUGAUAAAUAAAAGAUGAGUUACUGUGAAUAUUGAUAAAUAUAAGUUCUCUUCUAUUACAUUCAUGUGAAUUUUGAAAUGUAUUAACUCCACUAAAAGUAAAAAAAAAGUUGUGACUGUUUUGCCUCUUUACCUUCUAUUGAGAAAUGUUUCUGAAUAUGUCAGAUAAGAUGAAUGUUUCCACCAGAACUAUCAUAAGAAUAGUAAGUCUUACAUAUUGUACAAAUAUCUCUCAGACCAUACUCUUUAAUUUCUUUGAUUUUGAACUACUUCCACACUUCGCUUGCUCUUUGUUUGGAUGUCUUUUUAGAAAUUAUGUCCAAAAUAUUCUGCAGAGGUUGCAAACUCUCACAAGAAAUACUAAAAAAUAAUCAAAUAAAAAAUAUUUGAGAAAAUUGUAAAACUAAAAAUUAAUAGAUUGAAUGUUGUCUUAAGAUUGGGAUCUUAUGCAGAGAGCUAGUGGAGAGAUUUUGUAGGGGGAGUUUUUGGAAAAGUUUAAAUGAGAGAAUAAAAAUUUGAAAUUAGAGAUUUGAGAGCAGAGAGAGAAUAGUAAUUAGAGAAGAAAGAGUAUUUUUUUUUUUUUUUCUGUUUUGAUGAAAUUGGAGGUUUGUAGGAGUAUUUAUAGGUGAAAAAAAUUUUAAUUUUUUUGUAACAAUUUAUUAGAGAGGGCAUUUUGGUUCACAUGGACCAAAAGAGUCGUCUCCAACAGGUCUAUGCCUGUUGGACCCUUUCCCCAAGGGUCUGCUGUGGGCACACCCUUGGGGAAAGAUCUUUUAGGCUUGGCUCCUAAAAGAUGAGUUGGCCUAUGCCUGGGCCUAGGGACGACCCUAGGCCUGGCCUAAAAUGCAUGGCCCUUCGGGCUUGGUUCAAGAGCCAAGCCUGAAGGGCCAUGCCUAGUGCGGUUAGUGCUUGGGCCGUGCUGAGGUGACGGGCCUGAGGAAGGUGGCCCAGAAUGACCUAGAGUUUCAGGCCUAGCCUAGCCGGGGUGACACGGGUAGUGUAGUAUUCAUGCUAUGCCUGGGUACCGCCCAAUGUCAUGUUGAGCCGCGUAGCUUGUGGGCAGCCUAGCCUGUUUUACAUUCCUAAAAACAACAUAUGCCAACCUUGCUAUGAAAUGGUAGUAUUUCAACAUUUAUCUAAAAAUUGCCAAGUAUUUCUAGAACUUUCAAGCUCUCUGUUCGAGUAAAAAAAAAGAUAUCUAUAUAAGAGUAAAAGAGAAGAAUAAUUAGAAUAGGAAUCAUAGCUUAUUUGGAUUCUUCAAAAAAAGAGAAGGAAAAGAAUUAAAAAAAAUUUCUAUUGUUUCCAAAAAAAAAAGAAAAGAAGAAAAAAAAAAGAGAAAGGAAAGAAUAAAAAAGGAGAGAAGGGUGGACUCACCCCUUUGGUCCGUACCGAGGAGGUGAGCCCACAUCCUCUUUCCAAAAAAAGAAGAAAGAAAAGAAUAAAAAAAAGAGAGAAAAGGAAAGGAAACAAAAAAAAGGUAAGAAAAGAAAACAAAUCUCUUUUUUUAUUUCAAAAAAAAAAAGAAGAGAAGAUAUACAAAUAGUAUUAAAUGUUUAAGUUCCUUAUAAGAUGUAAGGGAUAAAAAAUUUCUUUUUGAGGGAUUUAUUUUGAAUUUUUUCUAAAGAUAAUAAAUGAUUCUUGGAUCCCUAUAAAUUGGAUCCAAGGUGUAAGUAACAAUUUUUUUUUUUUGGUUUUGGCUAGAAAAAAAAAGGGCUUGAGAGAAACAAUGAAGAGAGAGAAGAAGGACAAAAAAAGAGGUAAAGAAAUUUUUUUUUUUUUUAUUUUCUCCCUACGUGUAAAGGGGGUCUUUAUCCCUGCCCCUCUCAUUCCACGUGCUGGCAGCAACAAAGGGAGGGGGGGUGUGCUCAGCACACCCCUCCCCCAAUCCGUACCCAAAAAAAAAGAAAAAGAGAGAGGCUUUGACUCUAAUGACGGCGCGACAACGACGACUUAGACAACGGCGCGACAAUGACGACUUCGACGACGCGCGAAGAGGCCAUAUGGCCUCUUUUCUUUUUUUUUAUUUUAUUUUCUACGAUGGUGAUGGGUUAGUGUAUACGUGCAAAAGGUGUAAUCGCGAUUUUUAUGUUGGUUUGAUCAACACGACCGUCUUCGUGAUAGGUUGAUCCGAUCAAAUUCGGCAUUGAAUCGUUAUUACAUUAUGCGUGCAUAUUUAUCAAGCCCGUCUCCCUCAACAUCGCCUCUGCUAUAAUGACGUCAAAAGAACAAUAUGUGUGCACAAGCGAUGGUGGCGAUCCUUGUGUCGGAUUGAUCGAGCGGCCGUCUUCGUGAUAGGCUCGACACUUUCAAUCUCGACAUUGGAUCGUUACCCUCAUUGGACCUAUAUUGAGCGGCCGUCUUCGCGAUAGGCUCGAUACGGUUGAACUCCGAUUCAAACUACAAUGAUGAUAAUAAUACUAAAAUAAUAAUAACACAAUAAAAUUUUCCUCGGGUCGCCGUCUUCGUGAUAGGUUUGACCCGAGUUCGGUUUAUUUAAACCGGGUCGCCGUCUUCGUGAUAGGCUUGACCCGAGUUCGGUUCAAUUAAACCGGGUUGCCGUCUUCGUGAUAGGCUUGACCCGAGCUCGACUAAUUAAAUCGGGUUGCCGUCUUUGUGAUAGGCUUGACCCGAGUUCGACUAAUUAAACCGGAUCGCAGUCUUCGUGAUAGCUUGAUCCGAGUUCGGUUCAUUUAAACCGGGUCGCCAUCUUCAUGAUAGGCUUGACCCGAGUUCGGUUCAUUUAAAUCGGGUCGCCGCCUUCGUGAUAGGCUUGACCUGAGUUCGGUUCAUUUAAACCGGGUCGCCGUCUUCGUGAUAGGCUUGACCCGAGUUCGACUAAUUAAAUCGGAUCGCUGUCUUCGUGAUAGGCUUGACCCGAGUUCGACUAAUUAAAUAGGGUCGCCGUCUUCGUGAUAGGCUUGACUCGAGCGAGCCAAACCAUAAUGAUAAAUCAAACCGGACGAUAAGCCGAUCCAGUCUAAUCAAAGGGUUUAAUUUAAAUCGAAUCUCAGACCGAUCAAUCUAAAUUGAACCAUUAAAGAUAUUAACCGAACCAAACCGAACUACAAGCUGGUUUGACUUGAACCGAAUCAUGAAGGAUUCGAACUAAAGUGGAUCCGAUUCGAACUGAACCGAAUCACGAAGGAUUCGAUUUGAAUUGAAGUGGAUCCGAUCCGAACUGAACCGAAUCGGAUCCCGUCUGAACCAAAUCACGAACGAUUCGAACCGAAAUGGAUCCGAUCCGAACCGAACUGAACCGAACCGGAUCCCGUCCGAACUGAACUAUAAAGGGUUCGACUUGAACCGAAGUGGAUCCGAUCCAAAACAAACCAAAGUGGGUCCGAUCCGAUCUGAACCAUAAAGGACUCGAUUUGAACCAAAAUGAAUCCGAUCUGAAUCGAACUGAACCAUAAAGGAUUCAAUUUGAACCAAAGUGGAUCCAAUCUAAACCAAACCACACAGGAUUUGAUUUGAACCAAAGUGGAUCCGAUCUGACCUGAACUACAUGAAGAUUGAGCUAAACCAAACCAAACCAUAAGUCGGCUCGACUUAAAUCAAAAUAUAAAGUAUUCAAGCUGAAUUACAAACUGGUUCAACUCAAACCCAAACCCAAAGACUGCGUUUGGUUCGGGUAUAAGUAAGAACUGCUUGUUCUAGGGAUAGGUACAAGUUCAAAUAUAAGCAGGAACUAGACCAAUUUUGCGUUUGGAUGAAAAUUGGGUUGUUCUUAGGAAUAAGAUAAAUAGUGUUUGGAUGGUUAGAAUGGAACAAGAGCAAUAAGAGUUAUAAUUUGAAAUUAAAAUUAUAUUUUGUAAUUAAUUAACAUCAAAAUAUUACUUAAAAAUAAAUAAUAAAUUAAUUAUUAAUAAUUAAUUAUAAAAUAAUAAUUAUUAAUAAUAAUUAAUUAUAAAAAAUAAAUUAAUAAUAUCGAUUAUCUAAUUAAUAAUAAUAAUAAUAAUUAAUAAUAAUUAAUAAAUAAUAAUAAUUAAUAAUUAUUAUUUAUUAAUUAUAAAUAAUAAAUUAAUAAUAAUAUCGAUUAUAUAAUUAUUAAUAAUAAUUAUUAUUAAUAUUUAUUAAUAAAUAAUAAUAAUUAUUAUUAAUAAAUUAUAAAUAAUAAAUUAAUAAUAAUAUCGAUUAUCUAAUUAUUAAGAAUAAUAAUAAUUAUUAAUUAAUUAUAAAUAAUAAAUAAAUAAAUUAUUAAUUAUUAAAGCAAUAAAUAAUGAUUUAAAUAUAUUAAUUAGAUUAAUUAAUAAUUCACUGCCAUUAAAAUUAAAUUUGGAUUUUAAUUAACCUUUUUCUUAUCAAGAAACAAGCUUAUUCCAGGAAAAGGGUGGAACAGCAGUUCCAGCCUUAUACCAGCUUGUUCUAGAAACUCGGGAAUUACUGUUCUCGGGUACCAAACAUACCGUUUGGGAAUAAAAGGGGGAACAAGGGCUUAUUCCCCUUGUUGUUCCCGAACCAAACGCUACCAAAAGGUUUUAAGUUGAGUCGGAAUGUAAGAGCUCAAUUUAAAUCAAACUCAAACAGAUCUUGAACCAAACCAUAUGGGUUCGAUCCAAACCGCAUUGAAUUAUAAGAAGGUCAAAGUUGAGCCAAGAUAUAAGGGCUCAACCCAACCCAAAAUUAAAGGGGGCUUGAACCAAGUCACAGAGGUUCGACUUAAACCAAGUCUCGACGGGCUCCGAACCAAAGCAUAAUGGUUCAACCCAAACCAAAUUCAAAGUGACCAAACAAACGUAAGGUCGUCCAACUCAAAUCAAACACGAAGGUUUUAAGUCAAUUCAACUUGAACCCAAUCGUGAUGAUUCGAGUUAAGUAAACCAGCUCCAUUCCAACCGAAGCAAAUUGGCGGUUCAAACUGAGCUAAAUUCAACUCAAUUGGCUAAGUCAACUUAAUCGACUCAUAAUCCGGAAACAAAUGUCCCUCAAGUCGUUAAACUGAACAAAUGACCCUCAAGUCGUUAAACUGAACAAGCAAAUCAAACUCAAUAUGACCAUAAAGUCGUUAAACUGACCAAUUAAAUCAAACUCAAUUUGACCACCAAGGCGUUAAAUUGGGUAAUCAAAUUAAACUCGAUUUGACCGUCAAGUCAUUAAACUGAGCAAAUUAAAAUGAAAUUCAAUCUCAAACCGACCGCCAUGUCAUCGACCGCCAAGUCGCUAAACUAAGUAUUCUAAUCUUAUAAAAUUCAUGUACAGUUGGGGUAUGCCCCUGCUUAAGCCAUGUACACGGCAAAUCGUAUUAAUAAAAUUUUAUCUGCUUGUUUUAUGUCUUUUACUAUCAGUAUUUAUAUUUGGUCUCUUAAUCGAGGGUUCCGUAACACCGAAAGUGUGGGGUAACAGCAGAUUCUUGAGUAUGUUGGAAGUCAUGAACCUAUAAUCUUAAUUUUAAAAUAAAACAUAAAUAGAUUUAACCUCUACCAUGAAUGACCACUCGCCUUAGAAAUACCUACGGCGGGGCCGGUUCGUUCGCGGCAGACGCUCUCCCAGUCAAACAUAAGACAAAUCAUAUUAGUCAUAUUAGCUCAGACCUGGGUGAAUCAAUUACAUAAUGUUUUCUUGCAAUGUAGAAGCUGAGAACAUCAGCUCUUUUGAGAUUCUUUCAGAUUCAUGGACUUUUUUGUGCCUUUGAUCAAGAUUGGGGAAUUGCUUAUAGUUCAUGGAUGUGUUGUGGUGAGGUAGGAUUUGGCAAUGAGUCUGGUUGGGUUAAGUUGAGGUGGCAUAGUAGGGUACAUAGGUUUGAUCCAAACUUGACGCCAUUUCUCUAGGAGACCAGCUUAGCUAGCGCUUAUUCAGGUUAUAAGUGCUACUUUGGUGAGGAUUUGCCUUAAAAAGCAACAAAAAUUUGGAGGAUAGAGCGUGAGAGAGAGAGAGAGAGAGAGAGAGAGAGAGAGAGUAGACCCUUUUCUUCUUUCAAUGUGCAACAAAGCAAACGAGGAUUCAAGGUUUAUUACUUUCCUUUUCUCCUUUCAAUGAACAACAAAGCUGACAAGGGUUUAAUAAUUGGCACUUUCCUAUGUAUGUGGGAGGGAGGAAGGGAAUGCACAACGAAGCAAACAAGGUUUCAAAUAUUAGUACUUUCCUAUGCAUAUAGGAGGGAGGGUGCAAGUAUAACAGAGCAGACGAGGGUUCAAGGAUUAGCACUUUCCUAUGUAUAGAGGAGAGAGAAUGGGCAUCAUUUCUUUUCUUUUCUUGGCGUCAUUCCUUUUCUUUUCUUGAUACAUGGUAAACUAGGAUAAAGUGGCAGCCUUAACAAAUAAUAUAGGGGCGAGAGAGUGGGAAGGGACGGCAGCCCCUCUUUGUUUCGGAUGCAUGCCAAAGAAAUGGUCCAAAUAAUAAUCUUUCAGUUGAGAAGAAAAAUCUAUUCUUUUUAAUGUAUCGACUAUUGAAUGCCCUUCGGUUAGGGCUGGCAAAUGAGCGAGCCGGCUCGUGUUCGACUCGCGUUCGACUCGAUAUUUGGCUCGCUCGAGCUCGACUCGAAAUUAAAUGACGAGCUUGAACAAAAAAAAAAGCUCGAAAUUCAUUUCAAGCCGAGCUUGAGUAUUACUCAGCUCGUUCGAAUUAGGCUUGAAAAGCUCGAAAAGCUCGAGUAUAUAUAUAUAUAUAUAUAUAUAUAUAUAUUACUAUGCUAUCGAAAGUAUAGAGGAUCUGGCGUUUUCGAUUUUUUGAUUCUUAGAUCAACUCCUUUAAUCAUUUCUUAUUUUUGGAUUAAUACUAUUAUUACCUUGUAAAACCACUUAAUUCUAGGGGUAUUAUUUAAUCCUAGGGGGGAUCGCAAUCAUUCCAACCAUACAAUUCUUAAUCAAAGGUCAAAAAUUCGAAAAUAUCAAAUUCUUUAUAUUUUCAAUAGCAUAGUAGUUCCACAUUAUAUAUAUAUAUAUAUAUAUAUAUAUAUAUAUAAAUUUAUAAUAAUAUUUUAAUUAUAUAUAGGCUGAGUGAAUAAUCUGAGUUUAGUUAAAAUUGGGCUAAUGUUGUUGGCCCAUAAAAAUAUUCCUAAUAGAACAAUAAAAGAGCGAAAUUUCACUAAAUUUAUACAUUUUUAAUUUCUUUUCUUUCUUUUAUAGAGCUUAAAUUCUCAAUAUGUUUCUCUCUUUCUCUUUUCUGUCUCUCACCCUAAGUGGCCAAGCCUGAAGCCCUCUAAGUUACCAAGUAACAGCAUAUACCCGCCGUUGCCUACCUUGCUAUUAAUUGUAUACUUGAGAAAUAUACAGAAUAUUUUUAAAGUAAAAAAUUAUUAUUCAUAUAAAAUUUUAAUUUUAGUUAUAUAUGAUUGGAUAGUUUAAUCCAAUAUUUAUCUAUAUAAUUUAUUUAUUUUUGACUGUAUAAAUGAAAAUAAAUAAUAUGGAGAUUGAAGGCGGAAGAAAAGACAUGUGAGGCUGAAAAGAUUAGAUAUUCAACUCAUAAAUUAUUUUUUUUCAUAUUAUAAUACUAUAUUUUGUAUAAUUAUUUUGUACUUUGAACUAUUAGACAUAUUUUUGUAUCAAAUUAUAGAUAAUGUUCUAUACAAAUUAAACUAUUGAUCGUAUGAUGUUGAGAAUUUCAAGCGGCUCGUUUAGGGCUCGAGCUCGCUCGACUCGAAAUUAGGCUCGCUCAAGCUCGGCUCGAAUUAAUUUCAAUCCAAACUUGAGCUUAAAUUUAGGCUCGAAAUUAAUUUCAAGCCGAAAUUGAGCCGAGGCAAGCUCGCUCGAGCUCGGCUCGUUUCCACCCCUGCCUUCGGUUUACCUAAAUAUAUCUGUAUGAAUGUUCUGAGAAGAACUAGUUGCCAUGACCUAUCCAAAAAAUAGUCUACCUGAGUUCAACCUUACCUGCCAACCUGUUAAAUGUUCUUGGCUUGUACUCGACACCUUUAACGAACAAAAGUGUUAAAAAUACCUUCUUGGGGUGGAGAUUGGCACAUCUAUGAUAGGUGAUUAUUUUGUAAAUCUUGAAACAUUGGUUGUAAAUCUUAAAACAUUGGUUCUGAUCUCCCGAAUAUUGUAAUUUGAUUCGAUAAUAGUUUCUACUCAAAUCUUUUAGAAAUGUGCCUUCUAUGUUAGAUAACUUGCUUUAGACUCAUGUAGCUUCUCUUAGUGCCCUGUUUUUGUGCUCAUAUGAAUACUUGUAUGAAUACACUCUUUUGCAGUUUUUGAUUGUCUAAGCAUGUAAGUCACAGUUGCUGAUUGCCAGUAAUCAUGCCUAUAAAUAUAAAAGAUUGCUGUACCAUGCGAUUUCAACCUUAUAUCUACCCAUUAGCUGUGACUUUUAGCCCCUACAGCUUUAUUUGUUGGCAUUGCUGCCAGCUGGACUUUUUGCAGAAUAAAAAAAAGAUAUUAGCAGGAAAGAAUUGUCAACACCCCAUUUUGCCUAUAAAAUGUUGUCUCGCAGUUGCUGCUCCUGUCAACCAUUAUGCCUAAGGCAGCGGCUGUUAUUUGCGAACUCCAAAUUUGUACUACUUUUAUGGCAUAAAAUGUUAAUUUUUGUUAACUAGUAUAGGGCCUGCACUGUGCGGCGGUAGGUGGUAUUUUAGACAAUUAGUAUAUUCAGUUAUUAAAAUUUUAAGAUUGAAAAAAUUAUAACUAAAGAAAUACAAAAGAGGAAAAAAAAACUAAAGUAGUCUUUUGUACAUUAUAAAAAAUAACUUUUUUAUUAAUAUUUUCUUAACUUUCAGCAUUUGUAAAAUUAAAUUAUACUAAUAAUUUUAUUUAAAAUUCAAUCAAAUUUUUUACUUUUGAUAGUUAUUUUGUAAAUAAAUUUUUUAACUGAAAAGUUGAAGUUGGAGGACUUAUUUUAAGUUGAAGAAUAGGUGAGGGUAUCUUUGUGUUAAGUAUAAAAAUAUAUAAACACCGUUCUCUAACAGCCUAAGCUUUUAGAUUAGAACGGUUGUUUUACAUAGUAUCAGAGUAGGUGGUGGUGAGUUCGAGUCACGCUAGGCUCUAGCAUUAUUAAUUUCCUCCCAUCCAUUUAAUUUAAGUUCACAUCGUAGGCCUUCUCGAGCCCAGACGUGAGGGGGAAUGUUAAAUAUAAAUAUAUAAACACCGUUUUCUAACAGCUUAAGCUUUUAGAGUACAAUGGUUGUUUUCUCACUUUGCCUUGUUAAAAUUGAUUGGAGAAAGAGAAACUAUUACAUGCACCUAGUGUAUAAUAAUACUCUAUACACCGCAACUUGUAUUAGAUGAUUAAUGCUCUAAUAUUAAAAUUUAAUUAAAUAUGUAUCAUCUACAAAGUCUAAUAAUUUAAAUUAUAUUUGAUGAAUUAAUUUUAAAAUCUCUAUUAAAGAGUUUUAGGCAUGUAGUGUAUGUACAAACAUACACUUGGUGUAGAGAAUGUUUAAUAAGAUGCACUCAUAAUUCCGAGAGAUUAGAGAAAUCUUUGCUUACACCUGGUGCGUACGAAUGCUCCAUACACCACACAGAAUAUUAGAUGAUUGAUAGAAUAUUUGAUAAUUAAUAUUGUAAAAUAAAAUAUGAUAUAAUAUAUAUAAUAUAAAAUAUCUAAAUAAUUUGUUGUACUACAGAAAUUUAUCUUUGAUGCACAUUUUAGAGUCGAUUUACGGUGAAAUGGGUGCGUCCAAAAUUUUUGUUGGAUAUGUGGCAAACUCCCAUUGGUUUAUGCCUUAAUUGGCAAUGUGGCUCUCUCACAAAGCAUUUUCUUGACGUGACCGAACUGUCAAAUUAUAUAUUGUGUAGAUUCCUGCUACUAUUUACCUUAAUAAUUACUCAUUGUAGUGGAGUUAACUAAUUAGGCUAUUGUUUGCAUAAAUUAUUUGACAAGACAUGCCUUUAUUCCAUUUAUAUAUAUCUAAACCGAUCUGUUCAUGUAAUUUAUUAAUAUCUGUUAAAAAUGUCUGGUUUCAGCAAUUAAGUUUUGUAUGUCCUCGUUCUUAGCCCUAGUAAUGUGUCAUUCUUUUAUAUUUUAUCAUUCUAUUUUAGGACUCUACUUUCUCGAUAUAUUGUAUAGUGUGCACAGAGCAUUUAUGAAAAGAACCCCCUUUAUAACAUAAAAAAUGCUGGAAUGAGGUCUCAUCAAACCAUUACAGAGACCAAAAGCAUGAAAAGUUUGUUACUCAAAUUUUCAUGAUACACAGCUAAACAUGAAAAUUUCUUUGUUUGUUUUGUUAAAUCGUUUGAUAUAUCUCCUCCAAGUCCAAUUUUAUACUUUAGGUUUUCUUUAAAUGUUGAUUCAGAUCAUCCAUACAGAAGCAUAUGUUGGGCAAUCAAAAGUUAAAUCAGCUGCUGCUUCUUGUCGUGCGUAAGUAAUUGUGCGUUUUUUGCAUUAUUAUAUAACUUCCAUUAUUGUAAAAGGCUACUGUGACUUGUGUAUGUCAUAUGCUAUAAUGAUUCAAUUUUUAAUGGCCAUUUUCACAAUUUCCUUUAUUUUAUGUUACCUCAGGAUCAAUUCCUCUGUUAAGGUGGUAGAACACCAAGAAGCUUUGCAGGCAAAGAAUGCUUUGGAUAUUGUUGAAAAGUAUCCUCAAGUGAGAAACACAUUAGAAUUUAAACAAACACUUCUAUUUGAUAUGAUCAUGCUCUUUCCCAUGCAAAUACAUUUUUCUUCUUUUUCCAAGACUGAAAUGAUCAAAGAUAUGAUAUAGUGGUUGAUGCAACCGACAAUCUUCCUAGCCGAUAUAUGAUCAGCGACUGCUGUGUCUUGCUCAAUAAGGUAAAACAUAUUACCUGUUUCUUUUGUUGGUGGAUUGGUAUCAUCAGAACAUAUAUUAUGUGUUGAAGCUUCUAGUAGUUUGUUUUUGUGCUUUCAAUUUAAUUGAAGCAGUAUAUUAGUGCAUAAAAUCCACAAAUUGUUAUUUAUGUCGCAGUUUCAGUUGUAUAUUUUUAUCGUUUUUCCUGUGAAUUUUAAGUUGCAGUGAAGAGAAUUUUUUUUCGUUCUUGGCGAUUACAAACUGAUAAUCCUGACAAUACACAUAUUUUACAUUCUUGGAGGGUCUGAUUUGUCCAAUACAUAUUUUUAUGCAAUGUAUGUACUGUAUGCGUUGAAAUAUGAAAAUAAAUAUUCAAACAACUUAUUUUGCUAUGCUUAACUGUACCAAAGCGUACAAACAUGUAUGUAUACAUACAUAUAUAUUAUAUAAAGACAUACACAGUUAUACACAUUCGAAUAAUUGAUGCAUGAUGGUCAGAUAAUCCUUUAGUGUAUUGCUUACCCUCGUUGACACAAUAGUGUGCUAUCUAUAGAUGAUUUUAACAUUUUAAUUUCAUUAUCUAUAGUAUUCUUCCUAUUUUCUUGACUGAGCUGUCUUAUAGAGGGAAGCAGAUAUCAGUAAGAUAUCAGUAUGUCCUGAUCUUGCAUUUUACGUGCUUGACUUAGAUAGUCAUUAAAUUGCAGAAUCCAAUGCCAAAAAAAAAUGUUUCAUUGUUAUCAUUUGAGGAAAUUAUUUGUCCUUUGAAGCUUUAGUGUGAGAAGCAACAAAUUAUUUAUUCUGGGCGUUUUACUGCUAUCAUCUGUGCUACGUACUUUUUGGUGGCCUUUUCCAUUGUGUUAGUUCAUGCAAACCUAUGAUCGACAUCUGGAUCAGUGGUCCAAAUAAAUAAAAGCCUGGAAACAUAUCAUCUCUUUUGGAGUUUCUAGUUAGAGAUGUCGAAUAAAUAACGCACACGGUCAAGUAGUUGGAUUUCUUAUGAUUCCCGAGUUAUUCUUUUACCAAACAAAGAGUAAAGUACAGUGCAUCUGUGUUUGCUUGUGUGAAAAUUGGAAUUGCCCUUGGACUGAUACUUCUACAUGAUUUCAGUGUGGAAUAUUUAUUGCUAUAUUAAUCCUAUUGAUUUAGCUUUUAGCUACAAUAAAAAUAAUUUUAUGCUUGACUGGCAAAUUCCUUCUUUCAGCCUCUUAUAUCUGGUGCAGCGUUAGGCUUGGAAGGGCAGGUAAAGUUUUCCUUAUUUGAAAUAAAGAUCAUGGAAGACUUUAACAUCUGUUGCCUUCGGUAUGUUCUUAUGCAACUUUUCAUGCAGCUUACUGUUUAUAAUCACAAUGGAAGUCCUUGUUACCGGUGUCUUUUUCCAACUCCACCACCGACGGCAGCGUGUCAAAGAUGUUCUGACAGCGGUGUUCUUGGGGUGGGUGAGUUGCUCAUCUUUUAUCUAUUGCAUGCUAUCGAAUUAUAAUCCAACUUAGCAACUUGGACUCUGGAGUUCUAGCUUGAUCCUCUUUCUCUCUUAAUGUAUUCUUCUAAUUUUUUCGGUUCAUUCUUUCUUUGCUUUGCAUUAUCCUUUAGUCCUUUUCACAGAAAUAGAUGGUGCACUAAUUUGCUUUCUUAAUGAUCAGUUCCUGGUGUGAUUGGUUGUCUACAAGCUCUUGAGGCUAUAAAAGUUGCUGCUUCUGUUGGUGAACCCCUCUGUGGGAGGAUGCUUCUCUUUGAUGCAUUGUCUUCUCGUAUUCGGACAGUAUGUUAGUUCAUACAGUUGUUAAAUUCAUCUGAUGGUUGAAAAUUUCAGUUUAAUUACUGCUAUUAUCAAAUACUUAGCUUCUUUAAUUCAUCAUUGUUUCGAAUGCUCUAGGCAAAUUUACAUACAUAUAUUACUGACAUGGAUAAUGAGAUUGAUUUGUCCUAAAAUGAGCUAGGCUUGUUUGUCUCUUUUUUUUUUGAUUCACCUCCUUAGUACAUCAAACCAGAGAAUAUGAAGAGGGGCUUUAAAUUUGGUCUUAGUAGAUACCGUCCAACAAUGUGCGAAGGUGAGAGGUAACCUAACUACCUAUCUGUCUAAACCUGCAAGUAUACUUAAAGCACGGGAGCUGAUAUUCAAUAUUCACAAAUCUAAGUUUGAUAGGGGCAGAGCUAUUUUCCGAUUAUGCACUUCAAGUGGUAACAAAAGUGGCUGUCAUUGAUUGUUUAAGGGGCAGACCACUUGAUAUUGCAUGGAUCUGUUCUGCCUCUAUCAAAAUAGGAGCUGUGAACACCAUCUCCCUUAAAGCAUGGAUUAAAUGUGAUUUUGCAUCUUUUUGUUUGAGGAUUCUUAUGUGGUGCAGAUUAUGUGAUAUUUCCUAUGUCAAGGCAAAGAAAGCACAUUUAUUUCUUCUUCUUUCUUCUUCCCCCCGCCCCUCUUCGGAGCCAUAUGUAUUGAACCCAGAGCCUAGGACUUGAGACCCAAAUUUACUCCCAUAUGGAGGCUCGAACCUCCAGCCUCAGAAUAGGCAAGUAGGCAUCUUGCCACUAGAAAAUGAUCAUGAAUGUUUUCUACCGAACAAAGCGAGAACAGAACUGUGGUAUGUGUUCCUGUAGUGCUCUAUGCAUGAAUAUUAUGUCCAGCAGGUGGGGAACUUUUGUAAUUAUACCGUUUGAUUUAUAGGCUUCAACCUGUCCCAUACUUGUAAAAUGAAGUUUGACAACUCCUGUAUAAAGUGUAUUAAAGAUCCAUUUAAUUUAGGGAAACAAAGGAUUAGGCCAAGAAAGUUUAGCAAUUAGUUUUGCAAUUUGAAUUUGUAUUCUGCAGUCCCAAUAUGAUGAAAGGUCUUACAAAAAAAAAAUCUUUGAGCAUCAUAUGAAAAAUAUAUAAAUAUAUCCUCUAUUAUGCCAUCAUAAUUGCAGUCCCAAUGUAGUGACAGCUAAUAGCAAUGUUUUCUUCACUCUCCUAUAUUUUAGUUUUUCAUUUCAAUACAGACAAGUCGUCGUGUUCUUCUGCAUCUCUCCGUUUAUGAACAUUACUGCAUUGAAAUUUUGAAUUGAUAUAUAUUUGAAAAACAACAACAACAGCACAAUCAACCAUUUCAGUUAGUUGCAUAGAUCUUUAUUGCUCAAGGUCCAAAGAGCUAUCAUCUUUCGUCACAAACUUUUUUGUUUUUCCUCUCCCUCAUAUGACAACUGUAACUUGAGAUGCACACUCUUCCAGACUGGUGGGUACAGGGCAUCUGUCAAACAUAUUCAAACCAAGGAUUUUCUCAACAACAACAAAAAAAAAGAUUGCAUUAAAGUUGUCAUGUUUUUUUUUUUUCCUGCUAAUCUGAUGGCUAAUGUCUGUUUAGAAUUCAGCAUCAAUUUGGCAAUCAACUUGUUGAUGCAAGCUUAACAGCAUGACAUCUACAUGCCGCUUGAAAAUAUUCUUCAAGAUCUAUCUGUUUGUUUAUGAUCAUGUUUCGUUGUGUCAUUCAGAAUCUUGAAACAAAGCUAAUCUUCCUAGUAUUAUGCUGAUGUACAUGGCUUGAUAUGAUCUUUCUGGACGAAAUAUGUGACCGAAUUUUUUUAUUUUUUAUUUUUUUUGGUGACCUAUACUAGGGCAAGAAUUUACUUUCUAGUAACAUUUGUUAUCAUUGUUACACUUGACAACCUGAAGUUCUUUGGUUUGAACUCUCUUUGUUAUUCAGUACUGUCGGAUUGUUAUGCCUAAAAGGUAAUCAAAUUGGUAUUACAUAGGUUUGUGUUUUUAUUUGCACUUUGAUGAGAUCUCCACUUUGAUGCCGAUAAUUGGACUAUUGUAUCAUGCAAGAAUGAAAUUUAUAUAAUGGAAGUGCGACAUAAGAAACUAACACAGUAAUAUGCCUGAUAGUAUUCUUUCCAAUUUGAUCAUAUCAUUAUUAUUAUUUUUCUUGGUACUGCUUUUGUACAACCUAAAAUCUUUUAAGAUAUUUAGCACUUCAGGGAUUUACGUUAACAUUUGGGACAAAAUUCCCAGGUGAAAAUUCGAGGAAGAUCGCUGUAUUGCAGUAUCUGUGGAGAUAAUUCAGUUUUCACCAAAGAAGAAUUUCAAACUUUUGAUUAUGAGAGCUUCACCCAGUCUCCAAUGUCAGAUAAGGUAUUUUUUCUGCACAAUUAAUUUGAUUUUUCUUGGCUCACACUUUUAUCAUUCUACUGGAUAUUUUCCUAAAUGCUUAUUAUCUUUUACUUUUUGUUGAACGACUAGAAUUACCUAAAAAAUGCACGUAAAUGUCUUGCGAUUAGUUUUUGAUGUUGAAAAUAGUCAUGCAGAAUAUUUGUUUUUCCUGUACAUAAAUUAAACAUUCUUUCACCAUUAGCAAAUCAUAUCCCAAAAUCAGUAGGAAGUAAUUCAGCUUUGACUUGGUUAGAACUUGGGUUCUAAGAUAGCAGAGGAAAUUUAUUGAUUGCAUUUUUACUUCUUACAUAUUUAUUUGCAAGGCACUGAAACCUUAUUUAAGUAGCAUGUUGACUUUUAAAUCACACAUGGAAAAUAACAACCGCCAGGGAAAUUCGCCUAAGGCUGCGUUUGGUACCAGGAAUAUUCCGGAACAACACGGGAUAUCCCCCAAUUUGUAACCAAACGGUGAAAGAACAGAGGGAAACGGGUUGGUCUGAUCAAAGCGGAUUGUUUUGGAACAACCCAUUAAAAAUUGUUCCUAGGAGAACUGAGAACAACUUUAUUCUUCUCUUUACUUUAUUAGAUAAAUAGAUAUAGAAAUCAAUAUAUUAAUAUAAAUAUUACUUUUAUGAUAAUAUAUUUAUACUUAAAUUUUAUUAUAUAGUAUAAAGUAAUUAAAUUUGAUAUAUUAUUUAUUUUAUUAAGAUUUAUCAUUUAUAUAUUAAUAUUUAAUUAUUUUAUUUUAUAUUAAGUAUUCUAUAUAUAAAAUUAUUUUUUCAUGUAUUAUAAUUUUUUUUAAUUUGUAUUGAAAUUUAUACUAUUAUUAAUUAAAAUUAUAAGGAUAUCGUUACAUAUAUUAUGAAUAAAUUGUAUAAAAUAAUUUAUUAUUAUUUAUAGUAAAAUAAAUAUACUAUUUAAAAUUAAAUUGUUACAUAAAAUAUUAUAUUAUAAAUUACUAUAAGAAAUAACUUUAUAAAUAAUUUUAUAUAAAAUAUACUAAUAUAAAUUAAUUAUUUUAUUUUUAAAAAUAUAUUUUUAGAUACUGUUCUAGACUUUGUCCAAACGCUACUAAGGAUAUCCUCGAGAAUAUCCCCGAAUACAUCCAAACAGAAAUUUAUAAUUGUUCUAUCUUGUACCGGAAUAUUCCUUGUUCUCAGGAACAACAAAAGUUGUUCUAAAUGAAAUAAACGAAACGGGUAGCGUGCUACCUAUCUCUCUCAAAAAAAAAAAAUAGUUUUCCAACCAAAUGCAGCCUUUAAGAGACCGUUUGGUUCAAGUUUUGUAAUAUUGCGGGAAUAUUGUAUAUUUUAUACUAGGAAGGGUAAGUUUGUUGCCAACUUGUCAAGCUAUCUGGAUUAGGAGAUUGUUAAGAGUUGAUAUAUUCUUAUUAAUAGACUACAAAUGAUUCUUGUCAAGCAUGAAAACGAGAAUGUCUCCUAUCCCAUAUUAAUCUAGUAUUCUAAUUGCUUGGGAAUCUACAAUGAUUUCACUAUUCAUAAUAUCUUUUACAACUAUCUAACUUGAGUUGGAUGGCAAUGAUUGGAAUAUUUUAAUAGAAAUAUGGAAGAUUACCGGAAUAUUACAAUCUUGAACCAAACGGCCCUGAAAAGAUCGUUGGAGUUUCCCUCUCAAGUAAAGGUAAAAACAAGAGGGAUGCUUUAAACUAUAGUAUAGGCUAUUUUGGAAGAGACCACAAACUAUUUUUCUUUUGAUUGACACUCCUGACCUUUUGAUUCUUUUGAUUUAAGUUAUUUUUAUCAAUUAAAUUUGAGAUUUUAUCAGUUCAGCAGUGAUUCUGAUGAGUUUAAUUGUUCUGAGAGCUUUCUCGGCAAAUGAAACGACGGAUUCGUUAAUUGUUCACAGCUUAUAGCUAAUGAAGCAUUUUAUUUUAAUGAAUCCCCAUUUCAAGUCUGGGAAACCAACUCAAAUUUAAACAAUUAAAAGUCGAGGGGUGCCGAUCCCAAAAAAGGAAAAACUGAACGGUCUUUUUCUUGAAAAUUACCAUCAAUGCUCGUAGUUUUUGAGGGGCUUAUUUGCGAUAAAAACUGUGCAUGUUAGACACACUUGUGCCGUGAAGGACCCAACCGCAAGUGACCGUUAAAGUUGGAAGUGUGUGCAAAAUUACCAAUUCAUUAGAUGUGAAGCAAUUGAUACAGUAAAAUUAUCAUUAAAACUAAGUGAACUCUGUUGGUGUUUCAAUUUAAUGCAGUCGCGACCGAAGCUGAGCCUGCUUCCAGAUGACGCUCGGAUCACCAGCAAAGAGUACAAAGAAAUAGUCGACAAGGGCGAGUCGCAUAUGCUCUUGGACGUACGACCUGCGCACCACUUCAGAAUAACCUCGAUCCCUCAUUCGGUGAACAUCCCGCUAUCUGUAUUGGAGGGCGAGUUUUCGAAGCUCGACUCGGCUCUGACAAGUUCGGGCGAGGGCUCUGCCUUGUAUGUGGUUUGCAGAAGAGGCAACGACUCCCAGCGGGCGGUUCAGCUUCUCCGAAACAAAGGGUUUGUUUCCGCGAAGGAUAUCAUCGGGGGUUUGGAGUCUUGGGCGCAGGAUGUUGAUCCGAAUUUCCCUGCAUAUUGAUGUAAUAACUCCUCGAAUCGAGGACUAGGGCAACUAUUUAUUUUAUUUUAUUUAUUUUAUCGGGCGAGUUGCGUGAUGUACGAACAAAAAUGUAUCACCAUAAAUACUGACCAAAAGUGUAAGGGACGUAGGUAGAAUCUGAAGCUCUUCCAGUGUAUAAUGUACUCUCUAUUUGUUACCCAACAUUUGAGUUCCAGGUAGGCAUCAUCUUACUUGAGUUUCCCUUUUUUUUUUUUUUCUUUUUAAUAAAGGUGUUAUCUCUCUGAUUAAAAUGUGUGGAUCAAGGAUUUAAGUAUCCAUUGAUACGAGCAGAAUCUACUGUAAUGUGUAAUAUCGAUAUGAUACAACUCUUUUGCGGAUGAUACACUUUAAAACCCUCUUUUCUGUAAAUUAGUCAGAAAUUUUUUUUAAUGAAGUUCGAAGAUUUGAUAAAGCUGUAUAAUAAAUAAUUAGAAUAUUUUGUUGUUAAAAAAAAUAAAAAUAUUAUGUAAUUAUGUGUCGGUACACAUGUAUGUUUUGUGCCCGAUAUUUUUCGAUAUGGUCUGGUAUGUAUCGUGCUGUGCUGUUAAAUUUUCUGGCAUAAUGUUAUGCCACAGCAUUUAGAUCUCUGGUAUGGAUGAUACCUGCACAAUUUUGAUGUGACAAGUUGGUCAUUGCACUUUUUAUGUAGACAAUUAUUUUUUUGAAGAAGAACUGCCUAAUAUUGAAACAGGGUUAAGUAGGCUAUUGGUUCCCAACCUUGACCUUUAUUAUUAUUAUUAUUAUUAUUAUUAUUAUUAUUAUUAUUUCUUUUAUAAUUUGAGUCCCAAGUUUUUUAAUUUUUGUAAUUAGGUUGCCAAAUCUUUAAUAUUUACUCCAAUUAAGUCUUUUCAAUUAAAAGUGGCAUUAGAUUAGACGGGAAUGGCCACAUUACAAGGGGUGGUGCUGACUCCUCAUCAAUUUUUGACGACGGUGAUUUAAUUGAAAUAAAAAAAAAAGACAAAGAUUAGGGAACCCAUGGCAAAAAUUAAUAGGUUGAUAGAAAAAAUGUCGGUGAUUAAUUUAAUUGAAAAAGAAAACAAAGAUUAGGAACCCCAUGGCAAAAAUUAAUAGGUUGAUAAAAAAAAAAAAGUCCUUUUCUUAUGAAAUGACCAUUUAUCCUUUCUCUAAUGUGCUUAUAUAUAUUAGUUCUUUAUUUAUUCAAGCAGGAUUCGAACAGAUUAUUUCUUUUACAGCAAAAAUUAAGAAUCUUCUUAAUAUUCAGAGAAUGAAAAGUGCAUAUACGAAUGGAAAGUUAAGGGACCCAGUGGCGACGUCGCGAUAGAUCGGUGGCUAUUCAUCUAUUUUACCUUUUUUUUUUUUUUUUUUUUUUUUUUUUUUUUUCUUUUUUUGGAAAAUUCUGUUUGCAAACUAAAAGUAGGAUGCAGUUAAUCUUACAUACUAUCUGGAGUUCAUAAAAAAUUUAAAUAAAUUUUAAUAAAAAAUUUGGUGUGAUAUGUAAAAUUUUUUUUUUUUAGGAAGCGUUUGGUUGGCGGUAUUGAUUAUUUAAAUAAUUUGGUAAGUAAUUCGGUCGAAAAUAUUUUAAUUUUAAAAAAAAUAUAAUUCUCGAGAAUCUUAUUAAAGGUGGGGGAGGGAGUACCCACAACAGGUACUUGGAAAUCAUACAAUUCUCGAUAAUUUUAUUGCUGUGCAUAUAAUUUUCGUUGACUUUUCAUUAUUCAAGAAUCAUGUAUAACACAAACCAACCGUUUCAAUAAAAAAAAAAAACAACUGUCUCUAAUGCAAGUGGCAAAAGAGGGUUUGGUGGUUGGGGGUUUGGUGGUUGGUACAAGAGAUUUCAAGUUCGAAUCCUAGUUGAUUUAGCUUUUUAGCUAAGUUCAUUUUUAAAUAAAAUAAACGAAACAGAUAGUAUACUACGUACCUAUCUCUCAAAAUAAAAUAGACUCGAUAAAAAAAGAUGUAAGAUAUAAUUCUAUUUUGAGGUAUACUAAUUAUAGCAUUGCAUUUUUUUUUUUUUUCUCUUGACGUAGAGAGCAUAAAUUAACAUGGGACACGACUAUUUAAACGAGAAUACCCGCUUGCUAGCUUUGGCUUGUGCGUAUGGGGGAGGUUUCAGGUGUGCGCCUGCGUUACAUAUAAGGAGGAGAAUUAAGGGGCCUACAAACCAGGUAAAAGAAAAAAAAAGAAAAGAAAAAAGACUAAAUUAAAUGAGAAAUUGUUGUAUUAAUUUCUCUGUUUUGGGAUAAUAUUAAUAAUUGCAUGCAAUUAAGUUGCCUUCUAUUCAUUGUUAUCUCCAUUUUUUAGUGUCAUAAUUAUAUAAUAAUAAUAAGAUAACCAUGCUAACAUUUGUUGCCUCCAAAACGAGCCUGCACUUUGGAGAAAUUAGCUAUAAUUCACAAAAGAAACCUACAUAUAUGUUUUUGCUAACCAUUCUUAUAUAUGUCAACCUCUUAUCAAUCAUGGUCUACUUGUAAUAAAAUGGAAAAUUAAUUCAUGUCUACGCCAAUCCACAAAUCAUUUACCAAAAAUAUAUAACCAAGCUAACUCCAUCAUUAAUGUUUUCUACAUAUUUGAUCCUCUUAAGUAAUCAUGCAUACAUAUACAGGUAGAGAUAAAUACAAAGAGAGAGAUAAAGAGGAGGGAGAAGAGAGGAAGCAAUUAUAUGAAAUGGGAUGGUCGGAUAGAUUUGCGCGGUGCUAUCCGUUUGCCGCCUUAGUUGCAGAGGUCCUCUACAACGUAUUUCACGGAGGCAAACGACAACCUGAGUACUCUUCCUAUGGACACGGCGACCAUCCGAGGCAAAUCCAACAUGCGCCGAGCCCGAAGAGCGACAGAAGAUACUACUACAAUAGCAAAGAGAAGCGAAGGGAUCACGAGAAACGCGCGAGCCGAUGCCACGUCGACGACCCCAAGACGGUCGGUGAGGAAUAUUGGGAUAUGAAGAGCCACCGCGCGUCGCAGCGGAGAAAGACUUACGAGGAGAAAGGGGUGUUGAGGAGGAUGUACAAGGACUCGAAAGGCAAGGAUCGAGGUGGUGGAGCAGAAGCAGUAUCGUGUGAAGAAGUACGAAGAGCACCACCCGCUUAGUCCGGAGCUGACGGAGAGCAGGGGGAGAAGGAGCUGGUUUAGCUAGGUAAAAGAUCGAGUCGGCAGUCAUCUGUUCUCGUGAACGGGUGGAUUAGGUCUCCUAGAUCAGUCAGCCUAUUGUUAUUGUCAGCAUCUCUUCUCUAUCUCUCUCCAUGUCAUGUAUAUGUCCGGUUUCUUAUUAGAGUCUGUUCUGUUGUGUAUGUAUCUGCAGUCGAAACUAAGUUCCUCGUAAUAUUAUGCUGGCAUGGCCUUAUUAUGUGUAAUAUAUUGAAGGACGUUAGCGUUAGUAAACACAAUUGUAAAACUUUCAUGUAAAUUGAUGUUUGGAGUAGUAACACUAGGGUGUCUAAUCUUUAUAUAUCCAAUUUACAAUCCUAUUCUCAUUCGAUUGUUACUCUAUUAAUUACCCAGUGAAUGAGAAUGCUUAAGUCCAAUUAUUUUUUAUUACGGUCCGUAGUCUCUUAUAUUCUCAAUCACAAACUGUUUUCUAUCCGAUGCGGGAAUAUUAGAGUGUUAUAAACUCCCUCCGUUUAGACCCUGACUUUUUCGUCAGGUCCAAAUUCAAUCACACAUAUAUAUAGACUAAAAUUAUUAGGUGAUGUGAGAUUUGAUAGGUGGCUGUUGCUUGUUCAAAAGAUAGCUCCCAACAAACCCAUGGUGUAGCACUUUAUCUUGCAUAAUACUUAGCUCUCACAUUUCCGGUUAGUACUCGGUUUUAAUACCAAAUGUAACGACCUGAACCACUAGCAAUACGAAAUUGUUGGACCCAAACAAUUGGUCCAAAAUGUUUAAGCCCAGUUAUUAUUACUAUGAUCUACGGUCCUUUUAUAUUUUCAAUUACAACCCUUUUACAUCUGAUAUAGGACUAUUGCGGUAUUACAGAUUUCUCUCAUUCAGACCUUCUAGACUUAACAACCUUAGCAAAGCUGAUGGUACUUUACUCUUAUAUGCUCCUCAAGCUCCCACGGUACGUGCUUCCUGCUCAGAAUAGUUGGUUUACUGUACUUAAACAUAUAAAUUGAUUCGUCUUCUCAAAACUUGAUCUUUUCGCUCUAUGAUACACACUGGCUGCUCGUCAUAAGAUAGAUCUUCUCGAAGCUGUAAGGGUUUCGACUCCACGACAUAGCCCGGAUUGUGGACAUUAUGCACUUCAGCUAAAGAAGGUGGUAAGGAAAGUCUGUAUGCAACAUCACCAAACCUGUCACGCCCUGGGCACGAGCGGAAACACCCUAGGAUAGUGCCCAGAUCCGCCGUGUGCAUGAGGCUCCCUCAAACACAUGAAGCGACAACCAACGUCUAUCAACUCAUAUAAAUAAAUGAAAAAAUUCAUACUAGUUGGAGUAUCAAAACACAAAAAUACUAUUCUAUUCAACUACAAAUCCCAAAAGAACUGUCAUAAGUUGUCACGCCCCAUUCCACAGCGGAAGCCCAUGGAGACGUCAACAGACCUGUCAAAUAGACAAAGUUUCUCUUGUCCUGACGAGGCACCAACAUAACAUAAUAGUAGUAAAGCAAUUCUAGAGAUCACAACUAAAAGUUUUUCAAAUCACAAGAACAAUAAUAAAGUCACUAAAUAAACGAACUACAUGUAUCAGAGCACUAUACCAAAACUAGUAUACAUCGCUGUAUAACAUCAUAUAGUCUCUGCUAACCAGAAAGAUAAACGUACAAAUAAAAAGCUCUGGCCAUCGCCAGUCCUGAUGUAUAAUAUAAAUUGAAACCUAUCGCUCAAGCACACUGGUAGGAGGUGCUAUAUCUAGGCAUGAUUUCCUUACGUUGAUCAAUAGAAAGUGCAGUUGUCUCUAAAAAGAAAAUCAAAAGAGGGAAUGAGAACUACUAAACAGCAGUUCCCAGUGUGUACGGUCGAUGACAACCAAGACCUUCCCUGUAGGUCUACUAGAGGCAAGAAUAAUAAAAGAACAAUGAAGUAUACUAUAGAAUGAGCAACUGAGUAUAAUAUGAUAUACAAUUACUGAGCUAUCAUGCCUCUAUACAUGUAGUGAAAAGGAAAGAAAGAAGGUAACUAAAGCAUGCAUCAAUGGUAAUACUAAAAAACAAAUGCUGUAAUAGUAACCAAUCGCAACGACCGACUCGUAGGUUCAGUCAAGCCUGCGCCUACUCGGUGCGAGGACACACUCCCGCAGGUGUGACGGCAACACCUAGGCUACUGCCUCUGCUAUCACUGGCUAGCAUCCACAGCAGCACUCAAGGGGAGAGACCCUACCAAGUAUCCCAACUACUUCUUCGGCGACUUGACCAACAUUUUCACCAAUUGCUCCACCAAUAUCUUCAAAAACACCUUCACCAACACCUUCACCAAUUGUUUCUUCGGCAGCUUGACCACCUUCAUCACCUCCACCACCUUCACUAGCAAUACCUACAAUGUUAUCAUCAGUCAUAUCAAUAUUGCCCUCUUGUGUCAGAGUUUUCUCACCAUUAUAGUUUAAUGGAAUGCCUUGCGACUGAAUGGUUAUAAAAAUUUUUUACUUCUUUCAUGUCAUUGUAUAUAGAAAAUAUAACCAUCAACUCCUGCCUAGAGAAUACUUGAAUGAAUUUCUUUGGCUUAACAUUUCUUGCUAUAUACCAUACACCAAUGUUCUCCGUAACACCCCAAUCCCAUAGUGACCAUACAUCUCGACAAAAUUUAAUAAGAUUGUAACCAUCAAGGUCUAUCAUCAACAUAUGCUUCUUACCAUCACAAUAUCUGAGUCCACAUGCAGUUUUUAUUGUUUUAAAAUACCCAACAUAAUUGAACUUCACUUAAAAAAAAUCAUUCUCGUCCAUAUUAUCAAACUGCCACUAUAGAAACAAAAAAAAAUAAAUAAAAAUGACUAGGUUCUAUACUCAUAUGCUCUAUGAAAAUAUGACAAUAAAUUGUCUAUACAUCUAACUUGGAUGAUUCAAGCAAAAUAUUACAUAUUUCCUAAAAAUAUGCUGAAUUACUACUUCAUGAGACUAAAAUUGUUCUAAAAUUAACCUAAAAUAUAGCAAAUUGUUCCAAAACUAACAAUCAAAUAAACCAAGUUUUGGAUUUAUAGUAUGUAGUGCACUCACCUUACUCUCCUUGGAGACAGAGGAGCAAUACACCUCGUUGAUGAAUAGGAUGGAAAAAACCCUAGUAAUGGUAGAUCUGAAGCUAGUAUAAGGGAGUGACAGGGAGAUGAAGAGGAAGAGAAAGAAGAAGAGCUCUUAUCCCCUCCAUAGAAUGUGAUCAAAUUAGGGUUAAGGGUCUCCUCGCGGGCGCUCUCCUCGCGUCGUGGGCGCUCUCCUCGCGGGAUGUGAGCGGAAGUAGGUGAAAAGAUCACCUGAGGGCCCUCUCUGCGGUUUGGUUUCACUCAACUAGGGUUAAGGGCCCACGCAGGUAGUUAGGUAAUAGGAUAUAAUAUAAGAGGGGCAAAAUAGUCAAUUCACCUUAUUAACUAAUCAUGAUUAAGUAUUUUAACUGUGGUUAACUAAAUUUCUCUAACAGACCCUAACGGCAGGAACAUACUGCAUACAUUAGGACUUUUGUAGGGACAACUUAUAAAAAUUGAGUUUUGUAGGGAUAUAUCUGCAAUUCACUAUGUUUGCAGGGACGUGUAUGCAAUUAACCCUUCGAGAAAAUCUACUUUUAUCGCAGAUUGGCCUUUUAUUACUUGAUGUUUUUGCUUUUUAGAAUUUUCUGGUGCUCUGUGUUGCAUGAUAAAUGGGAUGGUGCCAUUGGGCAUAACACAUGGACUAGUGAGUUUUUGAAAAGAAACUCAAAAGGUUGGAGGGCUAAAUUGUAAUUUUUGCAAAAUGUGAAAAUAGAACACUUUGUGAAUUGGCUAUCAUUUCAUGUGAAAAAUUUCGGAGUUUUGGUGAGUGGAGGGAUUUAAAUGUUGUGGACUCAGAGGGGAUCAUAUGACUAAAAUAUUGUAGAGUUCGGAGUUAAUUGUGCAAAAUGGCAUUGAGAUAAAUUCGUGAGAGAAAAUUGGAAUGGGGCCAUUUCUGUAAAUCACAUGAUAUUUCUUGUACUAUUUUGCGAGAAAAUUGUUGAGAAAGGGCUUAGGUAAAUUGUCGCUGGCUGUUAAGGCCUAAAGCAAGAUUGCAACCAUGAGGGGUCUUUAUGUAAUAUGUAACUAUACACAUAUAUUAUACAUAUAUGUGUGUGUAUAUAUGGGAUAAUUGCCAAUAUACUCCUCAAAACUUCAGAAAUAUCUCAUUUACUCCUAUUUUUUUUUUUCUUUUCAAUAUACCCCUCAUAUGUUCCUCCAUUAUUCCAAGAUAGCCCAUACAGUUACCACCCAUUAAGUUAAUUUGGUUAAACGUGAGUUAAAUGUUUACCAGAGUUUUUAAAAAAUCAAAAUAUCAUUUUUGCCCUUAACUUAAGUGCAAAUAAGAAAUAUUAGUGAUGGUAGAAGAGUAUAUUUGAAAUGACCAAAAAUAAAAAUACUUUUUGUGUCCCUAACUUAAGGGCAAAUAAGAAUAGUCGGAGAUGGUAGAAGGGUAUAUUUAAAAGGGCAAAAUAGUAAUUUUAUAGAGAUAACAACUAUUCCUAACAGUUCAUUAAUAGAAUUUAACUUUAGAGGUAUAUUUAAAAUAGGUUGGAACGUAAAAAGGGUAUUGAAUUUUCAAUAUUAGCCUUCUAAGAGGGGUAAAUAAAAAAAUCGAAAACUUUUCAAGGAUAUAUAAGCAAUUGUGUCACUUUCUGGGUUACAGCGGAAGCCCGGAUUAUGUCAACAGACCCGCCGCAUGCACAAAAAUAUAUACACCUUAUAAAUACGAAGCGUCAACAAAAUUAACUAAAAUCUAACAAUAAUAGGUAUCAGAGAAAAAUAAAACUAUAUACUAUAGCAACACUGUAACAAUUUACAAUCAUCAUCACACCAGUCUUCAAAAUGGUACAACAUUUCUGACCACUCCAAGUAUCAAAACAUUGUACAGACUGCUCACUAAUAGGUGGUCCAACUACACACACAAUAAUGGUAGGAGAUGCUAACUAUUUGCGAUUCCUUUAUCUUGAUCAGUCGCUGGUGCUGAAGGCUCUAAAAUAAAAUAUUAAAUAAGAGGGUAUGGGAACUAUAAUAAAUAGUUUCCAGUGGGUACGAUCGUCAACGCUGACGAUCUACACCACUAGGUCCAUAAGAGGCAGAAAUAGUAAAUACCGAGCAAUAUGAAGGAACAAGUACUCAUAUGAUCAAUAAUUGCUGAAAAUAACUGCUACUCUCAUGCCUCUACAAUAUAGCUGGAAUUGUAAAUUAUGUUUUGCAUGAAUCAAUUAGAGACUAAAUAAAAUAUUGCAAUAAUGCCCAAUCAUAGUGACCGACUCAACAGUGAGGUCUAGCCUGUGCCGUCUUGUGUCCAGCACCCACCUAUAGUAGUCCGCUACCACGCAGGCUACUGUCUGGCCCAUGCCAUAAUAAUAUCUCAUAGCCCAACCUCUGGAGUGGUACUCGCGGGGCGCUACCCGAACCGAGUAUAGUGUCACUGUCAAACUCAACAUAACAUGCAGACUGUGAUCAAAUGCGAUGAUCAAACAGAUCAUGAUAAUACUGUCGUAGUGUCCAAAAUACAGUUAUAGUUUCACACUAUCUGUAAUUGUCUAUUGACCUUUAGAAAAAUAUCACAUAUAUAUGUCUCAAUUUACUCUACUAGCAGAUGUCAAACUAUCACUAUUAUUUCAACUAUGUCAACAGUUCAUCUCACAGAUUAAAUAAUAUAAUAUGGAUAUAGAAAUUAGUCCGUCAAUUUUGACAAUACGGAACCCACCUAUAACGCAAAUCUAAGGAAAUGAACGGUAGACGGGAUAGCAGCCACAUCACUCUAAAAUAGCUCGAAAAUCCUUCGUCAAAAUUACGCGAAAUCCACUCCUAAAAUGCAUAAAAAAAAAUCAGUUUCUAACUCUCAAUUUUUACCAAAAAUUUAUCAAAAGAAUCUAAAUGAGAAAUCAUAAUAUUGUAAUACUAACCGCGACGUCGAAAUGCUAAAAAAUACACGUGCGCGCACUCAACUCGCUCGCUCACUUGCCACGCUCGCUCGCUCGUAAGAACGAAACCAAGUUUUUCUUCCCUGUUAAUUAAUUUGUGCUCAAAACCUUCCUCUCUCUUUCUAAAACUUAGCAACAAAAAAAUAUGAAAGGAUAAGGAUGGGGAACAACACGUGGACUCCGCCGCUUAAUAAAGCAAAAUUGAGAACAAGUCCCUCUAUAACUAAGUAUUCAACUUUAGUCCUUUACAAUAUAAAUCUUGAGUUUCAAAGUCCGUUUUUACGUCUAUUUUGCGCAAAACGUCUCCAACUCAGUCAAACAUAAAUUUAUAUCGUAACCUUGCCAAUUUACUAAGGUUCGAUAUAUCACAAAUUGCCCCAUAUAUAUAUAUAUAUAUAUAUAUAUAUAUAUAUAUAGAGAGAGAGAGAGAGAGAGAGAGAGAGAGAGAGAGAGAGAGAGAGAGAGAGAGAGAGAAAGAGAGAGAGAGAGUCCGACUAGGAUAUUAUUGAUAGCAUAAGCGCUUGGUGCUACCGAGUUUUUUACUGUUAGAAUUAAUUCUUUGACUAUUUUCACCCGUUAGAUUAGAUUAUACUAUUCAACCAACAACUUACUCAAUCCUAGGGGGCCCCACAUCAUUGUAACUGUACGUUUCUUCAUCCAAUGGACGAAAACCUAAUAGCACCGAUAACUCUGUGUAUUCUAGCCAAGUUCUACACACACACACACACCAUAUGUGUAUACGUAUAGUGCGUGGGAUGCCCUAACCCUUGGCCGUACCCUUUUUCCCUCUUUUCUGCGCCACCGCGCUACCCGGCCUUGCCACUAGCGACCUCUUCGGCCGUAGGCAGAUCCUGUGAAGGGAUCUCUCUCUCUCUCUCACUCUUUCUCUCUCUCUCUCUCGGGCUAUACAUCCCGAGAUGGCCGCCGCUGCCAACAAUUGGCUGUCGUCGGCGACCCAUAUGUGUAUACGUAUAGUGCGUGGGAUGCCCUAACCCUUGGCCGUACCCCUUUUUCCUCUCUUCUGCGCCACCGCGCUGCCCCGCCUUGCCACUAGCGACCUCUUCGGCCGUAGGAAGAUCUUGUGAAGGGAUCUCUCUCUCUCUCUUUCUCUCUCUCGGGCUAUACAUCCCGAGAUGGCCGCCGCCGCCAACAAUUGGCUGUCGUCGGCGACCCCUUCCUUUGUCCGUCUCUGCCCUUCUCGGAUUUAGGGUUGUGGUGUGUGUUGGGGAGAUCCUGUCACUACAAAAAAAAUUUAAUAUAAGAACGUUUUUUAGACGACACUUAGGGAAAGCGUCUCCAAGCGUUUUUACAAUAUAGAAAAUACCGACGCUUCAAAAAGCGUCGUCAUAUGAUAUCAAAUAAUUUAUUAAAUGAUGAUAAAUUUUACUAUUAUUUUUAAUUUUUCGACGCUUUAAAGCGUCAGGAUUUCAACAAUCCUGACAUUUUAAAGCAUCGGAAUAUAUUUUACCGACGCUUGGUAUAAGCGUCAAUAAAUGCAUGGUGACUCUUCAUUUGCUGACGCUUUGACCGACGCUUUCAAAAGUGACGUUGAAAUAUAUUGGGACGCUUUUAAGCAUUGUAAAAUAUAAAAAAGAGCGUCUUUAAAUAUAACAUUUUUUGUAGUGUGUGAAGGGAUCUCUCUCUCUCUCUCGGGCUACUCCAUCCCGACUUGGAAAAAUUCUAGAAUGCACCGGGUAUAUUGGUGACGUGGCGUAACAAACAAAUCAAAUAUCUCCUUUUAGAGAUAUAUGUCCCAUCAUGAUUAUAAAAUAAUAUUUUUAUUGUACUUUUGUUUGAAAAGAAGAAAUAUGAUUGGCUUGUUAUUGAUGAUGUGGUGUAAGUGUGACAGUGUAGAAUUCCUCCCCAACUUGGCCUCCGCCGCCAAUAGUUGGCCGUCGCCGGCAACCCCUUCCUCUGACGGGACCUCUUGUCUGUCUCUGCCCUUCUUGGAUUUAGGGUUGUGGUGCGUGUUGGGAGGGAGGGUUGGGGGGGUUGCGUGGGGGUUGGGGGAUGUGGUGGUGAGAGAGAGAGAGAGAGAGAGAGAGAGAGGCGGUGGCUAAUGGCAACUUAAACCACCUGCAAGGGAAAAUAAAUAUAUUUGCAGAAGAGGAGGCUAACGUGGGAUCAGAUGAUACCCACGUUAUUUUAGCUUUUGAUUAUACAUGAUAUACAUGUGUAAAAGUUGGAUAUUCACACAAAUAACAGAUCUCAACAAACUAACCAAUCUUUCAACGUAAGACAUGCGUUUAGGCUUGUGAAAAACUUUUACGUUAAAAACACAUGCAUGAGCUUAUAAAGUUCAAGACAAUAACUGAAUGAGCAGCUCUGGGAACAGUCUUGUUCACCAGUAAUCAUUGCAAGAGCAAAACCCAUCUUUAAAAUGAUGGAAUCUAUUUCGAUCUCGAACGACAAUCUCUCUCCCGUAAACCUUGGAUAUCAACUUAGUUGCUACAUGGCAAUCUGUACAAACUCUCAGGUUUUUCGACAACCGAAUAGUAGCUCCGGCAGGAGAGUUUAUAAGACCGAAUGCAAUGGCUAACUUCUCGCUGUGAUGAGAAAUCGAUACUUCUUUCUCAUCAUCCUCAGCAUCUAGUCUUGCAUCAGCUACGUUGGGAAUAUACCCGGCCACCUUUAUUUUUGCCAUCAUCUCCUCGACUUCAUCAUAUAUCUCCUUUGACUGGGGAUGAGCACUGUCCUCCGCAAAGAACUCGAAGAUUAUUCCAUCCAGCUCGAUCAGACUACAACCCGGAAUUUUCUCGAUUCCCUUUUCCUUCAUUAGGUUCCUCACCCUUACUGCAUCCUCCCAUCGACCCGCCGAUGCAUAAGUACUUGAGAGAAGUACAUAGUCUCCGCUGUGCCUUGGUUCUAAUCUAACAAUUUGCUUCAAGCAUUCUUCCGCAAUUUCAACAUUUUUGUGAAUUUUACAGGAAGCCAGCAAGGUUCUCCACACAACAGCAUUUGGCUCAAUGGGCAUGUUCUUGAUAAACUGAUAGGCCUCCUGGAGCAAACCAGCUCGACCAAGAAUAUCAACCAGGCAACCAUAGUGCUCGAUCCUAGGCUCGAUACCAAAAUCUCUACUCAUGCUGUUGAAAAAUUCCCGACCCUCUUUAACCAGACCUGCAUGACUACAGGCUGAGAGAACUCCAACAAAGGUCACGUCGGUCGGCUCGAAUUUAGCUUCGAGCAUUGAAGAGAAGAGCAGAAGAGCGUCUUUUCCUUUCCCGUUACUUGCUAAUCCACGUAUGAGCACCGUCCAUGUCCAAGCAUUCCUUGUCCGCAUUUCCGCAAAAGCUUCGGUCGCACUCUCAAUGCAUCCGCAUUUUGCAUAAAAAUCUACGAGUGCAGUGCCAAGAUUUACGGUUAAGUGCAAUUGCUUCCUUUUUAUGUAGGAAUGGACCCAUUUGCCGGUUUCUAGAGCUCCCAGAACAGCGCACGAUGAAAGAACGCUAACCAUUGUCACCUCAUUCGGUUCCACUUUGGCAAUCUGCAUUUCAUGGAAAAGAGCAAGAGCUUCUCGACACUGAUCUGAUUGCGUAUAACCCGAAAUCAUUGCACUCCAAGCGACCACAUCCCGAUACGGCAUUUCGUCGAACAACUCGCGUGCCCUUCCAACCUUCCCACAUUUUGCGUACAUGUCCACCAACGAAGUGACCAAAUUCCGAUUACUUUUCAACCUGUUUCUUUCCACGUACUCAUCAAUCCGCUCCCCCAGAUCCAACGCCCCCAAGCGCCCGCACGCCGUCAGAACGCUGAUCAAAGUGACGUCGUCGAAAGCCACUCGGAGCUCCGACAUGUACCGGAACAGCUCGACCACCUCGCCCCAAGCCCCAGCUUUGAAGUAGCCGGCGAACAUGGCGUUCCACGUGACGAUUCCCCGAUGGGGCAUUCUGUCGAACAGGGCACGGGCGAGACCAACCUCUCCGCAGCUAGCAUACAUGUGAACCAAGCUGUUGCGCACGAACUCCUCGGAGCCCAGUCCGCAUUUCAAGAUACGGGCAUGCACCAUCCGGCCGUGGCGAACGGAGUUCAUCCGCGAGCAGGCUUUGAGGAUGCAGGAGAAGGUGUGGGGGUCGGGGGGCACCGAGCGGGCGAGCAUGCGGAGGAAGAGGAGGAGGGCGUCGUCGGGGGAGCGGGAGCGGAUGAAGGCGCGGACGAGGAUGUUGUAGGACUGGGAGCGGAGGAGGUGGGCAGGGGAGCGGCGGAAGACGGCGAGGGCGUAGUCGAGGGCGUCGGGGACGACGAGGGCGGCAGACUCGAGGAGGUUCUCUAUGGCGGAAGGGUCGGCGGCGGCGCAGCCGGUCUUGAUGAGGCGGGCGUGAACCUGGCGCACGUCGCGCUGGCUCCUGCAGUGCUCCAGAAGGAGCGUUUUGGGGUCGGUGGCGUGGAGAGAGAGAGGCGGGAUGGGGAUGGAGUAGGCGGGAAGCGUCAGGGGUGCAGCAGCCAUUUGCUCCUCCUGCUGGUUUACACUCUACCUACAUUCGACUUGCAGUGCAGUGCCCCGUCUCCUGAUCCUGAUUGGCAAAAUGGAAAUAUAUACUUGGAUAAAUUAGGGGUGUUAACGAGCAGAACAUGACGAGCCGGCUCACGAACUUGCUGACGAAUAAUAAAUUAAAUAAAUUAGAUUGAAUAUAUAUAAAAAAUAAAUUUAUAAAAUCUUACCUAUUAAAUUGUAAUCUAAUGAGUAAAAUUUUACAUAAAAAUGAAUCUUUUUAUAAUUUAGUUCGGAUUUAUUUAUUUUUUGCUAAAAAAAUUCAAAAAUAAUAUAUAUUAUAUUAUAUAUAUAAUAUAUAUAUAUAUAUAUAUAUAUAUUAUAUAUUAAACAUAAAAUUAUGUUUUCGACCUGUUAUCGAGCGAACACGAGAGCGAGCUGACCCAGCUCGUGUUCGGUUUGUUUAUUAAACGAGCUGAAAAUUCAGCUCGCGUUCGGGCUCGCUUUACUAAACGAGCGGAUUCCGAUCUCGAGCUCAUUUCGAGCCGAACACGAGCUGGCUUGCGAACAGCGAGCUGGAUUGCCACCCCUACUCGAAUUCAAGCGGCUAGCGUACAUGUUGCGUGGCCCCGUAAGUAAAGCUGAUCAAAAUACUCAUAUAUCUCAAACUCGAUCAGGACCAUAUCCGAAUCCUAUCCAGACUGGAUCUAGGCCCAGUAAAAAAUAUAUAGUAUACAGGGAAAAAAAAAUUUAUUAAUUAAACUUUCGGAUAUGAAUUCGAAUAUUUUACAUACAUAUCCGACUUGGACCGGACACAAACAUAACUUUUUAAUGGGUAGAGUUCAGAAUAAGACUUAUAAAUAAAGGGUCUCUAUGUAUUUUCAUUUUGGUAAAAUCUCUAGCUGCUCUGUUUGCUCCUUUCUUUUUUUUAUUUUUCUUACUUACUUUUUUUGUUCGUGUUUUUUUUAACCUGUAUAUUCCUUGAAUAUUCUUCUCUAAAUAGGGGUCCUUGUUUAUUGCUGGAGUUAAAAAAAGGAGUUAAAAUCUCUUUGCCUCUCCUAUCAGUCUGGCCCUAUCUGAUCCCACCUUCUCCUCACCCACGCAGCUUGUCUCCCAUGUCUCGUCUCACCAAUUGAUUCCUUUCCAAUUCGACAAGCAGCUUACCUCCUGGACACACAUGAUAUCCAAACUGUACAAAACAUAAACCAUAAGUACAUCAUCACCUCCCACAACUCUAAAAAUAUAAAAUAAAUAUAACUAUAUGGACAUGAUUAUAAACCAAAUAAUUAUCUCCAAAGGGGUACUUCUCUAGCUCAACGACUGGCGUAGACGGAAAUCUAGCUUGCGACUUCCUUAUCUCGAUCUGUGAUGGCAGGAGGAAUGGAUGACUCUGCAAGAAAAAGUGAUAACAACUAGCGUGAGAAUUACUGUAAGAUAGUCCUUAGUAGGUAUUGUCACCGACGCCAACGGCCUACCCACUAAGUCUACAAAACUGAAAGGUAGAAUAGGUAGAUAAAAGACCAGAAGUAAUAAAGCUGAAAAAAAAUCUAUAGCUACUAUGCCACUACAGUACUAAUGCUCAAGACACACUCCUACUGUAUGAAUGCCUCAACUAGCUAUCACACUGACAAUAACUAUUUCAAUCCAAGAGACUGCCACAAGGUCGGUCCAGCUUGUGCCAACCUACUACUAUGCACCACUUGCGGGGGUAGCUGACGUAAGUAGGAUGCCAAAAAGGGCUGCUGCGACAUGAACACAGAAAAGGCCUCACUCCGGAGCGACACUCAUGGGAGCUACCCAGUGGAGCAAAAGAGCGUACUCUGUUGAGCUCAAAUCUGUCUCAUGCAGGCUGAAGUCGAUGCAAAUAAUUAAAUAGAUCAGAAAAUCAAAGCUCACAUGCCCCCGGCAUAAUCUGAUGCAAAAGGUAAGGAUCUGGGUCCAUCAUUAGUCCGGAUGACACCCGACAAUGCAGAAUAGUCUAAACACUACUGUAAAAAUUCACUCAGCAUCUCAGCACGAGCGUAAAUUCAACCUACACUAAUCUGUAUAUUUGAAGCUCACUAACAAUGUCAAAAAAGCGGUAAAAACAGCUCCCGAAGUUAAUUCCUAUCAAUGGCAAUUAACAUGUUCAAAUGUAGGUUUUCUCCUAAGUCAAUACCCCAAUUCAGCAUUUAAUAGAUUUCUAAAAACAAGUAUAUCAUGCUCAAAACUGCAUAUUUCAUAUAUGAACAUGCAAAUCUAUACAUUUGAGCAAACAAGAGCAAAGUUUUAAGUGCCCGUCGGCACGGGCCGUCUCCACCGUGCCGUACCGUGCCAACAAAAUGUCGGCACGAUACAGACCCCGUGCCGAUGGCACAGUUCAAAACUCUCUAUUCUUUAAAUUACUAAGUAAUUUCCUUAAUAAAGUUCAAAAAAUGUGAUAAAAAGAUAUAAUAAAUAGUUAGAAUAUUUUAUUGCUAAAAAAAAAAAUAUUUUAUGCUAUUAUGUGUCGACACACAAGAAUUUUUUUGAACGGCACGCAUCGGUACGGCUCGGCACGCACCAUGCGGUACCGUGCCGGCAAGUUUCCAGCAUGAUCCCGUGCAACGACGCUUAAAUCCUUGAACAAGCGGUUAAUCAGGACAAGUAUAUGCAUGCUGAAUUUAUUAUACAUUUAGGAGGAAUUCCGAUGGGUUCGGUAAACUUUACCUAGCGCGCUAAUCCAAUUAUGGAUCGAACUGAAACUCCACAUGCACCUUCCCCUAGCUCCAAAUAAGAGGGAAGUGAAGACGAACUCUGAAAAUCCCUGCCGGAAUUAACGAAAUUAAAGGCCGAAUAAAAUUUCUAACGUAAGUCAAUUAUACAUGCAGAAUCGAUUUCGGAAUCAAAUUUUACUUGACUCUGGGCCAAUGUACCUUAUAAUUCAGCUAGGAGCAACACUGAAUCAGCUACCAAUAAGGUGUGGACCAGGUAGAAUCCGUUAAUAAAAUCACAAGAAGGAAUUGAAGUCAAGAUUUCAAGAAUUAGACUAAACUUCCCAAAAAUUAGCCUAUAACAUUACUUGAUCCCAUUUCGUUAGUGAAAGCAAUUUACUAACCUGAAAGUCAAAUAAGGGCAGCUCCAAAACCAGCUAAGGAUAAGGGAAAACCAGCCCAGAUCCAAAAAUCCUACUGCUGGAAGAAGUUGAAUCUGAAAUCACAAGCAAAUCAAACAAGAAUCAGAAUUUCAGCCUGCUUCUCGAAAGAAGCUCAAAUAUAAUCACUUUAACGAGAAAUUUCAGCUCAAGUUGACUCCAAGCCUCAAAGAAUUUGAAGUAACUCAGCUCAAGCCAGCAAGAAUCCGGCUGUCAAGUUGGAAAAGUGGACAAGAAUUAAGAUCUUCUCAACCCGCUACCAUACAAUAUUAACAAGUCCAAAAUUCAGCAUUUACUAAAAUUAGCUCAAUUGAAGGUCAAAUUCUCGACAAUUCGGCUAAAUAACUUGCUCCCCCCUAUUCCACACAAUAAGGUAGAUUAAGAGUAGGUUCAAAUUUAUCUGCUCAAAGCAUCAAAAUCCCGCAAUUUUACCCUCAAGUUCAGUGCCUAUUACUGGAAUGCACUGCUGUAGUUGUUGCUGGACUGCAUCUUGGUGCUGCCAAUUCCUUGCUCCGCAAGGAACUCCAGUGAAAGAUGAGGUUAGAGGGCAAUUCAUGAGCGAUCUUUGACUCCUAUACUACAAGAAAAAUUCAUAAUUCACCACGAAAUUCUAUCACAACUAAGAAAUAGAGGUCAAGAAUUCAGUUUCGACGUAAAAACUAUUUUUCGGUUUUCGACCUCAAUUAAAAUUAAAAUUCUCACUCAUCUUACCUCUAAAUUGGUCCAAACAAGAUUCUAAACACAAGAGGAUGAAGUCAAGAUCACUACCAACCCUUCUAAAGCUCAGCUCCUAGAAGAAAAUGAAACGGAUUUUAUCAAAAUCCAAAGUUGGUCUAAUUCAGUCCAAAGAUCAGCAUUAUGCACCAUCCUUAAUCAGCAUCCAAAUUAAAGCUACUAACUUGCAAAUCCGGCUGAAGGUACAAGGUGAUUCCCAACUUCCCUCUACACAACUACAUACUAUGAAUUUCGAAAUCGGAGCAUCGAAACUCAUCCAAUUGUUUCCCCCUCUCCUGCUCGUCUUGCUGCCAUCCUGCAGCAAGGUUUCUGGCAGCCUAGCUGCUGCAGGUAGGUGAAUUAGGUGCCCAGCAGCAGCCCUUCUAUAGAUUCCUGUCAAAAAGGGUGAAGAAAAAGUGAAGAACAAUAAGAAGUAGGCUAGCAACUCCCUGCAUUGCCCAAAUCACUGCUGCAGUGGCCAACAAUCCCUCACAUACUGCUGCUGUUGCUGAACCCCCAGCUGAGGUUGGCUGGCUGCUAAGCUACUGUUGCUAUUGAGCAGGGAACCAACCAGCAGAAGGGCAAUAGGAAGAAGGAAGUAGAGAGUGUUCUAGAUUCACAUUUUGUACCUUAUCUUGACAAAAUCCAAAUUCUCACCUAUACUUCUUAGCCAAAAAGGUUGAGGCUAGGUUAAAGGAUACAAGCUGAAUUUCAAUAAUUGCUCACUUAGGUUGAAUGAAUCCUCAACUAAAAUUAAAAAAAAAAAAUUACCUUAACUAACCUUCACUUCAGCUCAAACCUGACCUCCACAAGUAGUGGCUGAGGUUAAGCGCACUCCCCAACUUCAAAAAGUUCAGCUACAGAGGGGAAUUAGAACAAUUCUAUCAAACUCCAAAGUUAGUAAAAAGAUUCUGUUGUGCCCACUAAUUCCAGAAAUUGAACACUACUUACUCGGAAUUUAGCUUGAUUAUGUUGGAAUCCGGUACUCGCCCCGGUACCAGAUUUUGAGAAUCCGCAACCCGCUCCGAUACCGCUGUGGAUCCGGUAUCGAUUGUUGGGAUUCCGCAACGGAAGUGUCGACUCGAGUUUUUACCAUAAACCCGUAUCUUCAGCAAAAGCUGAUACAAUCACAAAAGAGAGAAAAAAUCAAAAUAAAAAAAUAUGCGGGUAAAAUAAGAUUCACACCUGAAUCUUCUUCUGCAACUGAGUAGCUACAACCCGAGCCCUCUUUUUGAAUCUUUUUUAUCCUUUUCUCGUCUUUUAUAAACCUAAAAGACAACUCUCUUUCUCUCUCACAUGCACCUGUGCACUAGGUGCAUACAACCGGCCAACUCUCUCUCUCUCUCUCUCUCAUACAACCCACCAAAGAGCUUAAGCUUUUUUGCCGUACUCGCACUCCAAAAGCACCCCACAUAGUGCUUAUAUAAUGCUUAUAAUAAGAGCAUGUUUGGUUGCUCGACAGUCGGCGAAGUGGCAAAAGUUACUUUUAUAAAAGUGACUUUUACAAAAGUGACUUUUCAGUUCAAUUGUUUAGUUGCUAUAAAGUAAAAAAAUUAAAACAAUAAUUUUAUAAUUUUUUUAUUAUUAAAUAUAUAAAGAGGUGAAAAUAUAAACAAACGACUUAUACUUGCAAUUUAAAUUAAAAAUUUAAAUUUAAAUUAAUAUUUAGAACUCAAGUUAUAUUUUAUAUUUUAAAUUUAAGCUUAAAUCUGAGUUGAAUUUAUAAUUAAAAUUUAAGACAUAAAUUUAAUUUAUAAUUUGAAUUUAAAAUUUAAGUUAUAACUUAUAACUGAAAUUAAAUUUUAAAAUAAAAGUUCAACACAAAAUUUAGAACAUUUAUUCAAAUUUGAAUUUAUAAUUUGAAUCAUAUAUUAAUUUACUCUUUGAUCUUAAAUUUUGAAUUCAAAUAUGAAUUCACAAUUUAAAUUAAUAUUAAAUUAAAAUUAAAAUAUGAGUUUAAAUCACAAUUCGAAUUGAACAUUUGAAUUCAUAAUUUGAAUUCAAAUUCAGAUUGAAACUCAUUAUUGAAAUUAAAUAUAAAUAGCAAAUUUAAAUUUGAAUUUGAAUUUGAACUUGAAAAUUUAAAUUUUAAAUUCAAAUUUCAGUCAAUAAUUUGAAUUUAUAGUUGGAACAAUUUGAAGUCAAAUUUCAAAUUGAAGUUCUUAAGUAAAAAUAAUUUGAUUAAAAUUUAAAAUUUAAAAUUUAAAUUUAAAUUCAAGAGUUCAAAUUUAAAUAAAAAUAAAUUUUUAAAUUUUAAAUAUAAAUAUAAAGUCAUAAAUUUGAAUUUUAAAUUUUAUUUUAAAUUUUAAUUUACAAAUAAAAUUCAAAAUAUGAUCAUAAUUUUAAUUCAAAUUUAAAGUGAAAUUGAACUUUAAAAAUAAAUUUAAGUAUUAAAGAUAAGACCAAAUAUUACCUUUUAGAUAAGCUCUCCACUUUCGGUGACUUACGUAUUUUUUUAGCCUAAGUCUAAAAAGUGAGAUUUAGUUAUAACUCAAUUUAUCCGUCUACUUUCGUAAAGUGACUUUCACAUUCACUUUUGUAAACCAAAUAACCGAUAAAACGUCACUUUCUAAAAGUACCAUUUUUGAUGUUACACUUUCGGCGAACCAAACAUGCCCUAAAAUGUACCCAAAUUCUAGUAUAUUUAGAAUUUCUACUCUAAUAAAUAUUUAAAUCUAUAUUUAGUUUAUCUUCAAUAAAUUUAAAUAUUUAUCCUAAUCUAGUUGAAUUUAUACUCUAAUUAAUAUUUAAAUCUUAAUUUAUCUUCAACAGGUUUAAAUAUUAAUUCUUAUCCAACUAGAAUUAAUCUACAAAUCUAAUCAAAUCCUAAAAAAUUAAACCACUCCUUACUUUCUCCUCUUCUAAGUACAACCCUAGCAACUACUCCAGCAACUAGAAGCAUCAACAGGCUUAGAAUUUUCGAAAAUUCCUUGCCUCAACUUGUGCUGGUUCCUGGUGCAGCCGCUGUCCAAUGCUGCUAGAUUCGGGUUGGGGUUUUCGGGUUCGGGUUCGGAUUUCGGAUUUUUGGUCGGGUUCGGAUUUGGAUAUGAAUUGUUAAAAUCCGUCGGAUUCGGAUUCGGAUUUCGAAUUUAGAGUCGGGUUCGGGUUUUUAAAAACCCGCCCCGAAUGGGACCCAUUGACAUCCCUAGUCACAUUUCAAAAUUAUUUGGAAUUAAAAAGAGGUAAAACAUGCGCUUAACUCUCCUAAACUCUUGGAUCUAGCCACCACCCAAAAUGUUUAAGCCGUCUUAAAAGUUUAGCCAUUUUAUAUCAUAUAUAUAGAACUAUUUUGGAUCUCACAUAAAAAGUGCAGGUACUUUCAACUGCAGUUACACACACAAUAGACACACUCCCUGAGAAACCAAACAUACAAAAGACAUGGAGAGAUAUAUAGAGAAGAGAGAAGAGGUGUCGACGACGACGACGACAGGUUGCUGGUUGAUCUAGGAGAAUUCACCUGUUCACGAGAACAGCUGACUGUCGACGACAACUCGAGCUUUACCUAAAUCAAAGCCAGCUUCUUGCGGUGAUCUCGCGACGACAGUCUCCUACUGUCUGCGGGAGCGAUGCUUGCUCCCCCGGCUCUCCAUCUGUGCCGGACUGAACUGGCGCUCUUCGUACUUCCUCGUAUGAUACCGGUUCUGCUCCACCACCUCCUCGCCUUUCGAGUCCUUGUACGUCCUCGUCGACGCCCCUCUCUUCUCGUAAGCCUUCCUCGAUCGCUGCAACACGUGGUGGCUCUUCAUAUGCCAAUCCUCAGCGGCCGUCGUGGAGUUGUCGACGUCGAAACCCGAUUCGCCAAGUUUCAAAAUGUUGAAACAUAUUAUACAAAAAACUAAAAUUUCAAGAUACAUAUUCAAACACAGCAGUAAGCAUUCAUGUCAUAUAACAGCUGCAUCCAAAUAUGAAAAGUAUAAACUCAAAUAGUUAAAAACAAUAAUACAAUUUUCAAAUGCCUAAUACAAAAUUUUUAAUUUUUUUUUUAAAAUGAUAGUUCCAUUGCCCAACAACCCAUACAAACUAAGAGAUUUAAGUUAAAUAAUGAGAAAAAAGAUACAUAGAUAUUAAGAAUCUAAGAAAGUAAGAAACCAAUAUCAAAUUUUUUUGGGAAAAACUUCAAAAACCCACCAUGUGGUUUCUUAGUUUCUCACUUUGCCCCCCUGUAGUUUAAAAUGUAUCAAUUUGCCCCCCUGUGGUUUCUUUUUUCUUUUUUUCUUAUCAAUUUCAUUAUUUUUUUUCUUAAAUCAGUGAUAAAGUUAAAAUUAAAGGGUACUAAAGUGAAUAUUUGAUAAAUCUAGAUGGGUAUCUGAAGUUUUUUGUAUAUAAUUUAAUAAAAUAUUAACGAAAAAGUUAUCGAAAAGAUAAAAACGAAACCACAAGGGGGGGCAAUUUGAUACAUUUUAAACCACAGGGGGGCAAAGUGAGAAACUAUGAAACCACGGGAGGGUUUUUGAAGUUUUCCGUUUUUUUUUAAAAAAUUAUUCUUACUUUUUUUUUUCUUUUAGAUUUGAGUUUGUGAUUUUUGGGAAGGAAGCAACAAGCCAAAGAAGCCAACAAGAGGAUGGCCACCUUCUUGGCCUCCGGAGGAAAGGGGGGGAAUUAACACGGAGGUAAAAGCACCCCCUCUUUUGAGGCUUUUACUAUUAGGGUUUGGGAAGAUUUUGACUAUUAGAAUUUGGGUUAUAAAAAUGAGAGUAUUUUUUUUUUUGGCCUUUAUAUUCAGAUUUAAUGGUUUGAAUUUUUUUUAUAUAUUACAUUAUAUUAAAUUUGUUCAGGUUUGGGUCGGGUUCGGGUUCGGGUUCGGGUCGAGUUCGGAUUUUUUUUAAAAUAUUCAUAUCCAAAUCCGAAUCCAUCGGAUUUUUUGUUUUAAUAUCCAAAUCCAUAUCCGCUUACAUCGGAUAAAAUCCGUUUAGUUCGGAUUCGGAUAAAAUUCAGAUAUCCGUAUCCAUUAACAUCCCUACAUGUGACUGCAUACUAUUGCUAUCUAAUUCCAAAUAAUUUUGGACAUUAAAGUGUUAAAUAAUACGAAAUAAUUGUUAUUCUCUAAGACUUGAACUCAAGACCUUCUGUUCUGAUACCAUAUUAAACAACCGUUAUACUCUUAAAAAACAUAAGACGGUAAAAAAUGGUAUUUAAAUAUUUUUAUAGUUAACAUAAAGCUAUUUACAUGGCUACCAUUUAGAAACCUGCAAUAAUAGGCAAACAUUACUCUUUCCUAAAAUAUGCAUUUGUGAACUUGUGCAAAAUUAGCAGCUUGUUUUACUUGUACCAAGGAGACGAAUUAGUAAAUUACAUAAACAAAAGGGUUACAUUAGAAAAAAAUAAAAUACGCUCUCAUCCAGUGUUUAAAGACAAAGUUGGAUUUAGAAGGCAAUUUCAGUGGAUAUUAUCUAAUCCACUCCUCCUCUUGCAUUUAUUAGAGAAUACGAUAGCAUGAAGUUCGGAUUUUAAACUAUACACAGUUUUUCACCAAUGAAUUUGCAUGCCGAUGGAUCAAACUAAGCCAGAAAAGCAAUUAUACUAUAUCUAUUUCUCAUAUUGAUUUUCAAUAUUCUGACUUUUUUAUUUUUCAAAGAAUCUACUAUGCGCAGAAUCUUUGUUUGGUAAGAAAAAGGCGUUGAAAAAAAGCGAUAAAAACAUACAAAACUUAAUUGAAUUAUGGAAUAUUUUGAAUCAGCGAUCGAAUCUUUCAAAAUAUUAAUUCUACUAUCUAAUCUUUCAAUCUGUUUGAUUUUAGUCGGUCAAUGAUACUUUGACUUUAAAAUUUAAGCUAAUCAUUUACUUCAGCAAAUUUAUAGUCGCAAGAAUUUGAUGGAGUAUACUAAUUGAACUUGUAAAAAUAAACGGUGCAAUCAAACUUUGAAGUCAAAAUACUGUUGACUGAUCCAAACAAACAAAUUGAAAGUUUGGGAGGUAAAAUCAAAAUACUGAAAUCACAGGGUACGAAAGUGAUCCAUUUUAAACCAUACAGUACUAAAGAGAGAAAGUGCAAAACCACAUGGGUGGUAUUUGAAGUUUUUCCAUAAAUUUUUAUUUUGAUACCAAAUUAAACACUAGAUAAAAUUGCAAUCUUAUUUUAAUUAUUCAAAAACGAUGAGGGGAUUGGCUAAAAUUAAUUGUAGGGCUUAGGGUUAAAAGUUCAGUAAGUACCAAAUAUGCAUCAAAGAGAGUAAUUAACUAUAAUUUAAACAAAUUAAGAUUCAAACACUACAAUAGAAUUAGGUUAUAGACACAUUUUUAGAACACUUUUGUGUAAGUGUUCCAUUUAUGCCAAAAAUUUUUUAAAAAAUCUACUAACGCCUAAAUAAAAAGCUCCAUCCAACCAAAAAUAAAAAGUCCCUCUACGCACUCAAUCAAUCCCACCCGGCUCACUCAGCCCGAUUACAAAUAGAAAAGAAAAAAAAAAAGGAAAAAGUUGAUCACCAUCUCCCCUUCUCCCUUUCCGCCGACGCAGCCAACGAGGUAGGGUUCCGGCGGCUGGAGUUCGGCCGCGAGGAUCUCGUAGGGACCAUAGAGAGCUAUAAUCGCUAUGUGUCUCUCUACCACAGAUCGCUGGAGGAGUGGGUGCCAAAUAUCGAGGUGGCCCCACAUAUAGCGACCCCACAUAUAGUGACCCCACAUAUAGCAACACUUUUAAAAAAUGUGGGUAAUUUAGCCGGUAACACUUUUUUUGACAUGUACCGACAUUUAAAAGUAUCAUUACACACCGUUUUUGUUGUAGUGAGAAUUUAAAUGCACGUAAAAGAACAUCUAUUUAAAUUGAAGAACUUAUAUUUUCAGAAAUAUGGAGGCCUUUGUGUUUAUAAGUUGUUUUCGCUAAUAGAAGAUCCAAUUCAACGAUCCGUUCCAUAAAACAUGACCUACUAUGUUAGAAUUAUUUAGAAAUCAAAUUUUAUAAUAUUUUGACUUUAUUUACCUAGUGAACAAGUAGCUUCAAAAUGAACGACUAAAAAUAAAUGUCCUAUAAAAAACAGUGAUAAAAGACUUAAAUUUCAAAUCGGAAGUAUUAAUCUUACUCUCAAUUAUAAAUAAAAAUUUUUUAUUAAAAUUUCACCCAAUUUGUAUUGUUCUAUACCGUUGAACUUAUAAACAUGCCACAUCGAUCAUUAAAAUAGUUAUUUUUGAAACCCUUUCAUUACUUGAUAAAUAAUAUUGAAAAAUUAUAAAAUUUAAUUUCUAAAUAGUUGUAAUAGCAUAAAUUAUGCCUAGCAGAACCAAUCAUCGAAUUGGAUAUUCUAAUCAUCGAAAUCAAAUUACAAGCACGGAAACUUCCAUACAUUCGAAAGCACGAGAGACAUACUUUUAUAUAUAGAGAGUUGAGCUGGAAUGCUCUCUCAGUAGCAAAUAAGUUCCGUUGCUACCGAUUUAUUUUCGAUGAUGAUAUAGCUUCUAAAUCAACGAGUGGGAUCGUUGAAUAUGAUGUAGACUAUUUAAACUAUUCGAAAAUUAAAUUUCAAUAUUUUCAACAUUAUUGACCUAAUUAUAAAAAAAUUUCAAAAUUUGUAAUUUUAAUGGUUCAUAUUUAUAAGUUGUUUUCGAUUAUUAAUUUCAAUGCAUCAAUCCUAUUUGCGCCCACAAGUAACUGAAGAACCAACCAGGAAUAUGGAGAAAUUAACAUUGCAUUCAUAAAAAUUUGGCUUGUAAACCAUGAAAGUUAUGGCAAUAGUUAAAUAAGGAUUGGGUAGUUUCUUCUCCUGAUGAACCAAAGUGACAUCCAUAUAUAUUUUUUUCCCUAACCACUCUAAUUAUAUCAGCAUCUUAUCAACUCCCAGUUAAUAUACACCAGUCAAUAAUGGUCCACUUACAAUAAAAUGGAAAAUAAGUCUACGUCAAUCCUCAAAUCAUUUACCAAAACUAAUUAACCAAGCAACUCCCUCAUUAAUGUUUUACUACAUAUUUGAGCCUCGUAAGUAAUCAAUCCUAUAUAUACAGAUACAAAGCGAGAUCGAGAUAGAGGAGGGAGAAGAGAGGGAGCGAAUAAUUGAAAUGGGGUGGUUCGCCGCCUUCGUCGCAGAUGUCCUCUACAACGUAUUUAGCGGAGGCGAAAAACAACCUGAGUACUCUUUCUAUGGAUACAGCGACGUCCAUCCGAGGCAAAUCCAAUACGCGCCGAGCCCGAAGAGCAGCAACAGAUACAGCAGCGAGGAGAAGCGGAGGGACGAGAAACGCGUGAGCAGCAAGGUCGACUACUCCAAGACGGUCGUUGAGGAUUGGCACAUGAAGAGCCCCCACGUGUUGCAGCGGAGAACGGCUUACGAGGAGAGAGGGGUGGCGACGAGGACGUACAAGAACUCGAAAGGCAAGGACGUGGUGGAGCAGAAGCAGUACCGCGUGAAGAAGUACGAAGAGCACCAGCGGAGUCCGGCGCGGACGGGGAGCCGGCGGGGGAGCAAGCAUCGCUCUCGCGGACAGCACGAGAUUGCGUCGGCGUCGCGAGAUCACCGCAAGUAGGCGCUGAUUUACGUAAAAGAUCGAGUCGACAGUCAGCUGCAUGUUCUCGUGAACGUGUGGAUCAGUCAGCCUAGCCUAUUGUUAUUGUCAACAUAUCUCUUCUCCAUCUCUCCAUGUCUUAUGUAUGUUUGGUUUCUCAGAGAGUUUGUUGUGUGUGUAGCUGCAGUUGAAACUAAGUUAAUUCGUCGUAAUAUUAUGCUUGCAUGGCCUUGUUAUGCGUAAUUGAAGGACAUCAGCAUUGGUAAACACCAGCAAUGUACCCGCGCUUUGCUGCGAAUACGAUAGCUAGCUAUGUUCUUCAUAAAAUUUAUAAAAUAUAGUAUAUAUUUCUAUUAAAUAUAUUAUAUUAAAUACAUAUUUGUAUCAAUAUCUGAUUCCAAAAUAUAAAAUUUUGUUACAUAUAUAUUUUGUCUCUAGGUAUUUGAUAUAUCCCAUUUAGAUUCUUGGGGUUCCGGUAAACUUUUAAAAUUUGCUGAAGCAAAAAAAAAAAAAAAAAGUUUGUAAUAUACUUAUUUUUAGACCAGUUUGUCCACAAGAUACAUAUCCUCUUUUUGUGUUUUUUUUUAAAUUCAUAUUCUUCUAACUUCAUAUCCUCUUUUUGUGUUUUUUUUUAAUUGUUAUUUUUCUAAUUUUAUUGGGAUCAUUUUUGUCGAUUCAUGAAAGCAAUAUCGAGAAUUAAAAAUAUUAUGAUAAAAUAAAAGGUAGUUAUUCGAUUCGUAAGUUUUUAAUUUACCGACUUUAUAAUUAUUUUUAGAAUUUAUGAACAUAUAUUUAACUUUGUAAGAAAAUUUUUAAUUUUAGCAUAAUUAAGCACCAACGUGAAGAAAUUAGAUAUAAUUUGUUCUAAAAUUUUGGACUUUCAAUAGAUAAAUGACAAAGAAUAGAGGAGUGAGGAUCAAAAUGGCAACCUGAGAUGGGGGGUGAAUUAGGUUUCUAAAAUAAAAAUCCAAAUAAUCAAGCAAAUUAAAAAACCGAUGCAAAUAAAAGAAAUGCAAACUCGAAAGGCACACGAUCAAUUUGUUUCGAGGUUCGGCACUUUGCCUACGUCCCCGCCAACUUCUCAACACUCGAGAAUGUUGGAUCUCCACUAGAUGAUGCUUUUGCGGGCAAGCACCAAGCCUUCACAUCAACUCCUUCUUUCAAGCUUCAAGAGUUUGCUUUUCUCUCUUUUUACAAGAUUAAAUCUCACUACAAGUUUCACUCAAGUUUAGAGAGAGGAUUGAGAGCUAAGAGUAUUAAGAUCACUGAAGUUUUUAUGCUCAAAUGAACUAUCAAGUUGCUGUAGAGUGAGGCCUCAAUACCAUCUAUUUAUAGCCUCGGACAGAUCUGUCAGUUGUACUUUCGGGCGCCCACAAACUGUUUCCGGGCGCCCAGAAGUUUGUGCACGCCAGCUGCUUGUCGGACCACGUGGGCCGCUUUUCUUGACUUUGUAUGUUUGGGCCGUCAAAAAUUUGUGGGCGCCCAGAUCUCGAGGAACAGCUUUUCUGACACGCGCAGCUUUUCUUGACUUCGUAAGUUCUAGGCCGUCAAAAGUUGUGGGCGCACAGAACACGAGGAACCGCUUUCCUGACACGCGCCGCUUCCUCUGGAUUUGGGCCAUCAGAAAAUGUGGGCGCCCAGAUCUCGAGGGACAACUUUUCUGACAUGCGCCAUUUUUCUGGAUUCGAGCCAUCAAAAGUUGUGGGUGCCCAGAUCUCGUGCUGACUUUCUUGCCAGACAGCCCAGAUUGCGUGCGCCGCUGCUUCCGUAAAAUCUGGGCGCCCAGAUUUCGCGCCGCCUGUUGUCGCAACCUGUCAAGUCAAAUAGUCUUGGUGUUUCUGGAUCACCCGAACAGCAAACAGGCAGGAUCCAAAAGGUCUCAAAAGAUUCGGAUCAACUUUCGGGCGCCCAGAACAGGGUCCAGAAAUUGCAACUUUACAGAACACAGAAUUUGAGCAAUUUUUGAAUAUUUAAAAGUCCUUUUCACCUAAUCAUAAAUUUAGAAAUUUGUUUAAGUGAUCUAUAAGGUGAUAAGAUAAAUAGUUUAAACUUAACUCAAAGUUUCUCACUCUAAUCAUAAGCAUAAUAUUAAUCAAUUAAGAAUGGAGAGAGUGAGUUUGUCUAUUUGACAAAAGAAGCAAUACACAGCUUUCAACGCAGGUGAACUGGUGCCAGAAUAUUGCCCAUCUUAAAUCUUUUUGAAGAUAAAGAUCUAAAACAACAAGACUCAAGAUAAAAAAGGUAGUCCAAUAAUCGUGAUUAUUGUUACAUCAAAACAAUAGAUCGAUUAGGCCACAUGGCCCAACAAUCUCACCCUUUUUUGAUGAUCGACAAACUAAUUGAUAUAAUAUCCAAUGAAGAGAGUAAAAAGUAGAACCCACUUAUAUACAUAUAUUUAACAUGCAUAAAUACAAUCAUAGGCAUAAUAUAUAUCAAAAUAAAAAACAAGUAGGCAAAUGUCAAAUAAAGAAAAACGGAGAUUAACAUAAAAAACCAUAACAUAAUAAACCACAAGCAAUUAAAAGAGCAUAACUAAACCAUAACAUAUAUACAAAUCAGCAUAGCAAUCUCCCCCCAUACAUCACAAAAAAAAUCAUAAAAGUGGUAAACAUAAGUAAAUCACAUCAUCAUCGUCAUCCUCUUCAUCCGUCCUCAAAAAAAAAAAUGAUCCGUAGGCAACAAAAAAAAUAGUGAGGAAGGAUGGUCGAAAAAACAAAAAUGGGGUCCAUACGCGCAUAAAAGGCACUCGAAGGUCCAAAGAGGAUCAUGAUGGCCCCCCCCUUUUAAAAAAAAAAAACAAAAAACAAAUGUGCAUAUGUUCUUCCAUCCUAACAUGUCUAGUAAAAAUCUGAUUGAAAUCCAUAGGAGGAGUAGCAUAGGCGGAGGGCAUAGCAGGGGUGGCUCAAAGGGUUGGAGGAGAUGCUCGUGGCGGCGGCCAACCGUGGAGAAGGUGCUCGAAGGGGCGGCUCACUAAGGUAAGGAUCAUCUCGGCCGUCGUCAAUGGUCAUCGACCAUGCCGCAGGCGAAAUCAAUCACAAUGUUUCUACCCAAAGGCCAUGACGAUGUUUUCUGAAGCCAGAGGGAGGAAAGUGGCUGUAGACAAUGGCAGUGGGGUACUUCAUUCGGCCUUACUCCAAAAAGAUUAAAAUGCAUGAACUCAAGAACAGCGGUGAGCAAGAGCAAUGGAAGUAAAAAAAAAUGAUCGGCGACGGCCAUGUGCGAAUAAGAUAUCCAAAAUUACCCGAUCCCACAAAUAAAAGUAAGAAAAAUAUCCAUUUUUUGAACCAGCCGUGUGGAUGAACCGUAAAAACGCGAGGAAGAACUACUUUAUAUAUGCAAAAAAGUGGGCGAGGCGGUGAGGAAAGGAAAGAUGAGAGCAAUCUUCUCGGGAAAUAGAUUCUUCACAAAGAAAAUGAUUGCGGAGUUGCGCCUAAGAAAAUGCAGGAAGUUCCAAGUGUUGGUUUGGUAAUAGCAAACCCCGUCAUUAGGAAUGUUCAAAACAGUGUGAAGAAGGAUAGGAGUGAUGGCAAAAACACGUCCCCGAAAGUGGGAAGUAAUAGUAGUAUAUUCGGAAUUAAAAGUGGCAUUUGCAUAAAAAGUCCUAAUUAGAUCUGGAUAAAAUGGUCGCGAAUUUUGAACAAAGAAAUCCCAUCCAACUUGUGUGAGUUUAUCCAAAAGUUCAUAGCAAUCAAAAUUGAGAUAAUGAAUAUUACGGCAAGGUUGAACGGGACGACCUAAAAGAUAUUUAUCUUGAGCCUCUCUAGAUACAAAAUUAAAAGCAUCAAAAUCCUAAUUUUGAUCAUAUCUAUGUGAGGGAGAUUCUCUUCUAGAUGCAUUUUUAGUUCUAGGCAUUUUUUUUUUUUUGUGUUUAAUAAUCUGAAAGCUAGGGUUAGAAGAAAAAAAAUUUUAAAAUACAAGAUCUAGGAUGCAAUGGUAAAGAUCAUGGCAGAAGAACAGAUUAUGUUGCAUAAGAAAUUAGAAAAAAAUUUGGGGUUGACAGCAAAAAAAAAAAAAAGGAACUAGGGUUUUAUGCAAAAUAAAAAAAAAUGAGCAAGAUGGAAGAUUAGUGACAAGGUGCUUAGAUCUAAGAGAAAUAAGGUAGAUGACAAAGAUUAAGGUGCACAAAUGACAAGAAAUCACUGAUUGAGGAGAAUGUGAGAGGAGAUCUGAGUGCUGGAGAGGAUUUGGGCGGUUCUGAUGAGGUCUGGGCGCAAGAUCUGGGCGACCGGACGGAGAGGAGGAAGAAGAGGAGAAGAAAUAUGGAAAAUGGGGCUUGUCGGGCUGCUGGGGACGACAAGGGGGCCCGCUAGCGGGUUUCGGGCGCUCGUGCGGGUCGGCGAGGUCGCCCGGAUCUACAACCCGGAACCCGCCAGGGCGGUCAAACCGGCGCGGCGGUCAAAGCGGGCGCGUGUGCGGGUCGGAUCGGUCGCCCGGAUCCGGAACGCGGUAACCCGCCAGCACGGUCAAACCGGCAAGGCGGUCAAAGCGGUUUUUCAGGUGCGGGUGCGAACCGAGUGGUCGCCCGGAUCCGAAGCCCGUUAACCCGUUAGAUCGGUCAGACGGGGCACCGUGGUCAACGCAUGUUUCGAACGCCCGGAAAUUUUCGGGCGACCGGAAAUUUUCGUCCGGAAUUUUGCAAAACGAAAAGGUGUAUUCAAAAAUAAAAUUGCAAGGCAAACAUAACAGUCAAUCAAAAAGAGAAAAUCAAGCAGAUAAAUCAAUCAUUCCUAAUUCUCUUCUAAGUUGAGUGAACCUAUCCUCACCAAGUGGUUUAGUAAAAAUAUCCGCUAAUUGAUUACAAGUGUCCAAAAAUUCUAUAGUGACAUCUUCUUUUUGAAUAUGAUCUCUAAUAAAAUGAUGUCGAAUUUCAAUGUGUUUAGUUCUAGAAUGUUGAAUAGGAUUUUUAGAUAUGUUGAUGGCACUAGUAUUAUCACAUUUGAUUGGAACUUGUUUUUGAUGUACUCCAAAGUCCUCAAGGGUUUGUUUCAUCCAUAAAACUUGUGCACAACAACAACCUGCCGCGAUGUACUCGGCUUCGGCGGUUGAAAGUGCAACCGAAUUUUGCUUUUUCGAAAACCAUGAGACUAAGGAGUGACCAAGAAAUUGACAAGUCCCACUCGUACUUUUCCGAUCAACUUUGCAUCCGGCAAAGUCAGCAUCUGAAAAGCCAAUGAGAUUAAAAUUAGUGCCCUUGGGAUACCAUAACCCUAAGUUGAGAGUCCCUUUAACAUAUCUAAGAAUUCUCUUUACAGCCACUAAGUGUGACUCCUUAGGUUGAGCUUGAAACCGAGUACACAAGCAAACACUAAACAUAAUGUCCAGCCGACUUGCGGUAAGAUAAAGUAAACUGCCAAUCAUACCUCGGUAGAGUUUGAUAUCAACAUCCUUGCCUUUUUCAUCCUUGUCAAGUUUAGUUGAGGCACUCAUUGGAGUGUUCGUCUCUUUUGAGCUUUCCAAGCCAAAUCUUUUGAUUAGGUCUUUUGCAUACUUGGCUUGAUUGAUGAAUAUUCCAUCUUUCAUUUGUUUAACUUGGAGUCCAAGGAAGAUGAGAGCUCGCCCAUCAUGCUCAUUUCAAACUCAUUUUGCAUUAGCUUAGAGAAUUAUUUACAGAGAGAUUCAUUAGUAGCACCAAAUAUAAUAUCAUCCACAUAAAUUUGUACAAUGAGAAAAUCUUUAUCCUUAAUUUUGAUAAAUAAUGUGGUGUCAACUUUUCCUCUUGAAAAAUUAUUUGAAGUAAGAAAAGUGCUAAGUCUUUCAUUCCAGGCUCUAGGAGCUUGUUUUAAACCGUAAAGUGCCUUUGAAAGCUUAAAAACGUGAUCCGAAAAGUUAUGUUUUUCAAAACCGGGUGGUUGCUCAACACAAACUUCUUCGGAAAUAUAUCCAUUUAAGAAAGCACUUUUUACAUCCAUUUGAAAUAAUUUGAAAUUCAUAUAAGAAGCAAAUGCUAGAAGAAUUCGAAUAGCUUCAAGUCUAGCAACCGGUGCAAAUGUUUCAUCAAAAUCAAUUCCUUCAAUUUGGUUGAAACCUUGGGCCAUUAGUCUAGCCUUGUUUUGAACCACAACACCUGAUUCAUCUCGCUUGUUUCGGAAGACCCAUUUAGUGCCAAUAACGGUAUCAUCACUUGGUCUUUCCACAAGCGUCCAAACUUGGUUCCUCUCAAAUUGGUUAAGUUCUUCUUGCAUCGCAAUAAGCUAAUUUUCAUCAUUGCUAGCUUCAACAAAAUUUUUAGGUUCAAUUUGAGAUAUGAAAGCCAAGUGGUCACAAAGUAAUCUAAGAGAGAAUCUUGUUUUGACUUUUUGACUUGGAUCUCCAAUGAUGGAGUCCUUGGGAUGAUAAGUGGCGAAUUUCCACACUUUAGGUAAGGGAGUGGGUUCAACCUCUUUAGAGAUUAACUCCUCACUUUUCUUAGAUGGUUCAACUUCUUGGGGUGUGGAGUUUAUAUUUAGCUUCUCAAAGUCAAGAAGAUCAUCUUCAUAAGAAAGAUCCUUUCCCUUAUAUUCUUCUAAUCUCUACCUCCAAUUGUUGAAUUUUAAAAGUUGAAGUUUAGGAUGAAAUUAUGAACUUUUACUCCUGAGAAAUGAGUGCUUUCUCGAAUUUGUUCGAUUACUCUGUACAACAUCAGAGUAAGCACUUUUACUUCGUAAUUUCUUCUUUUAACUUCUAGAUUUAAAAUUCGGUUAAGAAGUAAUACUGUUUGUUGAACUUUUUGAAGUUCAACUUUUGGUUGUUGAGUUUCAAUCGAAUCCACUUUGAUUCUUUUGAGAACUCUUUAAACAACCUCCUUGGUUCAUAGAUUUAUACUACGAACCUUUAGUUCAACAUUUGAAGUUUUUCAAACCCUAUCCAAUACAAGGAUUAGGUUUGUUACAAUUCAACUGUUUUCGAUUCUCUUUCUAUGAACAAUUUUCAUGUCGAGUUUUGGGUUGAAACGUAACGAGGAUAACAUUAUAAUUUCCUGUAGUAUAUAGGAGAACGUUUAUAUUCUUCUUAGGAUUUGAAUUGGUUUAAACCCAACACUUUCCAAAUAGAUUGUGUUUUCCUGGGUUAAAGUGAACCCAUGGUUUCAAUUUUUGAACUAAACAAAAACAUCCACACAGAGGUUAGUUUUCCACGUUCACUGUUUACCAUGAAUCUAUCGCCUACGAGUUCUGUGUACUGAACCCUAGUUUGGUUCAAAUUUAGUUAACUUUACUUUCUACCUCCUAAACAGUGGAAACCUCUGUUGUGAUCUCCUUUCUAGUAACCUUAGCCGUGUUAGCCACUACUUUUCCAAUUGUAAAGGUUACAAGAAAAUCAACUACCGGAAUUUGUAUUAAAUGAUUCAUAAUCAGUUAAUACACUAUUUCCGAUAAAACAUUUUAAACUUCGUAGAGUAACAUCGUAGGAACUAGGAAGAUGUUUACUCCAUCGAAAAUACCCAAAAUCUAGGUUCUUACAAAUAUGGCAACUAAAUCCGUUUGAGAGUGUACUUCCACUUUUUACAAAAAGUCAAGUUUGAUUGCUUAGAACCGAAACCGUAUCUUCUAAUCGUGUACGAUUAUACCUGAGAGAAAGAUUUGAAAGGUUUUCUUUUGAACACUUUCCUAAUGGAUUUUAUCUGAUACGGUUUCCACUCCAAACAUUACGAACACGAGUUCGAUUCGUUCAUUUUAGUAGAAAAUUUGGGUUUUUACAACAGAGUUGUUGAUCCGGAAAUCUCAAUUAAGUAUACCUAGAGAAACCUGGUUAACUACAGAGAUCGGAACCACCUUCGUUGAUACAAAAACAUUAACAACUACUAAUGAGUUCUAAAUGAACCUGAAAUAAAAAUUCUGUGUUCAUACUAUGAAAAUUUAGGAAGUUCCUGAAACAGAUAGCACAAGUUUUACUUUUCUUAACGUAUUAAAAGUUUUAAUCUUCACUAGUACCUCCACUUAAGCUUUUAGUAUUGAAACUUCUCAAAACGUUACUUAACCCUUAUCUUGUAGUUAAACGAUGGGGAGCUUGUGGAGUUGUUUUACCCCAGCAACUCGCGUUUUUAUCUAGAGAGGUUCUUUACCGAUCUAGAUACAAUUAACUCCCCCUCAACGAAUUUAUAAAAACCCGGCUUCGGCAUUUGUGCCGAACGAUAUAAUACUUAGCACAAGAUUAAGCUGGUUAGGAACUCUUUUGAGGAAAGCUUAAUACCGUAUUAUCUUGAGGGUUAUAACCGAUGAAGUUUUAAAAACCAACGUUUACAAAGUAAAAUUUGUGUUUUCUGUUCAACCCUUUCAAACUACGAUUUAGGCUACUUCGAUAUAAGAACCCAAUAAGGAGAUGAUCAUUUCGAAUAGCUCACAUAUUAGCUGCUUGAAAUUAGUAUCUCCUUUCAUACGUAUAAGAAAAANNNNNNNNNNNNNNNNNNNNNNNNNNNNNNNNNNNNNNNNNNNNNNNNNNNNNNNNNNNNNNNNNNNNNNNNNNNNNNNNNNNNNNNNNNNNNNNNNNNNNNNNNNNNNNNNNNNNNNNNNNNNNNNNNNNNNNNNNNNNNNNNNNNNNNNNNNNNNNNNNNNNNNNNNNNNNNNNNNNNNNNNNNNNNNNNNNNNNNNNNNNNNNNNNNNNNNNNNNNNNNNNNNNNNNNNNNNNNNNNNNNNNNNNNNNNNNNNNNNNNNNNNNNNNNNNNNNNNNNNNNNNNNNNNNNNNNNNNNNNNNNNNNNNNNNNNNNNNNNNNNNNNNNNNNNNNNNNNNNNNNNNNNNNNNNNNNNNNNNNNNNNNNNNNNNNNNNNNNNNNNNNNNNNNNNNNNNNNNNNNNNNNNNNNNNNNNNNNNNNNNNNNNNNNNNNNNNNNNNNNNNNNNNNNNNNNNNNNNNNNNNNNNNNNNNNNNNNNNNNNNNNNNNNNNNNNNNNNNNNNNNNNNNNNNNNNNNNNNNNNNNNNNNNNNNNNNNNNNNNNNNNNNNNNNNNNNNNNNNNNNNNNNNNNNNNNNNNNNNNNNNNNNNNNNNNNNNNNNNNNNNNNNNNNNNNNNNNNNNNNNNNNNNNNNNNNNNNNNNNNNNNNNNNNNNNNNNNNNNNNNNNNNNNNNNNNNNNNNNNNNNNNNNNNNNNNNNNNNNNNNNNNNNNNNNNNNNNNNNNNNNNNNNNNNNNNNNNNNNNNNNNNNNNNNNNNNNNNNNNNNNNNNNNNNNNNNNNNNNNNNNNNNNNNNNNNNNNNNNNNNNNNNNNNNNNNNNNNNNNNNNNNNNNNNNNNNNNNNNNNNNNNNNNNNNNNNNNNNNNNNNNNNNNNNNNNNNNNNNNNNNNNNNNNNNNNNNNNNNNNNNNNNNNNNNNNNNNNNNNNNNNNNNNNNNNNNNNNNNNNNNNNNNNNNNNNNNNNNNNNNNNNNNNNNNNNNNNNNNNNNNNNNNNNNNNNNNNNNNNNNNNNNNNNNNNNNNNNNNNNNNNNNNNNNNNNNNNNNNNNNNNNNNNNNNNNNNNNNNNNNNNNNNNNNNNNNNNNNNNNNNNNNNNNNNNNNNNNNNNNNNNNNNNNNNNNNNNNNNNNNNNNNNNNNNNNNNNNNNNNNNNNNNNNNNNNNNNNNNNNNNNNNNNNNNNNNNNNNNNNNNNNNNNNNNNNNNNNNNNNNNNNNNNNNNNNNNNNNNNNNNNNNNNNNNNNNNNNNNNNNNNNNNNNNNNNNNNNNNNNNNNNNNNNNNNNNNNNNNNNNNNNNNNNNNNNNNNNNNNNNNNNNNNNNNNNNNNNNNNNNNNNNNNNNNNNNNNNNNNNNNNNNNNNNNNNNNNNNNNNNNNNNNNNNNNNNNNNNNNNNNNNNNNNNNNNNNNNNNNNNNNNNNNNNNNNNNNNNNNNNNNNNNNNNNNNNNNNNNNNNNNNNNNNNNNNNNNNNNNNNNNNNNNNNNNNNNNNNNNNNNNNNNNNNNNNNNNNNNNNNNNNNNNNNNNAAGAAGGAGUUGAUGUGAAGGCUUGGUGCUUGCCCGCAAAAGCAUCAUCUAGUGGAGAUCCAACAUUCUCGAGUGUUGAGAAGUUGGCGGGGACGUAGGCAAAGUGCCGAACCUCGAAACAAAUUGAUCGUGUGCUUUUCGAGUUUGCAUUUCUUUUAUUUGCAUCGGUUUUUUAAUUUGCUUUAUUAUUUGGAUUUUUAUUUUAGAAACCUAAUUCACCCCCCCUCUUAGGUUGCCAUUUUGAUCCUCAGUCGCAACCUGUCAAGUCAAAUAGUCUUGGUAUUUCUGGAUCACCCGAACAGCAAACAGGCAGGAUCCAAAAGGUCUCAAAAGAUUCGGAUCAACUUUCGGGCGCCCAGAACAGGGUCCAGAAAUUGCAACUUUACAGAACACAGAAUUUGAGCAAUUUUUGAAUAUUUAAAAGUCCUUUUCACCUAAUCAUAAAUUUAGAAAUUUGUUUAAGUGAUCUAUAAGGUGAUAAGAUAAAUAGUUUAAACUUAACUCAAAGUUUCUCACUCUAAUCAUAAGCAUAAUAUUAAUCAAUUAAGAAUGGAGAGAGUGAGUUUGUCUAUUUGACAAAAGAAGCAAACACAGCUUCAAGAGGUGAAGCUUGGUGCCAGAAUAUUGCCCAUCUUGAAUCCUUUUUGAAGAUAGAGAGAUCUAAAACACAAGACUCAAGAUAAAAAGAUUAGUCCAAUAAUCGUGAUUAUUUGUUAUCAUCAAAAUCUAAUAGACGAUUACGGCCAACAAGGAGUAAUCUAAUUAGUUUAAUAGUUGGUAGACAAUGAAGUAAACUAAUUUAGAAAAAUAGCUUAAAAUUUUAUAUAGUUUCGGAUUUAAAAUUUAAAUUUUAAUGUUGAGAAUUUGAAAAUAAAUUAAAAUUUCGAUAUCCAAAAUUUAAAAUUUUAUAAUAUAUAUAUAUAUAUAUAUAUCAUUGAACUCCUAUGCUUUUAAAAGUACGAAGUCAUUAGUACUUGUAAAUUUUCGGCCAUUGGAUUAAAGAAUGUGUGGUUAGGAUGAUGUGGGCCCCUAGGGUUAAGUGGAUGGUUGGUUGAAUAGUAUAAUCUAACGGAUAAAAAUGAUCAAAGGUGUAGAUCUAACGGUAAAAAAUUUGCAAGCAUCAAGUGCUUGAUGCUUUUACAACCACCAUGCCCAUCAAGUGCUUGGUGUUUCAAUUUCUCUUCUUCUUGAAUUUCUCUUUAAUAUCUCCUCCUUCUCUCAUUCUAAUCACCCAUCAAACUUGAUGGGUGGUUAGAAUGUUAGGAGCACAAGGGCUGCUGUGCUCCUGAGUCCUAAUAACACAGUAGCCCUACUAUAUAUAUAUAUAUAUAUAUAUAUAGGUUUCUAUGCUUUCGAAAGUACCGAGGCCUCCAUGCUUGUAAGUUGUUUUCGAUGAUGGGACGUUCGAUUCUGCGAUCAGUUUCGUUAGACAUGAUCAACGUUAUUGGAACUAUCUAAAACCAAAUUUUAUAAUUUUUUGACUUCAUUCGUCUAGUAAACGGGUAGCCUCAAAUUGAACGGCUGAAAAUAAAAAUCUCAUAAAAAAUAGUGAUAGCAGCCCACUAUCACUAUAUAUAUAUAUCGUCUAGUAAACGGGUAGCCUCAAAUUGAACGGCUGAAAAUAAAAAUCUCAUAAAAAAUAGUAAUAGCAACCCACUAUCACUAUAUAUAUAUAUAUAUAUAUAGAGUAGGGCUGCUGUGCUCUUAAGAGCACAGCAGUCUCUGUACUAUAAACUUCUCCACCCUCCAUCUAUCAAGAUGAAGGGCUUAGAUUUAAACCCCACUUAAAAGGCUUCACUGUGUUAAGCCCGUUAAAGUUAACAGAUCACUACUCUCUCUCUCCUCUUUUCUUUUCUUUUCUUUUUUUUUUUUCCCUUCUCCUCUCCCCCCAAUCUCUCUCCCUCUCCUGUGGACCACCGCGGUUCAUCCGUUCGCCGCCGCCGGAGAAGAGAUUAUCCUUUAAAGGUACGCUCUUAGCCGAUUCCCUCCCCGAUCUGCCCUCGCCUGAAAAAACGUCGCCACCCCGCCUGAACCCACCACCCCCGCCCCCGCCUGAAGCUUCCGCGUCCCUAUGUUGGUAGGCACGGCCAACCUGCACACAGCCAGCCCCCUAGGUGCGACCACCCUCUCACCCCCUCCUCGCGCACGCGCUGGUGCGCCACACCCCCACCACCCACUCUUCCCAACCUGGAAGCAAAAAAAAAAGAAAAAAGAAAAAAAAAGAGAGAAAAACCCUGUGCUAUCAAUCCCCUUCCCCCGUCGCGUGCGCGCGCGCGCUGGAGAAGGGAAAAAAAAAAAAAGAACAGAAAAGAAAAAGAGAGAGAGAGAGUAGUGAUUGCUGUUAACUUUAACCGGCUUACACAGUGAAGCGCUUUUAAGUGGGUUUAAAUCUUAAGCCUCCAUCUUGAUAAUGGAGUGAGAAGUAAGAAUUUAUAGUAGCAGGAGACUGCUAGUGACUCUUACUAGAGCACAGCAGCCCUACUCUCUCUCCUCUCAUAUAUAUAUAUAUAUAUAUAUAUUAUAUAUAUAUAUAUAUAUAUAUAUAUAUUAUAUAUAGUAAUAUUAUAUUAGAAUAGGCUAGAAUACCUAUAAUAGCCACGCAAUGACUUGUGCUAUAAGUUUUCCGCCUUGGAUUAAAAGAUGUUGCUGGUUAGAUUGAUGAGUGGGCUCCCCUAGAGUUGAAAGUGAGGUGGUUUUGGUUAAUGGUAUAAUCUACCGGGUAAAAUAAUUAAAGGAGUAAUCUAACGACAGAAAACUAUAGCAUCAUAGUGCUUAGGCUAAUCGAUAGCAUAAGCAGUCGAACUCAUAUAUAAUAUAUAUAUAUAUAUUAUAUAUAUAUAUCUAUAUAUAUAUAUAUAUAUUAUAUAUAUAUAUAUAUAUACUAUUAUAUAUAUAUAUAUAUGAGUUAGGUUUUAUCUUUCGAAAAGUACGGGAGCCUCCGUACUUGUAGAUGUUUUCGAUAAUGGACUUCGAUUCGGCGAUCAGUUCCGUUAGACAUGAUCUGACGCUGUGUGGAACUACCUAGAACCAAUUUCAUAUAUUUUUUUGAUUCGUUUGUUUAGUAAACGAGUAGCUUAAAAUGAACGGCUGAAAAAAAAAUCUCAUAACAGAAUAGUUAUAAAGGAUUCAAAUUUCCAAAUCAGAAGAUUGUCUUACUAAUUGAAUGUUAAGUAGAAUUUCUUAUUAAUAUUUUCAUGCUACUUUGAUACUUCUACACGCUUCGAUACCAACAUACGUGCCAACAUCGGCCAUUAAAAUAGUCUAUUUUGAGACAUUUUGAUCGCUUGGUAAAUGAUGUCAAAAAAUAUAAAAUUUGUUUCUAAAUAGCUCCAAUAAGUAGAUUAUAUUUACGGAGCCGAUCGUCUAAUCGGCAUUCCUUAUCAUCGAAAACAAUUAAGCACAGAGGUCUCCGCUACUUUUCGAAAGUAUAGGAAGAUCCUUCUUAGAUCAUCCUUCUCCUGUCAUCCAUACCUCCUCUUCAUCUCUCUCUCUCUCAUCUCUCUCUCUAUUAUACUUAUAUAAUAUAUAUAUAUAUAUAUUAUAUAUAUAUAUAUAUAUAUAUUAGCAAGGGCUUGCCUGUGCUCUUAAGCAGCCACAGGCAGCCUACUCUAUAUAUAUAUAUAUAUAUAUAUAUAUAUAUAGUUGAGCUAGAAUGCUAUCGGUAGCAAACCGGCUUUGUUGCCACUCAUUUGUUUUCGAUGAUGGGGUCUUUAAAUUGACGAUCGGCACCGUUGAACAUGAUCUAUACCACUUGAAGUAUCUAGAAACCAAAUUUCAAAUCUUUUCGACAUCAUUAAUCUAAUGAUCAAAGAGUUUCAAAAUUUGUAAUUUUAAUAGUAGAUAUGAGGCGUUUUCUCGUUUAACGGUGUAAAGCUAUCCAAAUCAAUUGAACUCUAGUUAGAAAAUUCUUUAAACUAUUUAGAAUAAGAACUAUACUCUCAAUCUUGAUUACAAAAUUCCUAUCAUCACUUUUUAGAGGAUAUUCAUUUUCAGCCGUUCAUUUUUACGCCCACUUGAUGGACAAGAGAACAAUAUCGGAAAAGCAUGAAAUUUGAUUUCUAGAUACUUCAAGUGGUAUAGAUCAUAUUCAAAGGUGCCGAUCAUCGAUUUUGAAGCUCCAUCAUAAAAAACAAAUGGGUGGCAAUGGAGCCCGUUUGCUACUGAUAGUAUUCUAGCUCAACUCUAUAUAUAUAUAUAUAUAUAGUAGGGUUAGGCUUCCGAAUCGACGAUCCACUCCGUUAAAUAUGAUCUAGAGUAUUUGAAACUUUUAAAAAAUAAAUUUCAUAACUUUUCGAAAUUAUUAUAAAGUCCAUCAAACGGGCAUAAAAUGAACGGUCAAAAUCGAAUGACGUCCUAAAAAUGGAUGAUCGGAUCCUUCAAUUUAAGAUCAGAAUUAUUAAUCUCUAUCUAGGUAGUGAAUAGAAUUUUCUAUCAAAAAUUCAAGCUAUUCCAACUCUUUAUACCGUUAAACUAGCAAGUAUCUCAUACCAGCCGUUAAAAUUUGUCAAUUUUGUGAGCUUUUAAUUGUAAGGUAAAUGAAAUCGAAAAAUUAUGAAAUUUGAUUUCUAGAAGUUUUAAAUACUCUAGAUAAUGUUUAACAGUAUGGAUCGUCGAUUUGGAAGCUCUAUCAUCGAAAACAACUUAUGAGUACAAGGGCGAUCGUACUCAUAAUAAAAGUAUAGUAGCCAGACUCUACAUAUAUAUAUAUAUAUAUAUAUAUAUAUAUAUAUAUUUAUUUAUUUAUUUAUUUAUUUAUUAUAUAUAAGUAGGGAGAGAGAGGAGGGGAGAGUUAUGGAGGACACCUGUCAUCUCCCAAACCCUCCUUUAAUGUAAAAAAAACAACAAUGUAUAGAAAUAGAACAGAUGCACCUAAGAUUUUCCUAUAGACCAUAUAUAUGUCUACAAUCAACGGUCUAUGGUGCACCGGAUGAACCGAGUAGUUGAGCCGGACACAUGUCAAUAAAAAAAGAAUACCCCCAAGCACUUUAAUAUAUAGUAAAGUAAUAAUAGAUUUGGCAACUUUUAUGAAAAUUAAUAUUCGACGAUGAAUUAGGGUCUGCUUGGUACUUUAGAAAAUAGUAGAAAAUUAUUAUCUGAAGAAUUUUUUUUUUGGAAAAUUUUUUUUUUCUAAUUUUUGUUGUUUGGUUCGACUAAAAUACAAAUAUUCUCAAGGUCAUUACAAAAGAGUAUACGGUCCCACGCACUUUAGCCGCACCGUCCCUUUGUUAGGUAAAUUAAAUGAAGUUUGAUGCAUCACCUGAUUGAAACAGAUAUUACGGUUCAGUAGCUUAAUUGCAUAGAAGUUUGGUGAAUGGUGACUCCAGUGAAAGCUCGUGACAAGUUCACUAACUAAGGGUGUAAUUUGCACCUCUUUCAUUGAAAACCGAAGUCCUAACGUAACUCAGAAAACUAAAUAAGAAAAAUGUGCCAUGUCCAUAGUUAAUUCGGAUUCGACAAAAAUUCGGUACGGAUAUAAUUCGAAUAAAAUUCGUAUCGCAAUCUUUAAAUUCGUUGAAAAAUACACCUUAAAAAAUAGAUUUGCCAAUUAUUCGGAUACGCAAUUUAUAUGAAAACUAUACGUUCACCAAUUAAAAAUUUAGGAUAAAAAAUCCGGCUAUUAAACUAAGCUUGUUUCCUCUAACUUUAUACUACUAGCAUACAUAACUAUAAAUUCUUAAAAAUAUAAAAAUAGAGAUUUACAAAAUAAAGUAGAUUAAGUAAAAAAAAUAAUAGCAAAUUUUAUUGCCAUCUCCAUCUUUAUCUUUUUCAUGAUCCACAUAUUACGAAAGUUCAUAAAAUUUUUCACUAAUUCGUAAAUAAUUCGGCAAUAAUUCGAAAAGGGAUUUUAUUCAAAAAUUUUGUGCGUUUUUUUGGCCCAAUAGUUCGACAUACGCGAAUUAUUUACGAAUAAUAAAUCUAACCCAAAAAUUUGCGUUUUAUUUCGAAUUUUUGGGAAUAAGUCGCAUACGGACUGUUUUAUUUAGAUUUUUAAUAAUUCACAAAUAAUUCGCGAAUUAACUAACUAUGGUCAUGUCAGCCCAAUAAAUGUUCUGAGAGAGCAUAUUGAUAGAAUGAGACUAUGAUCUACUAUAAAACAUGCAAAGAAAGACAGUUCAAUUGCCAUCCCCUACAGUCAACAGACCUUCUCUAAUUGCAUGCCAGCCUAGUAAGUUUUGUAAUUAAAAGUUUAUCAUGUAAAACACAAGAUACCACAAAAAUUCACCAUUAAAUGAAAUCACAAACUUUUGAUGAAUUUUAAAACUUGGCUAGGCACAGGAAUAUUACUUCACCAUGUGAAUAUAUACCAGAAGCAAAUAAAUGAUUAUCCAAGGCUACUAAAGUGUUGGAAACUAAAAUAUGUAUCCUUUGAUCCCUUCUGCGCCAGAGGAAUCUUAAAGUAAAUAACAUCUUAUAUUAGAGUGAUUGCGCGCUAAGAAAUAGCAAUGCUUCGGUUACAAAAAUAAUAUUAAAAUGCCUAUACAGAAGGAGUCAGGAUUACGUCAAACCUCAUUUUUAUUGUCAGCCUCCUCAGGAACCUGGACAUGAACGAAAAAGAGGGUGACAAAACCUGUCUUUUGUUCAAAUUUUUAAGGAAAAUAAACUCCUGCAGAGUAGAAGUUCGUGCAACUUACUUUUCCAAAUAUAUCAACAGAUGAUCUUCUUAAUUGCAUCCUCUUAAUCAUUCUGCUUGUGUCUCUCAUGUAAGCACUUACUUGAUCACUAAUUUUCUGAGCACAUUUAGGAAAGAAGAAUACGUAACUCAAAUGUGCCAAAAUCUUAAAUAAGCUGCUGUUAUAUAAAACAGAUGAAUAGAGUGAGGAACCUGAUUAAAAGCAUGCAAUUUGCCUCAGAAAGCAGCAGCGCCAGUUCUCACUUGUGUCUUCCUCUGCCACUUGUCUACUUCAUUAUUUCUGAAUGGUGCAAUUCUGCCAAUUGACACAGAUAAGUAUUCAGUUAUUUAGCUAAUCUUCUGUUUGUUUCUUCAAAUUUAGCAGCUACAGGGAUGGACUAGCAAAAAACGGCAAUACAUUUUUUAGCAAUUUUACAUAUAAAAUUGCAAGAUACAGAACAGCUUAUUUUAGCAGCACUUUACUCAAAAAUAUAAAAUUGCUUGACAAGGUAAUUGUUCAACUAGAAUACACAGUAGAACUAAAUGAGAAGAACAACUGUUGCAUUUUACUAUAUCUAUAAUUAAGCAUCAAUAUUCCGCAAGCUUGUUACAAGAACAUGUAAUUUGUUGAGAAGAAAAUUCUAAUAAAAACAAAAGUGCACAAGCAAAGAUGUGAAAGAUGUAAAUAAUGCAGCCCACAUAGAACCCAACAUACUGUAGAUACUUUGCAAAUACAGCAAAAGUGCCAUUGAAUUUCUGGACCUUGGAAGGGAAACUAGAUUUAAUGGCAUCACUAACCAUGCUUUAAGAAGAUAAAAAGGAAAAAAAAAAUAAAAAAUCAGGCUGCUUAUAAAAGCUAUAUUGUAAAAUACUACUGACAAGUUACUUUCUUUUUGUUCAUUCUCAUGAUCACAUUUAUUGCUGAAACAUUGGAAGUAAAUCUGCGGCCGAAAUAGAACCAGGGCACAUGGAAAAAUUCAAUGAAAUUAGAAUUAAGAGCAUGUUUGGUUUGAAGGAUUUGAGGCUUGGAGUGGUAAUCAGACUGAUCCAUUCCCAUUAUUCGUGUUUGGAUUGAGGGAUUGGCAUUUCAAUUCCCAUUCUGAGGGAAAUCGAAUCCCCCAAAAUGAUUUCCCCAUAGAGGUGGAAUCAACUUUGAUUCCGGAAGGGAUUGAGAAAAAAACUUUUUUGUCAAUACGAAUUAUUUAAAUUCAAGUAUUAAUCUAUAUAUUUAAUUUUAAAUUAUACUUUUUAUAUUUGAAUUUAUAUUACAUAUACAAAUUUCAAUUUUUAAUUUCUUAACUUCAAGUUUAAAUUAUAAUGGAAGUUUGCUAUUUAAAUUUGGUCCUAAAAUUAAAUUUUGACUUUGGACUUGAAUUUAAAUUGUAAGUUCGAAUUUUAAGUUCAAAUUAUUAGUCCAAAUUUGGAUUUAAAUUUUGAUUACGAAUUUGAAUAGUACAUUUAAAUUUUAAUUAAAAUUUAAUUGUUUUGAAUUUCAAUUUGGAGAUGAUUUCCAUUCCAAUUCCUCUCAUGGACCAAACAAAUUAGGCUUUUUAUCAUUCUGCUUACGAUUCUGGUCCAUUACUAUUCCUAUUCUAAUUUCGAUUCCCAUUUGAAUCAAAUGUGCCCUAAUAAAGUCCACAGGGAUUGGAUGGAGGACAUACUAAACUUUGAACAUUUUAGUUUAUGUGCCUAAUUAUGCUCAAAAGAGAUGUGGAAAAUAUGAUUAGAGGCCAUAAACAAAGUCAGCAAAUGCAAUAUGAUCCUUGGACUAAUCAAAUAGAUACCUUUAAAACUUAAGUACAAGCAUUAUGCAAGGCGAGGCAAUGUACUCUGCUAUUAGUUAGAGAACUGAAUGCAUAAGAGAGAUCAGAUAAGAAUCAGUUUUAAGAUGAAGUAGCCAAAAGUUAAAUAGCUUUACACAAUAUGAUCACUUCAGAUGGUAUAGCUGUAUACAACAUAAAGAUGUGAAUGCAAUCACGAAAGAAAGGGAAUCCUACUAGGUGAUGUGAAAAGAAGUAGCAAGCUCAAAAGUUAUCCGGCUAUUUGGGAAUAUUCAAGCUGCAAAAAAAUUGCAGGAAAAGAGAGACAAAAUAAGAUUACCAGAAAAAAAGAAAAAAAAAUCAAGGAAACAAACUUCUCUUUUCUUUUCCUUUCCUUUCUUUUUUGCUUUUGUUUUUUUACUAAUAUGAUAGUGUCCUCUUUAUGGAAUAUUAUGGCUGCACUGAAUCAAAUGAAGCAUUACUGCUUGCAAGUUAUAGGAGUAGGAGACAGAAACAUCAGAUUCAUUUCUACCAUAAAUAAUGUUUGAGGUCUCAGUUCAGAACUCCAGAUUUCGAGUGUCAAACCCAUUCCAGAUAUCCUCUAUCAGGCACAAAAACAAUAACCUAAUUGUGUAUCAAAACCAAGAUAAACAAAAUAUCUGGUCUAAGAUUCUAACUAUUAGAAUGACAUAUAGCUUAUCAAAUCAAGUUUCCUUCAUUAAAAUGAGAAUUGAUCAAACACAACAAUAUAAUCCUUAAAUUUUAGUGUGAGGUGCAUGCAAGAUGGUAAAGAUUGUUGUGCCGUGAUCACAAUAACCGAGUGAAGAAAGGCAAUCUUGACAUGCCAACCUGAAGCAAUUUAAUACGAGAGAAACAUAGGGGACCCUUAUUAGGGAUGGCUUAAUUAAAUAAGACCUAUUAGGGAUGGCUUUAUUAAAUAAAAAUAUAUAGUGGCUUGUCAUGCAAAUUCUAUUCUCUUCCUAUUAGUCUCUAAAGUCUCUCCUUAUAUCACUAUAAAAAGGCAUUUUUCUUGACAAACAGUAGGUAAUUGUAAAAAAUCACCCACCCAUGUUUCCUCCUUUGCAACAGAUAUCCUGCUUCUAAAACACAGGCAUUAUUUUCUGGAUGUUCAUUAUCAAAAUUGUAUCAUAUUUACUCUAUCCAAGUGCACUUGCACAUACUACUUUGCCACUAUGCAUACAUCUUGACACAAUAGCAAUUCUUAUAGACUCCAUCUAAUCCAAUCUUUGCUUCCCUAUUCCAUCAAUAAAUAAUUUGAAAAGAAAAAUUCCUAAUUACAUAUGUAUUCAGUUUAAAGCAAAAAAACUAUAAAAUUCAUAAGAAAUUAUAGCUUAUGGUAAUAAAAUUAAUCAAUAUAACAUUCAUCCUUGUCAGAUUUUUUGCUGUCUGCUAGAUCAGAAGAAAAGUAAUAAAAGUAAUCAAUAGAUUCCACAGGGAAAUCUUAAAAGAUCUAAACUAAAAAUGAAUAAAAUUAAGUACAUUUCACAUUGCAAAGGGCCAUGAAUCAUAGAAGAAAUUCACCAUCGCAAACUAGUAAUUCAUAAGCUAUAUACAGAGAAGUUUGAUCUAACGAAAGAACUUUGACUAGAUGAGAAUCAUCCAAAAAGUUAGAGCUAAUCUUUACAAUUAAGCCAUAACACAAGCAUGCAAAAAUCGUAUUAGAGCUCUCUUCGAUAAUAAGAUCUGCCUAAUAAAGCUUAUAGAUAUAGUAAGCGCAUAUUAGGUGCAUUGCUAAGCUUUCAUGCAAGAGAAACGUUCUGCAGCCAAAACAAAAUAAAUGAAUUCUCAAGCAUGCCUAGUUAAAGUAUUAAAAUUAGAAGGCUUAACAAGUAAUUCAGAUCAUACCAUUUGUGCUGCGAGUAAUAGAAAGAUUCCUCUCAAGCAAAGCCUAUUAGCAGUAUUCCAAACCAUAAAUACAAUUAUAAUUAAUAUAAACGAUCAAACAAAAUUUCAUAAUGUAAAUAUUCAACAAAAAGAAAAACCAGUGAAGCAACACAAUUAUACCUCUUGCAGCUCCAACAUAAUUUAAAGUCUGUUUGGAUGACUGUAUGAGAUCCGAAUAUGCCUGAUUUACUGCUAUAUCCGAACCACAAAAUGUAGACCUAAAGGGUUCCGGAGGCAAGCCAAAAGAAAAAUAUAACUACAAGCCAAUAAACAAAAUUAAAUGACAUUAAACAAAUAAGAAAAUCAUAAGGCAUUAUUCAGAGCAAAAUCUUUGAAAAAUCAUACCUUCGGUAAUCUAUUUCACCUUGCAAAUGCUUUCUGCAGUAAGAAUCUGAGCUCCAAAGAUUUGUCCCAAAGUGCCUUUAGUGACAUGAUGUGCAAUUUCCAAUGAGUACUUAUAAAUUUAACUAAGUAAAAGCUUAAACUAUUAUGUUUUGUUCAAGUAAGGUAAAAAAUGUACAGCCUCACAAAGAUUCACUAAUAGAAGAACUUUAUGUACAUGUUGUAUAAUUCUACUGGCUGACAAUGCAUAAAGAAAAGUUCCAUUUGCUGCCAAAUAUUAUUGACUAUUCUAAAUUAGUUAUUUCCAAACAUAACCCCAUCCAGUUCAAUAGUCAUCUAUCACUUUAUUUUCUCUUCAUUUUCAUUUGUCUAGUUUAGCAGCACUGAAAGGCGAGUAAAAAAACAAAAUAUGGAAAAGUCCCACCGGUGUUGAAAACAUGACAACAACAGUUAAUACUUCGCCGGGUUUUUUUAAUUACUACGGAGACAGAAGGAAAGCCGAAAAUAAGAAAAGAAAGCAACAGCAAAUAAAAUAAGAGCAAAUUAGAUUAAGUGCACUAGGAAAGAAAUUAAUGGUUCUAAUAUUGAUUGUUACAAUUUGGAGACUCGAUACAUUCUACACGACCAUAACAAUGCAAAGCAAGGUCAAACACUAAGGGAGAUAUAACAACAGGAGUUGCAAACUACAGUAAAAUAACAAAAAGAAAUUUGAAGAAAAGUCAAGUUACCCUUCUAGUUACAGAAUUACUUCCUUCAAAUUUGCCUACAAUAUCUCUUUUGUUUCAUGUUCAUUAACGAACUAAGUUCUCAAGUUUGAAUGCCCUCGGGACUUAAAGAAUAUCAGAAAUAACCAAUACUAUUAAAUGAUAUGUUAACUGAGGAAAACUUGGAAAAUGAAAACCAUUAUGAUGAAAAUUUUCAGAUAGCAAUUACUGAAAUCAUUUAACUGGUUUCGAUAUGAAAUUAUGAAUUGACUUUCUCAAGACUGAAUUAGGGGGGAAAAAAAUUGAAGGGAAGUUAGAUUUGAGCAAAAAUAAUAUAGGAACAAGUUUUUUGUAAAGUUAUCCAGAGUUCUACAAGAUUGAAUUGCUGUGUAAUCCAUAUAUACCUAUUCAUAUGCAAUGCACGAUCUUAUUUAGCAUAUCUUAGUCCAAAAACUGCUGCAGGUAAAAUCUUCUAAAAGGCAAGCAGCAUAGGAAAGUAUCACUAUCUCGGUACCUUUUGGUUCUUCACUGCCCCACCUUUUAGAGCAUCUUCACCAUUGUGGCGUGUCAAGUUCUUCAAAAGAUUUCUAAAUGGCAAAUCAUGGAAAGAUUCAGAGUGUUAUACUAGUUAGACAUAACGAACAAAAUGAAGUAGCCAAGAACAAACAAUAAUUAUAGAAUUCUUUUACUUGGAAGCAAAUAAGUUCCAAGAAGAAACAAUGAUGAUAUGUUGGACAGAACAGUAAAAGGACAGGAUAACUACAUUAACCAUUGUUAAAGCAUCACAGUGUACUCCACCUAAGUAAAAUUUCAUGUACCAUAGCAGAAAAUUGUGCCCAUAGUACUUAACAUGAUUAUGGAGUAACUAAAUCCCAAUCUAUGUAAAAAUCAUAUUACAUGCACGCAAUAUAAAAAGAGUGUGAAUAAUAUGUUUCCACAACCCACAUUAGAAAUUAGAAUUCAAAUAGCAAUUCAGAUGUAUGAACACAUUUUGCUAACGCUUAAGGUCAGAAAAUGAAAAAAUUACUCUCUUUAAACUAUUUAUUUGUACUGCAUAAGCAUAUUUCUGGUAAAGAUAAUAAAAAGUAAUUGCCACUUCAAAGGUGAACAAUUGCAAGAAAGAAAAAACCCACCAUACAUCAUCUUUCAUUUUAAAUCCACGUUCGAACAUUUGCAAGAAAGAAAAAACUCACCAUAUAUAAUCUUUCAUUUUAAAUCCACAUUCCACAAGCUGUUUGUGGCAAUUUAAGUUAGCUAUAUAAAAUAUUUUGUCAAUUACAGAUACUCAUAUCAAUUGUUGCGACAUUCAACUUGAACAAAUAAUGCAAAAGUUUAUAUGAAAAUUGAACAAAUAUUAUGGAGAUGAGGCUUUAGAGGAGAUCAAAUUGGUGGAAAGGGAUAGGGAGGAUAAUGGUGGAGGAGGGAAAGGGUUCUCUCUUUUGAGCUAAGAGAGAAUGAGAGACAGAGUAAGAGAGGGUACUUAUAAACAACUAUGCUCCCUCAAUACAGAGCCUGCGUACAAGCGAGUUCCAGUACUCCCUUAUUAGUACCGAUGCACUCUUGCAGUUCCACAAAACUCGAGAGCGCCAACAAUGAAAAUCGCCUCAAGGCAUACCAGUACUCCAUCUCGAGUACCAGUUCACGACAACCAGUAUCAAUACCCAACUUGAGUUUCGUAGAACCUAAAUGUUCCCUCGCGGGAAUUAACAUUGAGUGCCAGUACCCCGCAUUUCAGCAACGGUACUGAAACGGGAAUUCGUAAAAUGCGGGUUUCAUUCAGGAACUUCGUUUUUCACACCAUUUUCACGCUAAAAUAGUUCCAACUCAUCUCAAACUCUUCCAAAAAUCUCGCAAAUGGCACGGUAAGCCAUUUUUAAUUGAACCUUAGUAAUUUGCAAAGUGUAGUAUACUACAAAUCCCUUUAGUAUCUCAAAAGGGCCCACUCUUAUCGUACUCAUACAAACCACAUCAAUCACAAACUCCUCCCCUAAAGGUGUGCCAACACACAAAACAUAAUCCAAAGUUUUAAAAGGAUAUCAAACACUUUCGAUGUAAGGUACUGAACUUCUUAAAUUAUGAAGUUACGGUGGGAUGUAAUAUGCUGAAAUUAUAAUAUAAAAAUAAAUAUAAAUAAAAAUAGUGUGAGAUACUAUUUUAUUGGAUUUAUAGACAUAAAAUAUAAGUCUGAAAUGACCCGUGUUGAAAUUGGAGCGAAAACAGAAGAUUUAGAAUUUUCUGUGUGAAACGGGGCAGAUAAAUUAGCAGAAAAUGCACAGUAUCAGAAAAUUCUGAAAACUGGAGGAUAAGCCAGAAUUAUUUUUAUGAGGCUAGAUUUAAAGUUUCAUAUCAUUCUGACACCCGGAAGGUGGAAAAUAAAAUCCGACAGUGAUUUGAUAAAGAUUACAGUUCGGUACGGCUUUCGGUGACCAAACGGGGUCGAAACUGAAAGAUUAAAAUUUCUUUCGUUAAGUUAAGCAAAACCGAAGAUGACUGUCAAAUUUGAGCUCAAACGGAUAUUCAGAGGGCUCCGGCGAAAGAUAUCAGAUUUUGAACUGCCUGGAGUGAAUAGUGUAUGCUACUAUUGGGGUGUUGACUAUAAGUAGAAGCUACUAGGCUUCUUCCUCUUCACAGCCGACCACCACCCCACGCAAGCACACGUUCAUGGUGUAGUAAGAGAAACCCUCUCUUUUCUCUCUCUAAAUAUUUCUCUCAUCCCUCUAUAUUUCUCGCCCAAAUUCGCGGCGUUGGUGGAGACCGAGUUUGCGAACGCGUUGGGAGCGACGGAUCGAGCUUUCGUGCGCCCGUUGGAGCGGCGUGCUUCUGUCUCGACGUUCACAUUUUGGUAAAUUUUUGGGAUUUGGCUCAAUCCUUAACUUUAAGUGUUCUAGUAGUCUCUAAUGAGCAUUCUUAGCAUGUUGCUCCAUUUAAUUUGGAUUAUUUGGAGGUAAUUGCAUGUUAGGGCUCAAAAAUGGGAUUUUGCAAUAUGUGAGGGUUUGAUCUAAAUUGAAUAUAUAUAAACCUAAUUGCUAGGUUUUCUGACGCGUUGGCGAAGUCGGUUCGGCGAUACGACGAGUGUACGCGAAGAUAUUAAAGAACGAAGCCGUUAAGGUACAGAUUGCCGCAGCUCGCGGCGAAAGCUUCUAAAAAUCACGAAAUCAGAACCCUAGCCUCGUGAUAGCGAUAAAAGGUGGGGGGUGUCAUCCCGAAGCAACUGGGCUUCUCCCUAUGUCUAAGUAUUUCUAUGUUGAACAUACUACAUAUAUAGUAUCAUGCAUGUUAGGGUAUUUAGAUGUUACUUUUACUAUUCUUGCAUGCUCCCUUGUAUUGCGGCAUAGUAGGCUUGGCAUGUGAACUUAGGGUGCAUGAGAAUGAGUUUGUGACAUAGAACCCUAUAGAGAUAAGUUAAACAAUAACUUGAUCUUGCAUAGAGGAUAUAUGACUAGUAUAGUCGGGACAAUUGCAUUAUGGCAAGUGACAUGUGAACCAAGUACAUACUUGACGAGUGGCAUAUGUAUACCAAGUAAACAACUUGACGAGUGGCAUUAGAACGUAGUGUUAAAAGAAUACUUGUGCAUGUUGGUCAUAGUGACCGGGUACCUUCGUUGGAAACGGAUUUGAUCAUACUCACACAGUCUGUUCAGCGCUUGUGGCGGUCGCCCCGCACAAGUAGUGCGAGCUCCGGAGUCUUGGCACGUGAAACGAUUGGGAUAGCCUAUGUGGGGUCCCAAGGGAUAGCCUAUGUGGGGUCCCGCAGACAAUCCCUCGGGUGGUUCGAGUCCCCCUUCAUAGACGGAUUUGAGUUGUGAGUCGAGGGCGCGCCUUUGGGCCAGCCAGAUGAUUGGGUAAUGAACUCAGGAAAUUAUGCAUAUUGAGCAUAGUAAGCAUAUUGAGCAUGUUGAGCAUGUUGGGCAUAGUAGAAUUGCAUGUAUACUUAAUAGAGUUAUUAUAGCAUGUUAGAGAUUACAUGGCUAUGUGAUUUACUCUUGUUCUCCAGGCAUAGUAGAACCUUGCAAUUCUUUCUAUAUGCAUCAAUUACAGUUACAGAUAUCUAUCUAUCUGCUUAUGCCUGCUUAGACCUAGUGGGAAGAUCGGCGGAGUCGGCGGCCGAACCCACUGGGAACUAUAUUUAUAUAGUUCUCACCCCACUUUGUUGCAGGGCCUAGCGAGAGAGCACCGGCAGAGGACCGUGGUAAGGGCAUCGCGCCCUAGGUAUAGUUAGCAGCUUCCACUUGCAUUAGUGUACCCUCGUGUACCCCGUGACAUAUGUUGUAUUUUGGGAGGUUGCUUGUGUAUUUUGGAGAUGUAAAUGUAAUCAAGGAUCUAAAUGUUGAAUGCCUUGUGGAUGUAAUAGCUAGAUGCUACUCUCUUUAUAUCACUCGUUUUAUUACUUGUGUCUUGCUCUUAAGUGUAUAGCACAUGUGGUGCUUCGUAUUGUUCAUGUAUGUUGUAUGUCAUCCUGGGCGACAAAAAUGUACAUGAUCUUGUUGUUGAUCCUAGGGCGGACAGGGGAGGUGCUGUCCGUUCGGCGUCUGUUCGACACGUCCGAACCGGACCAAAUUGGUAGCGGUCUCGGGGCGUGACAGAUAAUUAUGGUAUCAGAGCAAGUUAAGAGGAAAUAAAGAGAGAGAGUCUAGAACGACCUAGGAGACCCUAGGACGGUAAACCUUAAGGCUAUAGGUGCGUGAGUGAAACGUGAACCUAAGCCGAGUGGCGGAAAAUAAUUCGAUUGGGUCGAAGUUGUCUAUAUGUCUCUAGUUGCGAAUAGAGACGGAUUCAAGUGGUAUUAGUUCUUGGCUUGAAGUGAGUGUUGGCGGCCGACAACAUGACACCGAGAGUCUAGAAUAAGUAACCGUUGCCCAGGAUCGAUGAUUUAUUUGAUCAGUUGCAAGGAUCUCGGGUUUAUUCAAAGAUUGACCUGCAGUCCGGUUAUCACCAACUCAAGAUUAAGCCGGAAGAUGUACAAAAAACCGCGUUUCGUACGCGGUAUGAACAUUACGAAUUCACGGUCAUGCCGUUUGGGCUCAUUAAUGCCUCGGCAGCGUUCAUGGAUUUAAUGAACCGUGUCUUCAAGGAGUACUUAGAUCGAUUUGUCGUGGUCUUCAUAGCCGACAUCUUGGUCUACUCGCGCAGCGAUGAGGAACAUGCCGAGCAUUUGAGGAUCGUGCUUCAAAUCCUUCGGGAGGAGAAGUUGUAUGCUAAGUUUAAGAAAUGCGACUUUUGGCUCCGAAAGGUUGCAUUUCUUGGGCAUGUCAUUUCCGAGGGAGGAGUAUCUGUUGACCCGAGGAAAGUGGAGGCGAUCAAGGAUUGGCCUCGCCCGACUAACGUCACGGAAGUUCGAAGCUUCGUGGGUUUAGCGGGUUAUUAUAGACGGUUCGUGGAGGGAUUCUCGAAGAUCGUGGGUCCACUUACCCGUCUGGCUCGAAAAGGCGCCAAAUUCAUUUGGAGUAACGAGUGCGACCCGAGUUUUCAAGAGUUGAAGGAUAGAUUGACUUUGACUCCGGUACUCGCCUUACCGGUGCAAGACGAAGAGUUCGUGGUAUAUAGCGACGCGUCACAAUUGGGCUUGGGGUGUGUUCUGAUGCAGGGCGGGAAAGUGAUCGCUUAUGCGUCUCGUCAGCUGAAGAGCUAUGAGAAGAACUACCCUGUCCACGAUUUAGAGUUAGCCGCAGUAGUGUUUGCUCUCAAGUUAUGGAGGCACUACUUGUACGGCGCGCGUUGCGAAAUAUACACGGACCACAAAAGUCUAAAGUACCUAUUCACGCAAAAGGAGCUCAAUAUGCAACAGCGGCGGUGGUUGGAAUUUGCUGAAGGAUUUUGAUGUGACAAUCCUAUACCACCCCGGAAAAGCAAACGUGGUGGCCGACGCGCUUAGCAGGAAGUCAGUGGAGAAUCUUGCUAUGUUGGUUACACACCAGGAGCCACUGUGGAGAGAGAUGGAACGAUUAAAUCUCGAGAUGGUAGCUCCGGAAAUCCCGUCUAUGCUUAUGGCUCUCGUUGUCCAACCGACCUUGUUGGAGCAGAUUAAGAGUUUGCAAUCUGCGGACCCCAAUCUCCAAAAGGUGCAGCGAGACAUCGAGAGUGGACACGGCGGUGAUUUCAGUGUAGACGUUGAGGGUGCGCUUCGGUUUCGAAACCGAUGGUGCGUACUGGAGAACGAGGGGGUCCGGAAGUUAAUAUUGCAAAAAGCACAUCGGACUCCUUAUAGCAUUCACCCGGGUGGCACCAAGAUGUACCGUGAUCUGAAAAUGCAGUACUGGUGGCCGGGCAUGAAAGCUGAUAUUGGGCGCUAUGUAGCGCAGUGCCUUGUAUGCCAGCAAGUGAAGGCUGAGCGUCGAUUUCCAACGGGAAAGCUCCAAAGUUUACCUAUUCCCGUUUGGAAAUGGGAGAAUAUCGCGAUGGACUUCGUGGUCGGAUUGCCCCGUUCGACGGGUAGUCACGACGCGAUCUGGGUGAUUGUGGAUCGUAUGACCAAAUCAGCACACUUUCUACCGAUUCACACCACCUGGUCGGGCGACAAGUCGGCGCAGGUAUAUCUGGAUGAAAUUGUGAGGUUGCACGGGGUCCCGAAGUCAAUCGUGUCAGAUCGAGAUCCCCGCUUUACUUCGCAUUUUUGGAAGAACCUACAAGAAGCACUUGGCACACGACUCGAUUUUAGCACCGCAUUUCAUCCUCAAACAGAUGGGCAGUCAGAGAGGACUAUACAGAUUCUGGAGGAUAUGCCGCGGGCGUGUGUCAUUGAUUACAAGGGAAGUUGGGCAAGUCAUUUGAGAAUGGCCGAGUUCGCCUACAACAACAGUUACCAAGCUAGCAUUGGGAUGGCACUGUUUGAAGUCCUGUAUGGACGGAAGUGCCGAUCCCCUAUAUAUUGGAGCGAUGUAGGUGAACUUGCGGCAUUAGGUCCAGACGUAUUGCGAGAGGCAGAAGAGAAGGUCCGUCUUGCUCGCGAGAGGCUGCUCACGGCACAGUCGAGGCAAAAGAGCUAUUCUGACAAGUGCCGUCGAGAUUUGGAAUUCGCGGUGGGUGACCGCGUUUUCCUGAAAGUUUCGCCUAUGAGGGGCGUGAAGCGCUUUGAGGUGCGGGGGAAGUUGAGUCCCCGAUAUAUCGGACCAUAUGAAGUGUUGGAACGUGUAGGAGCGGUAGCUUACCGGCUCGCAUUGCCGCCGAAGCUCGCGGAUGUGCAUAAUGUGUUCCACGUCUCCAACCCUCGCAAAUAUAUUCACG